rnacentral:lncRNA from 1 species
UCUGGCUUCUUUGCUGAAUCCAAAACCAACCCAACUGACCAACAGAAAGCUUAUGUCCUCACCCCUGUUUCUCAUCUUCUCCGGAAGGACAAUCCCUUGAGUUCAACUCCCUUCAUACUCGGAAUGCUUGACCCCGUUUUACUGAAACCAUGGCAAUAUUUAAGUUCUUGGUUCCAAAACCUUGACCAUCCUACAGCAUUCAGCGCAGCUCACGGUGAGAGUAUGUGGGAUUAUGCCGGGCAUGAGCCGAGGAUGAAUCAUUUCUUUAAUGAUGCGAUGGCCAGUGAUGGGCUUCUGGCGGCGAGCGUGGUGCUUAGUAAGUGCAAAGGAGUUUUUGAGGGGUUCAAGUCAGUGGUUGAUGUUGCCGGUGGGACGGGAACCAUAACCAAGGUACUUGCUAAGGCUUUUCCUCAAACGGAAUUCACUGUAUUUGAUCUUCCCCAUGUUGUUCAUGGCUUGCAAAGAUGUGAAAAUUUGAAGUAUCUUGGUGGAGACAUGUUUGAAGGAGUUCCCCAUGGAGAUAUGAUCAUGCUAAAGGUUUGUUUAUUUUCUCUAAUUAAUUUUUUGUCUUGAAAAUUAAAAUUUAACCAUAUUUUAUUGAUCACCUAAUUUAUUGCAGUGGAUAUUACAUGAUUGGAGUGACCAAGACUGUAUAAAGAUACUAGAGAGAUGUAAAGAGGCAAUUGGGAAGAAAGAAAAUGGAGGGAAAAUCGUGAUUAUGGACAUUAUAAUUGGAAACCAAGAAUUGGAUGAGCAUCAGUCUACCGAAACUAAGCUGUUUUUUGACAUGGAGAUGAUGGUUUGUCUUGAUAGCCAAGAAAGAAGCGAACAGCAAUGGAGUAAACUGUUUGCUCAUGCUGGGUUUAGUCACUAUGAAACAUAUCACAUUUUAGGUCUAAGGUGUCUCAUUGAGUUAUUUCCAUAAUUAAUUAUCUGUGUUAAAAUCUUAAAUAAAAUUAUAAAAUUAAUAUAAAACAUGAAAGUCGUGUUUAUUAUAUUACUUUUUGUAUUUUAACGAAUGGGGUAUGUUUGUGUCUUUCUUUUUUAUUGUGUUUAAGAUUAUGAUACGAGUAAUGAAGUGUUGUAUUCCCUUGUGUAAAAUAAAGUUUUUAUUGAUUUUUCAUAGGAGCAGUUUUUAUUAAAGUGAGUAUUCAAUCGAAUCGAGUGAAAAAGUUUCGAGUUAAUCAAGUUGACGAGUCUCAUUUUCUAAUUUUAACUUGAUUUGAAUUCUCUUUUAAUCGAGUAAAGUGAAAUGAAAUUCGAGUCAAGUCGAGUCCAGUAAAAUUGUGCAAGUUAAACUAAAAAAAUUAAACAUGUCAAAUUAAAGUCUUAUUACAAUAUAACUAAUUCAAUGUUAGAGCAAAUAAAUUUGAAACUAUAUAUAUUUGAAAACUUUUUCAAAUUAAAAUAAGAGAAAAAAAAUAUUUUAGUAUGAUAAACUUAAAUAGUUAAUUUACUUAUUUAGGUCUCGAAAAUUAUUAUUUUAGAAAAUUUUUAGUUUUCUUUUAUAUAUUCUUUAGCAUUUUUAUAAUUUUUUAAAAAUAUAAAUUUUGAAAUUUUUAUUAAUAUUUUAAAAUUUUUGAAAAUUAUUUUGAAAUUUUUUGUUGAGAGAGACUAAUUUGCUCAUUUUCAAAAUUGACAAGGAUCAAAGGGGUAUUUACACUAAUCUGUUAUUUGAGUUAUUCAAAUUAUUCAAGUUAUUUGAAUUGUAAAAUUCAACUCGACUCAAAUUCGAAACUUGAAUUACUUUUUCGAGUUUAUUAAAAAAAUCAAUUAAUUCAAAUAACACGAUUCAUUUCUCGAGUCAGUUUUGCUAACUAGUUUUCAUUUGUUUUAUUUAUUUAAAUUAAACUGUUGGAAGCCACAUUAUCUAGUUUUUACCCUUUGUGAUUGACCACACCACAUGAUACUAGGCUUUGCUUAUUUGCUCUUAGCAUAAUUAAUAUUUGGAGGUUAAGUUUUAUUAUUAAUUUUUGUACUUUGUAGAAGUUAUAGAUUUACUUUUUAUACUUUAAUUUGAUUAAUUUUAGUCUCUGUAUUUUUUAAAUUGGUCAAUUUUAGUCCCUACACUUUUCAAAUUUUAAAAUUUUAGUCAUAAUCUAAACAACAAUUAUUAAAUUUGUUUGUUUAAAUUCAACUACUAGUCAUGUACGAUACAUACAAUUGUAGAUUUAGUCCAUAAUUUUCUAUUAUAUUAUUGUAAGUCUCAAAUUUUGAAAUUUUAAUCUUGGUGCAAAUGACAUUUGUUAAUCUAUUAACUGUACUUUAGUGAGCAAUAUGUGGAAAUAAUAAGCUACUAUGGGAUUACACAUGAGAUAAUAUGUUUGGUGAAUCUAAUUUUGGAAAUAACAAAACUUAACUUAAUGAAUUUAACAAUUAUCAUUUGGUAAGAACUGAAAUCUUAAAAUUUGAAAACUACAAGGACUAAAAAUUACUAAAUUAUAGUGUAGGGACUAAAUCCAUAUCUUUUGCAAAAUACAGAGACUAAUAGUAAAAUUUAAUCAUAUUUGAAAGUGUUUAGAGUUAUUUACAUAAAUUCGACAUAAAUGUCAGAUUACUUGUAUAAAUACUAUACAUUCAUCUAUAUUAUUUAUAAAGAAUUUAAUUGAAUUGAUGUCAACCUUUAAUCGAAUUUCAAUUCAAUUGUAAAAUUAUUAUAAGAUCAUUAUUUCUACGAAGCAAUAAAUAUUAUUUUGUGUCAUUUUCAUAUAAAUUCAUUAAAUAUAUAUAAUUAAAUUUGAACCUAGAACUUUUGUAACUAAUACUCUCUCAACCUAGUCAUUUCAAUCAACUAUAUAUUUGGCUUUUAUAUAAAAAAAUUCUUAAAAAUUUGAUUACAUAUCUACAUGUAAGUGAUGUAAGAUAUCAGACAUGAACUCUUUGAUAUAUAUAUAUAUAUAUAGAAAAGAUAACUUUAACACCCAAAAAUAUGACUUAGGAGUUUUAGGGAUAAUUUAUGAAUUUUAGCCUUAGAGUGUUCAUAAUUUUGCAACAUGGUAUAUUGGUAAUGUUUUCGAUUAUGGUUUUUAGAAAAUUAAAUCAAUUCCUGAAAAUGAGUUUUAAAUACCUUUAAUUUUGAACAAAAGGCUAAUAUGUAAAAGAGCCAAAGUUUAGAGUUUUUAAAACGCAAUUAGACUAGAUUUUAAAAUCCAACCUCAAAACCCCCAUUUAUAGUUUUAUUUUCACGUUUGUCUUAUUCUCCUCUCAUACUUGUGCCGUCCAUAAUUCUCUCAACUCCUCCAAUCGAUUUUGAAUUCUAAAUCCUAAUUCAUUUUGAUUUCUAUCAUCUCUCAAGUUAUAAAUCUUCAUAGAAUUUAAGAAAAACACCCAAAAACACCAUAGUUUUCUCCAUUGUCAAGCUUUUGAGUAUUUCGGGUUUUCAAUCAAAUGUUUAGUUUUUCAACAUAUAAUGUAAUGAUUCAACUCCUAAAUAGUUUUAAAUGUUAUUUAGUCUUUAAAGCUAAGUUUUUAGCCAUUAAAUCACAUAUUUGGAAUAAAAGUCAAAAAUUGGCUCGUUAAUGGUGAAUUUUGAGAUUUUGGGUAAAAACGUGGUUUCAAAGUAUUUUUCAAUUAGUUUUGAUGUAGUUAGAAGUUUUAUAAAAUUACUUUGAAGUUUUGUUAAAGAAUUCUUGAGUUUUAAUGAAUUUGCAUAAAAUAGCUAAAAACAUGUCAAAAAAGUCAAUACCAUGAAUUGAGUAGUUUUGUGUAGUUUAAAGGUUGAGAAUUAGUCGUUGAUGAAUAAUUAGAUGAAUGAAAGGCGUUUUAGGUGAAAAUAUUAAGUGUAGAUCGAUAUAUUUUGAUUUCAAGUUGGUUAUGUUAAAGGUGUCGGCUACAUGAGAACAUAGCUUAGGCUUAUGUUUUUUUUUUUUUUUUGCUUGUGGUGAGUCCUUAGCUGAUUUUUGAAUGUAUUUUUGUGUGAAUUAUUAUGUUGAAGCUUCAGAUUCAUUAGGACUUUCUAAGCGUAGGGAUAAACGCAAGGAAAAGCUAGUUUGAGCUUUAAACGAAAGUGUAAUUGGUGAGUGUUUGGCAUAAUUGCUUGUGGACAUGAUUCAAUGUGUUAAUUGGGAAUUUAGUAGUAGGCUAAAACCUUACUCUAAAUUUUGAGUGUAAGCUUUCUCUUACCUAUAUUAUCUUGUGAAUUAUGUGAAUAUGUGAAUUGAGAUAAGAGGCUAUAACAUGUGAUAUGUGGUUAUGAUAACCAUUGUAAAAGUGCAAAUGUGUACAUGUUAUGUAUUUGUUAAAUGCUAGCGACUAUAUUUUGUUAAAGAUACAAAUAUGCAGUGAUAGUGCAUGGAUAACCGGUAAGUGAUAUGUGUUUGAUUUUGGAUAUUUUGGCCUUGUUAUCUUGAAAUCAUUCGAUAUAGUUGGCAUGCCAUAGGAUUGUGAGUACUCACCUAUAUGUAUAGUGAUUUUGGGUGUUGAGGCCCUGGGACAUGCUGGAGGGAUAAGGGAAUGUGAGUUAAGCUCCAUUCAACGAGACAUGUGAAGGGAAAUAAGGAGAGUGUUAGCUUUAUGCUUCACUUUUGGGACAUGUUUGACUUUAUGAGUCUACGUGGUGUGUUGGUAAUCUGUGUAUCCGAUGAAUGAUUAUAGAACUAACUUUUAUGUUUCAUAGCUUAAGUGUUAAAUUAUCUUAAAUUAUGAAUAUGUAUGUAUUGUGUUAUGUGUUUUUAUGAUAUGUAACCGUAUGCAAUUUAUCUAUAAACAUAUUUUUGAGUAUUGUGAUAUAUGCUUAAAUGUUAUGUGAUUAUAUAAGUAUUAUGAUAUAUGCUUGAAUGUUAUGCGAUUAUAUGAGUAUUAUGAUAUAUGCUUAAAUGCUAUGUGAUUAAAUGAUUAUUGUGAUAUAUCUUUGAAAGUUAUGUGAUUAUAUGAGUAUUGUGAUAUAUGCUUAAAUGUUAUGUGAUUAUAUGUGUAAUGUGAUAUACGCUUAAAAGUGAAUAUGAUUACCAUGUAAAUGAACUAGUAAAAAAUACACGAGUAAGUAUAUUAUGACACUAAAGUUGGAACCACUGAGGUUGUGCUAUAUGGUUGCUUCAUUAAUGCUUGAUGAAUUGUUUGCAUGGUAGUUGUUCUAGGCAUUCAUUGAUCUUGUUAAGCUCACCCACUCCUUUUUUUACCAUCGCAGAUUAGUUGUGUGCCGGUGUGAGCGGUGUGGUUCCAAGGGUGAUCCAAGCAAGUCCAUUUUCGUGAUUUUGUAGGUAUUGUUGUUAUUUGUUUAUAUUUUGGGAAUAAAGGCAAUGUGGUAUACUUUUACUAAUAUUUUCCAUGACGUUUUGGAUGCCUUUAUAGACUAUUUGUUCACAAGUUUAGGAGAUUCAUUUCAUAUUAUGUUGAUUAUUGCUCGAACUUCCCUUCGAUGUUUGAGAUUGUUACUACGACCGUUUUGUGUUUAUUUGAUGAUGAUAUGAUAGCAUGAUGAAUUGGUACAAGUUGGAAUGACUUAUCUGCUUAAAAAUGUUACUUUUUUGGUCUGAAGCAGAGGUAUCGAUAUUUGUGUUGUAAAAAUGAUACCUCUAUUAUUUAAAAUGUGUAGGAAGCCAAAAUCGUAAAUUGGUAUCGAUACUUUUGCAAAGGUAUCGAUAUUUUCUGAGACUUGAAUUUUAGACGAGAAAUAGAAUACCAAUUUGGUAUUGAUUUUACAGAAUACGAUAUUGAUAUCGUACAAGGAAAAUAUCGAUACCCAUGUCCUAGUAUCGAUGCCUAUGUGAUUGUCUUGGAAAUUGUGCUAAGUGGUCCUAAUGCAUGUUCAGUUAUUAUUAUAAUUUUAUGUAAAGUAUGCUUGACAUGUUCUAAUGAUGAUUAAUAAAUGUUUAACUAAAAAUUUAGAAGACCACUAAGAAAGAGGAUGAUUUCUUAAUAAUGUGACAAUUUACUAUGAGUAUGACAUGAGACGGUCGUGUGACAUCUUUAUAUUCAGGCUUGGCAACCAAGCUGGGUAUAGGGUGUUACAAUAACAGAUAUAAACCUAAAUGUUAUUCAUAUUUCAUACUCUUACAAAAAAAUUACAUAUAUUUCCCUUUUAUCUAUUUUCCCUGCAUAUGCGUCUUGGCAAAAAAGAAAAAGAAAAAAAAUCAUGUAUGAUGUCUGAAAGUACAUAUAGGAAGAACCUUAAGUGUUUCGACAAUGUGCAGACCAAAUAAUCCGACGGUGUGUGGUAGAGGAAGAAAUGGAAGACAUAUUGUUAGGGUGUCACACGUCACCGUGUAGAGGUCAUUUUAGAGGAAGAAGAACAACAUAUAAAAUACUUCUAUCAAGAUUUUAUUAGCCUACGAUGAUCAAAGAUUCCUACGAAUUUGCACAAUGAUGUGAUAGAUGUUAGUGACAAGGUAGCAUUUCAGAAAGGGACAAAAUGCAACAAACCAAAAUUCUGGAGGUAGAAAUUUUCGAUGUCUAGGGCAUUAAUUUCAUGGGCCCAUUUCCCAGUUAUUUUGGCAAUCAAUAUAUUCUCCUAGCAGUAGACUAUGUAUCAAAAUGGGUGGAAGCAAUAGCACUACCAGCUGAUGACAUUAAAGCUGUAGUUUGGUUUUUACGUAAGAAUAUCUUUUCUCGAUUUGGGAACCCUAGAGCACUUUUUAUAGACGAGGGAUCACACUUUUGCAACAAGCAGUUAGAGGCAGCUUUAGCAAAGUAUAGUGUCAAACAUCGGGUCACUACAACAUACCACCCUCAAGCUAACGGGCAGGGGGAAGUAUCAAAUCGAGAAAUGAAAUAGAUAUUGGAGAAGACAAUGAACCCAAAUUAGAAAGACUGGAGUAUAUGACUGGAUGACGCAUUAUGGGCAUAUUGAACAGUAUAGAAAACUCCAUUAGGUAUGUCUCAUUACAGACUAGUCUGCGGAAAGAACUGUCAUUUGCCAAUUGAGUUGGAGAAAAAACAUAUUAGGCUAUCAAGGAACUGAACUUAGUCCCCAAUUUAGCUAGAGAAGAAGUGUGCAUAUUUCAGUUGCAUUAGUUAGAAGAAUUUCGAUUCAUAGCCUAUGAAAAUGCAAAAAUGUACAAAGAGAUGAUCAAGAAAUGAACAUUUCUACCAGGGCAACAUGUAUUAUUGUUUAACUCUAGGCUGAAAAUAUAUCCAGAAAAAUUGUGAUCAAUAUGGACAAAACCAUACACAGUAAAACAAGUGUCCCCUCAUGGAGUAGUAGAACUGACAACCAAUAGAGGUGCAACAUUCAUUGUUAACGGGCAAAUGCUGAAGCACUAUUUUGGGGGCAACAUUGAAAAAACAUGCGAGAAGCAAAUAUUGGAAUGUAGAGCACUAAUAGAAGUGAAUGACAAAUCAGAGGACUUGGAUAACAAAUGAAGUUGGGAUCCAGAUGAAUCAGGGAGUCAUACUUUAAGUUUAGUGAAGAAUAUUUGCGCUCGUGUUAUAAAAUUUAUACAGUGUACCACUAGCUAGUUUAGUUAACUUCUUGUAUAGUUUGUAACACUCCAUAUUCAAAUUUAACUAACACAUCCCUUAUUAUAAUAAACAUUUUCAAAAUAGUACAAGACAUAUAUUAUUGAUAACAUCGUUACUAAUUGACUUCACAAUCUCAAAAAUCUCUUUCACUAAUAACACUAUAAAUUAAGGUACAACGAUUUCACAAUGUAACUCUAACCUAUUGAUUAUUUACGUAGUGUUGGAAUAAUAAUCUGAGGACUUAGUUACAAAUAUGACUAAACCCCUAAGGCUCUACCUCUAGGUCACCUCACUGUAUGCAUAUUACAUCAAGGAGCAUGUCUGUCCGAGCAUGAUAGAUUUUGGCUUAGUCCCUCCUCAAACUAUCGAAUUUCCUUUAUUACCUGUAAUACAUAAUAACAAUUACGCAAGUUUUAAUGAACUUAGUAUGUUUUCAUACCUUAUUAUACAACGCAAUAAUACUUGUAUUCUGUGGCUCAGAAUGCACAUUUGACUUAUCUAUAUGGGAACAGCUCACCAAUCUCAUUGGCGUAACCUAUACAUUAUACAAACUAGCUCACUCGUACUUCCCAUAAUAUCUUCAAUAAUAUCGUCACUUAUUUACUCAUGCAUCAUGGAGAACAAUUCCUUUUAAUUGUUUAUAGUCAAUCUACAACUGACGACUUAAUAACAACAGGUUUCACAUUAGACUAUACCAAGUCUUGCACACCCAAAGCUUCCACUAAUAGAUAUAAUACCAAGAUACAAAUUUAAUAACAAUUGACCUUGGUGAAUUAUCCUUGUGAACUCUAUCUUCAUUAGUUGCCUAUGCGGACCCAUAUGCAACUACUUCCUUGAGAGGAAAUAUUUUACAGAUUCUUACUUGUAGACUUAUGAAAGAAAACCCAUAGAUGAUACCCAUAAUGCAUCUUGCACCAAUAUAUACAGAUAAUCAGAUAAGACAAUCUCAGUGAAUAGACCUUAUUGCUGACUAUUAAUAGCGGCUUAUCCUAAUGGAAUCAGAUUGUAUUACGAUCCUCACAGAUUCCUGUUUCAGACGUAACUCUGUAGAUUAAUGUUUAACGAAGCAUACUAAUGAAUUCUUAAUGAAGACCCCAUAACAAAAUAAUAAGAAGAUCAACUCAUCUCAAUCCAGUCGACAAAUAUGGCGGAUCGUCAUACUCUGCCUCUAUCUCGCAAUGACAGAUAACCUAUUUGUGGUCCACUUAGAAACAGUAAAAUAUAGGUGGAUUCUUAAGAGUCAAUCACCUAAUGGCGAAAUCAUACUUAUGAAAUAGUCCUGAUGGACGAUUGUUUCUUUCAUAUUUGGACUCGCAUAAUAGAUAUAGCUCAAUCUUAGUCAACUUAUCAAGCGGAUCCCACAUUUGUAAAGAGAUAGAUGCGAACACAUACAUACAGAUUCACAUGCGCAAUUUUUAUCUCGCAGACCUCUACUGGGUUUCACCACCUAGACAAGUCAGGUGAAUUCAUAAAGUGAAUUACUUUACAAAUCUUCUUGGGUCUUGUCAUGGCCAUGGACUUGCAUUCAUUCAUACAUCCCAUAAAGGGCUCUCAUAUAUUGGUGUACACCGUUCUCCAUACAAUCUGUCUGAACCUCCGCAAAGCCACAUAUCAUUAACAUUCAAUUUUGAUAUAGUCUGCCUGAACCUCCACAAUCUUCCUUGUUAAUUUGAACACUUACGUGUUCCCCCGCAAGGUCGGGACAUUCACCAUUCAUGAUUUUCAUUUAGACGCCAUACUGGAAGCAAAUCACAUAUCAUAUUCCCUUCUCCAUCUUUCAUCUCAAUCACACUUCGGCAACCCUCCAUAACUCCACAUAACAUGCAUUUCAUGCACAGACAUACUAUCAACACCACUGUUCAUGCACGAUACACAUUACGCCAACAUUUCAUGCAUUUUCAUACCAACACAACAAACCUAACAAUACAUCAAUAUUAAGCUAUAAAGUAAUUCAUUAUUCCAUAACAUUCAGCCAUAGAAUAAUGCAUUAUUUGCUCAACACUUAACAAAACAUGCCUAUUUCACAACACUAAAAAUAAAUGAAUAAUUGUAAAGUCCUGAGUUCUGGAACUCACCUAGAAGUUGAUUCCAAAACCUUAUACUUAGCUUUUUUCAUUUCUACCGAACUCUCCAACUUACAAAACAUAACUAUUUCAAAAUACUCAGCUAAGAUAGUUCAUUAUCAUAAAAGCCAACAAAAUUUUGCAUGCAUAAUCCAUUAAAGUGAUUAUCCACAACUUUAUCCAAAACAUGAAAAAAUUGAUGGAUAGUUGAAAUCCUUAACUUUCUUUCCUUUACUUAAAUAUGUGACAUAGAAAGGUUAAUAACCUUACCAACUUGAUAAAUUAUCCAUUACUUAUGCACAAACAUUAGCUUCUUUCCACCAAAUAAACCGCUCUUUAUCUUUCUUUCCUUCAACCACGUCAAUGAAAAAGAUGAAGAGAGAACAAAAAACUGAAGGAACCACAUUGGAGAGUAACAUCUCUCCUAUGUAUACUACUCAUGCAUUUCCUUUACCUAUCCCAAACUCAACAGCCAAGUGUACACAUCCAUAAUCAUCAUGUCUCCCAUUAUUCCUGGUUUAAACUCAAUGGAACCAAGGUUGAAAUCCAACCUUUUACCAACCAAUCCGCCAAUUGCUCUUAUUUCCACUAGAGCCGCUCAAUUGUAAGCUUUUCAAUUUAAUCCUCAAAAUUUUCAUUCCAAAUUUAAUGUUUCGAGGUGUGACAUAGUUAGUAUAUUAGGAUUAGACAUUAAAAGGCAAAAAAGGGAGGCUAUUUGGGAUGUUAUUAUAGGCCAAAGGAGAAUAAGGGGUCAAACACGCCAAAAAAUGAGCUUUUAAGAGGUUAAGGUUGUGUUGCAACACUAAAUUCCUAGUCUCACGACACGACACUUCGAAUACUCCAGUAGUUCCGAAAACAGGCUAGUGGCGCAACAUUGACCUUUGGUGUUGCAACAUGAUACUAUGAACCAAAAUAAUUCCAACAUAUAGGGUCAAGAACGGUACGUGUUAAGUGCUGACUAGGUAUCUUUUCGACAUUGGCACGACAUUUGUGUUGGCAAACUGUCCAUAGUUUGGCCCAGCAAACCUUUAACCUUCGCUUUUUUUUUCUACACUCUGCACAUUCCAAACAAUCGCCAAACAAAUCCCUCUAACAAGCAGUUAAAAGCAACAUGUAAUAAUAAUUAAGCGUAAUCCAAGCUCUUUAAUGCAAUGCUUUAAAAAUGCCAAUGCAAUAUCCUAAAAUGCAACUAAAAACACCUAAUUAUAGGCAAUUAACUAAGUCUAAGUGCAUGAAAUAUAACUCUUUUCAAGAGUUAUCACACCCCCAAACCCGAUUCAUAGGUUGCCCUUAAGUGAAGUAUGCAUGAAUACGAAAAUUGCCACGGCAAACAUAACGACCUUUGUAUUGCCAGACCAUUUAGAGAGUAUUUUAUACUUCAAUUCUCGGCAAUCUUCUAUGUCUAAAAAUUUGUUCAAGUUUCAUAUGUUUGUUUAGCAAAGUUAGUGCAAAAAGUAUUGUCCUAAAAGCGAAAUUCCUUAGUGCUCAUGUGUGCUUUUUGACUAUAGCAAGUGUCUCCUUAUUUACUUGCUUCAUCUUUUACCUAAACUCAGAUUUCUUUUUAACCUUGGCCUUAGAUUUUCUCAAUUUUUUGAAAAACCAAUUAGGGGGUUCAGCUCGUCACACGAUUCUUUGACUCGAUAAUCACAAUAGCGUAUACACUGAAUUGACGGGUAAGUCAACCAUGUCAUGGUUUGAAUAGAACUCACUGAUAAAGCUAAGGCUUUUGACUUAGAAGAUGAAUGGAGAAAACAACUACCUUCUUAGCUACUCAGCUUACUACUACAGUGGAGUGCCCUAAAUUUCAUUUUCUUUAUUUCACACUCUUGUCUAAGCUUACGUUUCUAACCAACAAUAUGAUAGAGCAAACACAAUGUUGCUGACCUAUUCGACAAUUCUAAGCAUUGAAGUGUCUUAUGGCAUUUCUUUGGUUUUCCUUACGCUCCACCACUUAUUAAUUUUUUACGUAUUGCCCUGGAAGCUUUACCGAGCUUAGCUUCUAGAAUCUCUAAAUUUAUUAAAAGAAAUUCACUACAGUCCAAUUGUAAUUGAAUUUAGGACAUCUCAUUUCUAGGGGUCGAUUAUCAGGCAAACUAUCAUAAGCUAAAUUUACAUAAUCCACUGUCACAUCAUAGGCAAAAAUACAUUCAUGAUAGUCUAACCAUGCAUUGGCAAUUACGUGUGUCAUGGAAAAAUAAAUUUGGCUACACUAAAAUGUCAUGGUAAAAUGAACAUGCUUAACUAAAUACAUAAUGCAUCAUAAAUGACCAACACACCCCCAAUCCUCAAGGAUGCAUUGUCUUCAAUGCAUGAACAUACAUGUAACAUGAACGCAAUGUCGUAGCGAAAUGAAUUUACACAUACAAUGUCAUGGAAAAAUAUGAAUGUAUGACGCAAUAAGAGGAAGAGAACUCCUCUGGCUUGGAGCUUGGUUAUUGUUACUUCAAUGUCUACGGGUGGACUUGUGUGCCUUAUACUUAAAAUGCAUCUUCCUUUUUAGCAUUUGGAUCAACACGUCUUCCCCUUCUUUUUCAAACUUGGUGAUCUCACCAAUAAUGCUGUGGAUUUCAUGGUCUUCUACGGACAUUGUUUUGGUUGUUGUAGGUGGGAUAGCUUUAGUAUUGUCCUCCAGUGGUGUAGUUGUAGGGGUUGCUUCUUCUGUCCCCUCGUGAUUGGCUGCUAUGUUGAUCGAUUCAGUCUUGCCAACUUCUUCUUCAGGUGCUUAGGUUUUUUUUCUGCAACAGCGGAUUUGGUACUUGUGGGCUUUGCCUCAACUAGAUCUUCUUCGCCCAUCUCUUCUUUGAUAGAUGCCUGUAGUUCCUUAGGAAAUUAGGGAGCACACACAUGGGCUCGAUAAAAUUCUUCGGAAGGGAUCUCUUUAGGGCAUCAUUUCACUUCUCCACAUACGCCUAGAAAAUGGCCAUUCUUUCUUUCACCUUUUUCACGUCCGCAGUAAUUCGAAGUUUCUGAGUAUCAAAGAGAGUGAGUCACUUCUGCAACUAAUCGAGGGAGUUGAGCACUUGCUACUCAAACAAAUUGUUGGAGGUAGAAGAUAUUGCCAUGACAAAAGUUUGCCUAGAAGAUGUAGAUUCUAAGCCAUAUAGUUGUUACCGCGACAAUUCCUCUCUAGAUAUCUUAGCCACAAUCACCCUUGCCAUUUCCCCUUUAUUGUGGGUUACAUUGUCGCUGGGCUAGACUGGGACAUUGGCGUGAUGGCAAAGUGCAGUGACUAGUGACGAGAAGUUGAGACUCGCAUUUUUUUGCAUACAAUGGUGGACUUCAUUGAAGAUUAUCUUGCCCACAUUAAUCCAUCGGCCCGUCAUUAUAGAGUGUAGCAGCAGCAUUCGCUCCUUAGAUAUUGUAGAGUUAUGGGUAAAUGGAACUAAUCGCAUAUUCAAGAACUGGUACCAGAAUCUGCAACUGGGCUUUAGUGACGCCCUGUCAAUUGUGUAGCAGACCUACCGACAUAUAGUGCACUGGGUUACUUCAACCAAAGGUCUUUGAGGACUUGGUUCAACCCAUUCGUGGUGAUGGUUGCAACAAACUGAGAGUGCUCAUCUUGUACGACUGAGAUCCCAAAUUGGGCGUUGAUGCUGUCUUCAUCAAACAACACAGACGCCCUUUUAACAUAAAUGAGAAAGCGUUGUUAGUUGACGUGAUUUGAGCAUAGAAUUCAUGAACAAGCUUGCUCAAAACGUCUUCAGAAUGUAGGCAAAAUAUCUAUCAACUAUACUUUUCCAUCACGGAUGAGAUAAAAGCAUCAUAACCCAUGAAAGGUUCACCCUUGAAUAGAAAACCCUUUUCAAGGAAAAAUGACCUCUUUGAUAUAUUGUUUUUGUACUUCUAUUUUGCUACAGUAUCGAAGAAUAGUCACGGUGACAUGAUGAUUGUUUGGGGGGUAAGCGUUCUAGCCAUUGUUGAGGUUUAGGUGACGAAAAUCGUCGAUUAAGAGGAAAAAGGGGAAAGUUUUUAGUUGCUUAAGGGGCAAUAAGUAGCUUUGAGGGACGCAAGGGUUAGGGUAAUUGUGAGGAGAAGUGAGGAAUUAGGGCAUAGGUAAAGGUAGAGGCAACAGUAUAGGUAGUAAUUAUUACCUGAAGUGGUUGAUUUGAUAGGCAUGCAAUGAGAAUUGAAGGGAAAUAGAAAAAUUGAUGCCAAGUGUUUUGGGGAAAUUUCCAUUGGGCCUAACCACCACAGAUGGGCCCCAACCUCUCAACUUCCUUCAAAAACUGGGACAGCUCAGCCCUCCUAACUAUCUCAUUUCUCAAGAGCUACGCAACCACUGCCAUGGCACUACAUUCUAUUAUGUUCAUCCUCACACUUUUUCCUAAAUAAUAUCUGCACUACAAAGUAAAAAAAAAUAUUAAAUUGAAAAAAAAGAUAAAUUUAAUAACUAGGAGAAACAUAAAAAUUAUAGAAAUAAAAUGAAAAGAGGUAUCAAGAUGCUGAGGUUACACAUCUCGAAGGUCAAUGGACAGUUUGUCUCAAUCCACAUGAGCACCCAAGUAGUGUUUUAAGUGUUGUCCAUUGACUUUAAAUAUGACCCCCUGUCUGCAUGUCCUUGAUAUCAAUUGCUCCAUGACGGUAUACUUUGGCUACUUCAAAGGGACCUAACCAGCGGGAUUUCAAUUUGUCAAGGAACAAUUUCAACAUUGAGUUGAAUAAGAACACCUGUCAUCCUAGUUCAAAUCGUCGUGGCAUAAUUCUCUUAUCAUGCUAGUGCUUGGUCUUCUCCUUAUAAAGUUUAGCGUUCUCAUACACUUGCACCCUGAAUUCUUCCAUCUCAUUUGACUCAAGCAAUAUUCUAUUGCCAAUAGCUUUCAAAUCCAUGUUCAAUUGCUUCACAGCCCAAUAUACCCUGUGCUCUAACUCAACCAAAAAAUGGCAUGGUUUUCCAUAGACGAGCUUGGAUUGUGACAUUCCUAACAGAGUUUCGUAAGCAGUACGAUAUGCCCAUAACGCUUCAUCCAAUCUUUAGGACCAAUCCUUACUAUUUGGAUUAACAACCUUCUCUAAAAUAUGCUUAAUUUCUUUGUUGGAAAUUUUAGCUUGCCUAUUGGUUUGUAGAUGAUAUGUCGUGGCAAUCUUUUGUUUUACUCUGUACCUAUGCAAAGUGUCGGAAAAAACCUUGCAAUUGAAGUGAGACCCUUCACCAUUGAUGAUGGCUUGAGGCAUACCAAAUCUCGUGAAGAUGUGCUUGUAUAGGAACUUCUCACUGACUUGGCGUCACUGGUAGGUAGAGCUAUGGCUUCCACCCCUUUGUAGACAUAAUCUACUGCCACAAGUAUGUAUAAAUUGCUAAACGAGGGUGGAAAUGGACCCAUAAAGUCUAUCCCCCAAGCAUUGAACAACUUGAUUACCUGAAUAUUUUACAACGGCAUUUCGUGUCUCAUUGAUAGGUUGUUUAUUCUCUGACAACGAUCGCAUGUCUUAAAAUUCAUGGGCAUCUUCGAACAAAUUUGCCCAGUAGAACCCAUAUUGGAGUAACUUUGCUGUAGUUCUUACUCCUCCAAAAUGCCCUCCAUACGUGGCUGAAUAACAAUGUUGCAAUACAAUGUUCAUCUCUUCAUCAGGAAUACAUCUUCAAAUUAUUUGAUCAGCGUACUACUUAUAUAUAUAAGGCUUAACCCAGUAGUAGAAUCUUGCAUCAUGAAAGAAUUUUCGUUUGCCCUAGCUAUUCAUAUUAGGUGGCAACAGUCCACUAACUAAGAAGUUUCCAAUAUCGUCAUACUAGGGUAAUGUUGUGGCAAUUAAGAACUGGACAUCUCAAAUGUCUUCCUUAAUAAGCUUGAUAUUGUCAUCUUCAUUGCUAGUUUAUAAUCUUCAUAGAUGAUCUGCCAUUUGAUUUUUGGUUCCCUUUUUGUCUCGAAUCUCUAAAUCAAACUCUUGCAGGAAGAGUAUCCACUGAAUCAGUCUUGGCUUUUCAUCUUUCUUGGUCACAAAAUACUUAAUGGCAAAAUGGUCUGUGUAAACCGUGACUUUGGUACCAACUAAAUAUGAUCGAAAUUUAUCGAAUGCAAAUACCACAACCAAUAAUUCCUUUUCGGUGGUGGUGUAAAUAAGUUGUGCAUCAAUCAAGGUAUGACUUGCAUAAUAGAUUGAAUAAAAUAUCUUGUUUUUACUUUGCCCCAGCACUGCUCCUACGGCAUAAUCACUGGCAUCACAUAUGAGUUCGAAUGGCAAUGUCCACUCAGGAGCUAUUACAAUUGGUACAACGACCCAAUCACUUUUUAAACUCCUCGAAAGCUAACAGACAUGGUUUGUCAAAGAAGAAAGGUUUAUUCUACUCCAACAAAGCACACAAGGGUUUAGAUAACUUUGAGAAGUCCUUAAUGAAUUUUCUACAAAAACCUGCAUCGCCUAUGAAACUUCUAAGGCCUUUUCCUAAGAAACCUAUGGUAAUUUUUCUAUCACAUCAAUUUUUGCCUUGUCAACUUCAAUUCCUUGUUGCGAUACCUUAUGCCCUAGAACAAUGCGUUCACAUACCAUGAAAUGAAAAUUUUCCCAAUUCAAGACAAGACUGGUUGCUUCACAUCAGUGAAUAACCAAUUCCAAAUUUUUCAAACAGCCUUCAAAAUUAUUCCCAAAGACAGUGAAAUCAUCCAUAAAGACUUCGAUAAAAUUUUGUCAUCAUACAAAAUACUGUCAACAAAAUACUGUCAUCAUACAACGCUGAAAUGUUGCCAGGGAAUUAUAUAAACUGAAUAACAUUCUUCUAAAUGCAAAAGUACCAUAUGGACAAGUGAAGGUUGUCUUAGCAAUCUGAUUAUACCUCGCAUAUAUUUCCAAGAAGAUGUAGAAGGCCUUCCAAGUUAAUAUGUCCAACAUUUGGUAAAUAAAUGGCAAGGGAAAGUGAUCCUUCCGAGUUGCCUUCCUGAACUUACGAUAAUCCAUGCACACUCUCCAUCAUGUGACAGUGCGAGUUGGCAUAAGCUCAUCGUUGCCAUUAUUGACCACUGUGACACCUCUCUUAUUGGGCACACACUGUAUAGGACUCACCCAAGAGCUAUCUGAGAUUAGAAAGAUAAUAUAUACAUCAAGCCAUUUGAUUAUCUCUUUCUUAACAACUUCCUUCAUGAUAGGAUUUAACCUUCUCUGUUGUUCAAUAGAAUUUCCAUGACAAUCUGCCAAUAAAGUUUUAUGCAUGCAUAGAGCUCGACUGAUUCAUUUGAUGUCAGCAAUUAUCUAUCCUAAUGCCUAUUUAGAUCUCUGGAGAACUUCAAACAACUUUUUCCUCUUGAUCGGGUGUUAACUCCGUAGAAAUAACUACUGACAAAGUGUUGUAUUCUCCUAAAUAAGAAUAUUUCAAAUGCAAUGACAAAGGUUUCAACUCUAGUGUGGGAGGCUCCUCUAUAGCUAAUUUAGGAGGAUUUAAGGUGCAAGCAGAUAAAUCCAAGGACUCAAACCUUCCAUGGUCUAUCCACAAUCUCCUUUGCCUCUAUGAACUCACUAAAUUCUCUAAAAGGUUCUGCUUCAUUCAGCUCAAUUGAAUCUGUAUCACUAUCCGAAUUGCCAUGGUAAAAUCUUGCAAACUCUUCUUCCACUAUUGUUUCUAGCAAACCAAUGGCAUGGCAAUAUUCAUUCUCAUCAGCAUAUUUUAGGGCAUUGAAUACAUUAAGCACAUCAAUCAAAGUUUUGCCUGUAGUAAGAAAAGGUCUUCCAAGAAUAAGCAACACAUCUUUGUCAUCUUCACCUUCUAAAAUAAUGAAAUCAGCUGGAGAAAUUAACUUAUCUACUCUUAUUGAUACGUCUUCAAUUUUACCUUUCAGAUGCGCAUAGGAUCAAUCAACUAAUUUCAAUGUUACCAUAGUAGGUUUUGCUUUUCCAAAUCCCAACUUCCUAAAUACAAACAUAGGCAUUAAGUUGAUACUUGCUCCUGAAUCACAUAGUGCCCUCCCAACAAAAUGAUUUCCAAUUGAGCAUGGGAUAGUAAAACUCCUUAGGUGCUUUAACUUUGGAGGCAAUUUAUUCAUCAACAUAGUCGUGCACCCUUCAGUGAGAGCAACUGUUUCAAAUUCUCCCAUUUUUUUCUUUGAUAAUAUAUCUUUCAUGAAUUUCACAUAAUUGAUAAUUUCCUCCAAAGCUUCUACCAGCGGUAUGUUGAUGUGAAGUUGUUUAAGGACAUCCAAAAAUCUUUUGAAUUGCUGAUCUUGUUUACAAUUGUUGAAGUGCUAAGGAAAAGCUGGAGGUGCCCAACCUUCAGGUUAUUCAGAUUAUUUUGUUGUGGAAUUUCUGUAGGAAAAAUUACUUGAUUCUGUUUCAGUAGUGCUUUGUUUAGCCUUUUCAGUUGCAAUGUGCUUUUCAGGUUGUUCUAAAAUUUUUUUAUGGUUGAGAGCUAAAUUGUCUGUUUCUGCAGUUGCAUCUUUAACAACUUCAUCCUGCUGUGUCCCACUUCUGAGAGUGAUUUCCUUGCAAUGCUUUUUUCCCUGUGAUUUUGUAUUCUCAGUAUCACUUGGCAAAGUUCCUUGUGGUCUCAAACUUGAAGCAUUUGCUAUAUGCCCCACUUGAUUCUCAAGGGCUCGUAAGGAUGCGACUUGACUCUAAAUUAUGACAUCAUGCUUAGCCAUAUAUGUUUUUAGCAGAGAUUCAAUAAAUGAUGAAGUUGAUGCCUGGCCUUGUUAGAUAUUUUACUGUGGCAUAGGUUGAUUAUAACCAAUUAGUGCACUCUCGGCAUUUUGUCUAACAACAGUGUUUGAAUUUCUAGUACCUUAAUUAUUCCAACCAAAGUUUGGGUGUUGUUUCUACCCGGGAUUAUAAGUGUUGGGAUAGGGAUUAUUAUUUCAGUUGAACUUACCCAUGUAGUAAAUAGAUGCUUGUUUUGAUGGACAUUUAUCAAACACGUGGUCUUCACCACAAUAAACACAAGAUGACUGACUAAUUUCAGCUCCUAGACUGCAGCUGGCUUCCACAUUUUCAUGAUCAUAUUAGCUAGAGAAGAUAUAUGGGCUAUGAAAUGAUUGCAUCAAGCUCAAUGGUACCAACAGCUUUCUCAACAGUCCCAAUUCCCAUGGUGGGAUACUGAUAAUCAUUGUUGGCAAUCCUUUCCAAAAUCUCGUAUGCUUUAUUGUAGGAUUUAUGCAACAAAGUACCAUUGGCAGAUGCAUCGACUACCAUCCUUGUAUGUGUAUUCUGCCCAUUAUAAAAUAUCUCUAUCUAAGUCCAAUGCUGAAAACCAUGCAUAUGACAUUUCCUAAGCAAUUCCUUAAAUAUUUCCCAGGUUUCGUACAGUGUUUCAUCCUUUGAUUGCCGAAAAAUUGUUAUCUCAUUUCUUAGCUUGACAUUCAUGUUUGGUGGAUUAUACCGUAGCAAAAACCUUUGGCAAAGGUCAUUCCAUAAUGCCAUAGUUCCCAAUGGCAAAACAUUAAGCCAUACUCUUGCAUGAUCUCUUAAGGAAUAUGGGAAUAGUUUGAGCCACAAUGCGCAUUCAGGAACACCUUACUAUCGAAACGAAUCACAAACUUCUAACAAAAGUCUCAAAUGUAGUCUCAAAUCUUCAAUCGGUAAUACACUGAACUGUCUUACUGUUAGCAACAUCUGAAACAUCACCAGUUUCAACUCAAAAUGUUGAGCUUGUAUAUGUGGCCUGACUAUCCCUAGAUUUAGGUCAUCCAAAAUUGGAACUACAUGCUCUCGAAUUGGCCUAUCUCAAUCAUCAAUCACAGGAUAAAUAGGAAGAUUAACAUCCUGACCAUUAGGGUUUAAUUGAUAAUUCCGAACAGAAUUUUUCCCGUCCCUAGCCAUAUUACGUAAUUCUCUUCUCCUUGUGCAUAAAGUUCUCUCGAUAUUUGGGUCAAAAGGAUAAUCUUCGUUAACAUGAAUACCUCCACUCAUGCACUAAUGGAAAACCUGUAGAAAUUAAAUAACAACUAAGUUAGAUAAAACUAAUGAAACAAAAUAAAAAAUAACAAAACCAAAAACUUGUUGGUUGCACAACUGAUAUGCAAGUCAUGCAAGUAUACACGUCGAACAAGUAAUAAAGUGAUGAGUGUGAUCGUCCCCAUAGGGUUUAGAUAGGUAUAGUUUGGUCGAGUUAUUAUAGUUAAGUUUAAUUAAUGCUAGAGCAAAAAUAAUAAUAAGAAUGCAGUGGAAAAAUGAGAGAAUGAUGAUGUAUAAAAUGUGCAAAACAAAGCAAGGAAACAGAACAAGAAUGCCACAGCAAAAUCACUACGGACAAGGGUUGAGGAUAUAAAAUGUUGAUUAGGACGGUUGGAAUUACUAAUGAAUCUACCUUCACUAACUAUUAAUGCCACACCAAAGUCUUGAAUAUUCUACUGUUUGAUAGGUUUCUACAGUAGUCUGCUUCUCUCGAGAGCAAGACUUUGGGUUCCCUCCCCUAGAGCAUUAUUUGUCUAUAGGCUUUGAGUUCAACUACCACUAAUAUUUUCUACCUUCUUUCAUAUGAGGCAAGGCUCUAUGUCAAAAGGUUGCUACGAAUAAAUGAUUCAUCAUUCACUCAUAUUAUCCAACGUCUAUCCAAUUAGCCUAAUCCUAUCAAAAUUAAGUGAUCUUUAUAAACCUACCUCACAUUUUUCAAUGUAUAACAUGCAAAUAACAUGAAAUACCAGUGAAUAAAAUAGUAGAACAAACCAAACUUAAACGUUAAACAUUAAUAGAAAAAAAUUUUCAUUAAAGUAAUCCUGAGCUUAAGAGACUUAGCUUAUGGUUGGGCAAAUCAAGUUUGAGUUUAAUAUGAUAACCAACAUCAUCAAUAACAAAUAAGCUUUAGAAGCAGUACAAUAGGAAAUGAAGAAGGAAAUCUGAGAUGAUAGCUUUCACCUAUCUAACUUUCAACACAGGUAGAGUAAUGUCUUGUGGCUGCCAAAGAUGAUUGCGGUUGUUUUUCUCCUUCUUCUACACCUUCGUUCUUGGCCCUUUCCUAAUACUUUUUGUUAAUCCAGGGUUGUUCACCCUAAUGAAGGUUCACUGCUUGGCUUUUAUAAGUUUCACCUUCUAAGGUAGGUCCAUCAGUCCUCAAUCCUUCCUCUAUUUUCUAGCUAAAUAUAUUAGGUACACGUACAUUUGGGGCCAAGAACGAUACGCCUUAAGUGCUGACUAGGCAUUUUCUCGGUAUUGUCAUGGCGUUUAUGUUGGCAAACUGUCCAUACUUUUCCAUGGGAAACCUUCAACAUUUUCUCUUUUUCUACGCCUGCACCUGCCAAACAAAUCCCUACCACAAAUAGUUAAAAGCAACAUGUAAUAACAAUAAAGCACAAUCCAAGCUCUUCAAUGCAAUGCUUUAAAAAUGCCAAUGCAAUAUUCUAAAAUGCAACUAAAAACACUUAAGUACAAGUAACCAACUAAGUCUAAGGGCAUGAAAUAUAACUCUUUUCAAGAGUUAUCAUAUGUUAUAUACUAUUUUACAGAAAGAGAAGCUCUGUGUUGGAACGUGGAUAUAUAGAAGUAUGAUUCAUUGCAUUCACAAAGAGAAAGUGGGACUACUCUUCUCGUAUCUCAUAAUGGGCAAGUCUAAAUGGUGGUUGUUCCCAACAAUGAAUUCAAUCAGAGACUCCAUUUAUAAACAGCUCAUUAUGUCACAUCACAAACAAGUCACUGAAUAGAAGUGAAUACAAGAGCAACGAAGAGUAGACACACACACCAAGAAAAGAAAAAGGGUAGCAGAUCACUGACAAAAUUGAGGUAACAACCAUAUCCCUGGCUUUGAAUGGAUAGAAUGAUGGAUGUAGGCGAUAGAGGCAUUAUACAAUGAUUAUGCAAAGAGGCACAGCCUGAGGAUGCCACAAUUGCCACCCAUCAAAUAUGGACAAGUAUAAGAGAAUAAUACCAAAGAGGAGGAGGAUCUAGAAGAAACUGACAAGGAGGAAAAUAACAAUGAUGGGGACACAGAAGAGUCGAAACCAAAUUUUGACUAAAUUCAUGCUUUAAUUUUUCUUUUUGUUUUAUGCAUUUUAUUUUAUUUUGAGACUUUAGUUAAUUAUGGAUUUGGACAAUUUUAUUUAUCUCUUAGUUGAUUUAGUUUAUUUUACAAAAAAAAAACCAUGUGUUAACUCUAUGUAGGAACCCCACAAAUUAGACGACACUAUAAUAUGGAGCUAAACUGGCACGAGGAGGAUCAUCUGACUACUAUCGAGGCACUUCAACGCUUAAAUCAAGUUGUCUCUUCUCUUAUAAUUUAGGUACACAUUAGGGACAAUGUGCCAAAUAAAGUGUGGGAGGUAACAUAUAAUUUUUUCACAAUUUUUGCGAAAUUUUUGAAUUUUUUAUAUUUGUUUUUGUAGUUAUUUUUAAUUUUUAAUUUUGGUGUGAUUGCCUGUGCUUGAACUUGUAGAAAUACAAGUGAUUGUUUAGGAGCAUGUAAAUAGGAUUUUGUGUAUAAAUUGUAAAUUUAACUCGAUAGUAAUAGAUUUUAGGUUGUUUAAUGUUAAACUAAUUAGUUCACUUUGUUAAACUAUAAAUAGGUGAAAGUGUGUUAAGUAUACCAAACGGAAAAUAAGUGCAUGAAAAACAUAUAUGUUUUUUUUGAAUUAUAGGUUGUUAGAAUCUUAAAAUUCAAUUAAUUGAAUCCAUGAAUUGAAACACUUAGGGAUGACCUAAGGUAGUGAGCCAAAAAUCUGACCUUAUUUAUAAAUUCCCUAGUACCUUAAUUUUGAGCUUAAGUCCAUUUUCUUGAUGAACCUUCAAUGAAACCAUGAACCUAAUAUAUAACCUCUUAAUCCUUUUUCUUUUUGGUCCCAACACGAAUGUAGAUGUUGGGCCUUUAAUAUUGAGAGUUAGGUAAAUACAUAACAGAGGUUUCAAAAUGAAAACAAUUGAGAGUGAAAACUAAGGAAUAUAUAGCAUAGUGAGUAUAAGAUACUUGCAAAGUUGUGCUUUAUUGAAGAAAAAAAUCAAGUGAAGAAAAGCUCUGUGAAGGCUAAAAGCUAAGCUAGAAAAUCUCGAAUGAACAAAAGAAAAGUGAGUAAAAAGGAAGAGAACCCAAGAUCAAAAAUAAAAAAAAGAAGAAAAAAGUACUCAUUUUUACAUAAAAAAAACUCACUAAGAUGAUUUUACUCAUUAAUACUAUAUUGUACCUUAGGAAAUGGAGAGAAACGUAAGACAAAAGAAGUGGAUAUAAGGUGGUGAGCUAAAGGAUAUAAUUGGGGUAGCAUUGGGGUCAAUAUAAUGUGCCAAACUAUUUUUAUGCUUAACUUAUUUUGUAGAGCCAGUUCUUGAAUUCCGAACCAACUUAGGCGCUGAACGUUACAAGCCAAAAAGUCCUAUGUGACCUAAGUGAUACAAAUCAUGGAUGAAAAUUAAAUUGAAUGUUAACAUUUCUUAACACUUGUAUUUUUUGAACAUAAAUGUGUAAUUGUGUAUUUUUUAGAUGGAAUAAUAUGCUUAACAUUCAUGAAUUUGUUUAGUUUUUAACUUAGAGAACUAACGUGUCUGAUAUUGAAAAUUAGAAGUAAAUGAUAUAUCGUAUUAGAAAUACAUGUUUAGUGACAUUGUCUUGUUGAUAAUAUUCUAAAUCAAUAUUGUGUAUUAAGCAUGCUCAAGCACCGUUUAGUCAUUUUAUUUUCUUAUUUAUGUGUGUUUUUAUUUUGUUGCUUGAGGACAAGCAACGAGUUAAGUAUGGGGAAUUUUAUCUGCCAUAAUUUGUUAAAUUAGAGUCUUUUCGGCAUUUAACAAGCUUUUUUUCUAGCUAUUUUCUAUGAUUUUGUUACAUUUUUAGUUUUUAGUAGUUCAUAUUUAAUUUUAGUAAAAUAAGCGUUUUUAAGCAAUAUUUACUCAUGUGAUAACCUAACUGGCCAAUACGGGCUUAAGGGAGAACUAACAAGUAAUUUGUGUGUGCAUGGCAUUGUUUUUGGUCUGAGAAAGCGAAGAAUGACGAUAGUGUCAUGACACUGGCAUGUGGUAUCGCAACACCGUACUUCGAAUCCAAAUCAGUCAACCUCGAAAGGUAGUGUCGCGACACCAGUCAUGUGGUGUCGCGACAGAAUGGAAUUUUAGGUCAAGGGUGUUUUUGUCUGCACCAUGCAUAUUAUUCAAUUUUAGGGCUGUUAAUUGACCUAGUUAAGGGAGAAUAUUUUGGCUAUAAAUAUGGAUGUUCAGCCUCAGUUUAGUGAGCUUGGCCGAGUGAGCCGUUUAGAUUAGUUUUAGGAUUUUUUUAUUUUCCUUCUAUUUCAAUUUAUUCCUUUCUUUGACAAAACAUAAAUUUUCCUUUGUUUUAAAUUGGAUUCGAUUUGGAGUCAAGCUCUUGUUAUUUCGUUUAUAUUAGUUUCUUUUUUUGUUUACGAUUGCAAUCUACAUUAUCCUUUGUUUUAAAAGAAUUUCAUCUUUGUUGUGCAAAUCGAUAUCGAGAUGGAUCAAUUUCUUUAUUCCCUUUCUAUAUUUAAUUAUUUGUCUUGCAUUCUGAAUAUGAAAUUAGAGAAAAUUGCAUCUAGAUCCAUGAGUGGCUAAUUCCCUUAGGGAGAUUAACAAUCGGAUGUGGAAAUAAUAGAUGGAAGAACUAGGGUUUGCUUGUAAGAUAGUUGGUUUAAAUUAUGUGCUAUUAAACCCUAGGAUUGAUGACAAUAGGAAGUAAUAUAGGAUAAACGAGAUUGAAAGAUAAGUUUACCGAGUAAAUCAUAAUUUAUCUUGGUAAAGAAAGUGAGGUUGACAUAUAAGUGAGUAAUGGAUGAUUAAUUAGUUAGUUAGAGGCCAAAAGGUAAUAAUUGGUUAGUUAAUAGCUAAUUCGAUAAAACCCGAUUUUUGAAGUUAAUUAGGAACACUGAUGUAAGUUAAUCUUCUACUUGUUUAAUUGGAUUAAUUUCGACUGUUAAUAUGUUUUCUUUAGUUUUAUUCAAUUUUUGUAAUUUUCAUAAAUUAAUUUCAAUUUGGUUAUCCGGACGAUAAUUUUAGGUUACUACUAUUUCACCAUGUUAGUGUAAACAAUUUUUAAUUUGAUUCAACCGCCUUUUGGUACAAUUCUCGGAAUGCUUUUCGGAGUGUUUUGUUGUAAAACUUUAAUGUAUUACAAUUUGACACAUAUACUUGCAGACGCCGAUUCUUAGUUAAUUAUCUUUUUACUGCAGUAUUUCCACUCCAGACGUUCGUACGUUUGGUGGUAGUCAAGUUGUUGGCUCCAUUGCCGGAAAGGUUUUGGCGUUAAAUUAAAAUUUUAUUUUCUACUAUUAAUAGGAUAAAUAGAAAAAAUUAAAAAUAUAGAUGGAAUUUAUUCUAUUCUAAUUUUGUUUGAUAUGUAUUAAUUUCAAGUUGAAUUUUUUUUAGGGAUUUGAUUCCUCUUUGGAAAGAAAGAUGAUAUCUUUCUGGGGACGAAUAAUAUUCAACACAAACUGGAUUCAACCAAGUACAACAAAACUACUUAUUUGUGAAACUCAAUUUGAGAUUAAUCAAGCAUUGUUACCUUGGGUGUCAAAGAAUCUUCAAAUGGUGACAAUAUUAAUAUGGUUCCAAUAGUAUUUCUUCAACUAUUUGUACAGAUUUGCAGCACAGUUGGGUAUUCAAGAGUUUCUAGUGAAGCAAUCAAGUUAUUGUUAAUCCAUUUUACAUUUGGAAGUCAAGUAAAAGAGUGGUUGGAAGUACUAUCACCUGGUACCAUCACUUUAUGGGAAGAGUUCAUACAACUAUUUUUGCACAAAAGUAUACCAAUGCCCAUUAUUCUUAACACAUAUGAUGAACUAUUAAAAUUCAAUCAAGAUCUAAUAAAAACAUUAGGACAAACAUGGGAUUGAUUUAAAACAACUCUUCAGAAAUAGCUUGGAAGGGGUGUUGAUUUAUCUAUCCAACUACAACAUUUUUAUGGAGGUUUAGAUUAGGAUGGCAGAAGCCAAUUUGAAAUCAUUGUAAGAGGAACUGUUUGGAUUAAAAUAACUCAUGAGAUAAUUGUGUUACUGGAAAAAGUGAAUGGCAAUGAUCAUACGUGGAGAAAAUUCAGAGAACCGAAACUAGUAGAUGAGUUAAUGAAGGUGAUAGAACCAGUUAACUCAAAAAUAGAUGAGGAUAAUUCAUAUAACGAAGAUUUUGAAAAUGAUGAUGAGUAGUGGAUAGCAAAUCUGAUAUCCCAAUUAUAAAAGUAAUAAUGGAAGAAAAUAUUAACGAAGAAGCAAUAAGUAAACAACUAGAACAGAUCUAUCGGAUAGAUUUGUGGAAACAGUGUAAUGAAUCGUUGGGUUAGGAAGGACAUUUUCUUGAUAAGAUGGUCCCAUCGAUCAUUAAGCCACCAAAAAUGGAACUAAACCACUCCCAACACAUUUGAAAUAUGGGUAUCUCGGUGAAAACAAUACUUUACUCGUUAUUAUAGUAACCCACUUACCUUUCGAGCACGAAAAGGCAUUGUUAGAUGUGUUGAGAAUGCACAAGAGGGCAAUUGGAUGGACCAUUACCAAUAUAAAAGGGAUCAACCUUGCUUUAUGCCAACAUAAAAUUUGGCUAGAAAAAGGAACGGAGCCAGUAAUUGAUGCACAAAGGUAUCUUAAUUCAGUAAUGAAAGAAGUGGUAAAAAAUGAGCUACGAAAAUGGUUGGAUGCAGGAGCUACUGAUUCUAACUUCCAAUCAUGUUGGGAUUCGAGGAAAUUGACAUUAGGCCGUGUUUUUACCUAGGUGGUGAGUCCAUUAUGUGGAGAAGUGUAAAGUAGAGUUGUACUAUUGACUCCACUAUGGAGGUCGAAUAUGUGGUUGCUUUUCAGGCUACCAAAGAAGCAAUAUGGAUUCAAAAGUUCCUUACGAAUCUUGAAGUUGUUUUUAGUAUGGGAAAAUCUAUCACAUUGUAUUGUGACAACAGUGCGACAAUAGUUAAUACCAAGAAUAUGAGAAACUACAAGAGGACAAAACAUAUUGAUCGCAUGCAUUAUAUCAUAAGAGGGCAGUUGCAGAUGGAAUCAUGUAUGUAGUUAAUGUCGCAUUCGAGGGCAAUCUUGCAGACCCAUUUACCAAGAUUCUACUAGUUAGGAGUUUUGAGAAACAUGUGGAGAGCAUAGGAAUGCAUAAUAUGACUCAUCUACUUCACUAGGGCAAGUUAGAGAUUAUUGGAUCCGGUGUCCUAAGUGUAGUAUAUUCAUUUGUAAACUUGUAAUUUUUUCAGACAGAUUGAAUAAAUAAAACAAAUUCAUGAAUUACACUAAUAUACUUUGUAAUGUUUAAACAAUAUUAAGUGGUAAUACGUGGUCGGAUCGUAGUACGAGAAGACAUCUUAUAUUAGUAGACGGACCUAAACUUAUCAUUAGUCAAAUAAAAAAUGAUCAAACCAAUUGAAAGACUAAUAUGUCGGCUAUCAGCUCCAGUUGGGGAGAUGCUUUUUCUUAGGCAUCAGAGCGAAUGACACCCAGAAGAUAAAGACAUGGAUGUGGCUGACUGGACUGACAGUACAUCGGACUGGACCUAGGAUCAAUAGAUCCUUAAUCUAUUUAUGGAUUUAUUCACUUGUGACAUUUAUAGUGUGGUAUACCUAAAUCUUGAGUGGAUGACGGACUAUGUAUGCGUAACUUGUACACUUUGAUGUAAGUAAAAACCUGAGUUCGAAUAAAUAAAGAACCAGAAGGUGGUGCAUUGGGUGUACGACUUUGACUGCCUCUAAACAUACGAACUUUUAGAGUAAAAAUCAUGCAAAUGAAAUAUAAAUAAUUAAAGUGUGGUAUCUACAAAAGCACAUGUUACAUUGUAAUAUAGAGGUGUUACAAUGAUGCACUAAUAAUUACUCCAAGGAUUGUACCUAAGGGAUUGCAGAUUGGAGAAUUUUAGUAUUAAUUAAUUAGAUCAAACAAUUACUAAUCUAAUUGAGUCACGAGUUAGUAGUGUUGAUUUAGAAUUAAAAUAUUAAUUAAACUAAUUAAAUUAAUUAACCUAAUGGAAUUUCCUAUUCCUAGUGUCAAUGAUGUAAGCUCUCGGCCUAUGAUCGAUUAAUAGAAAGAAUAUCAACUUGAUUUAGUGGUUGUAAUUAACUUCAGAACUCAGGUUGUUUUUAGUGAAUUAAUUAUUACUAACCAGUAUUACCUAUCGGCCUCUACUGAUUAAUUAAUUGACCAAUACUCACUUAUCUUUUGACCUCACUUUCUUGACCAAGAUAAAUCAUGAUUUACUCAGCAAACUUAUCUGUCGACCUUAUUUAACCUACAUUACUUCCUAGGGUCAUCAAUCUUACGAUUUAAGCACAUGUAAAUUUAUACCAACUACUUUGUAUGGGAAACUCUCAUUCAUGUUUUAAUUGCUCCUUAAUCAGUUAAUCAAUUCCAUAAACGAAUCAUCCAAGAUAUAAAUAAAGCACAAGUGUCACACCUCAAGUUUGGCAGAUCUGAGAUUUAGGCGUGGAGUUGUGAACUUAUCUGUUUGGUGCAGUGUUAUUCGUCAUGUUGCAAUCUUCUGGCCAAUUGGAAUGUGGCGUAUAGUAACCGUCAUUGAGGUGAAUAAAUGUUUUCGGUUAUUCUCUUAUUUAAGAAAAGAAUGUGCCAAGUGAAGACUAAUCAGGGAGAGAGUUACCCCUAAAUGAAUAGUAUGCCUAUUUGUCUAAAUACUAAGCUAGUUGGGUUGUAAAGUGGCCUAGUUAGGAACCAACUGGAUUCACUGGUUUAAUAUCAAUUAUGCAGGAUUUUCAUUUAUGUUUCUCUCGGAAUCUGUAAUCCACUAAGAAGGACAAAUUAUGAAUUAAGUGAAACUUGUUAAGUUCUUCUAAGCGUGAUUGGGUUAUAUAUAUGUGUGAGAAGGGUUCUAAGAAAGGUUUUUUCUUUCUUAAAUAUUACUCUCUGAUUAUUUUUCUUAAAUCUAAUUGUAUAUGUUACUCAUUAAGCUGGAAGCUAAGGUUCUUGUUCUAAUCAAUGGUCAUUUCAUCACCUGGUAAGUUUUACAGCUCUGCAUGUUAAGUUUUGAAAGAGUAAGUCUGUAAGAGGUAUUUGAACAAUAAGUUGUAAGGACAAGGCCUUGCAUGAGGGUUAUUUACGAUUGAGAUGUUAAGUAAUUUGUAUGUCUAAGGGUCGUAAUAGUGAAUCUAUGUCCUUUAAGCAAUUGUUGCUAUUGGUUCAAGAAGGAUGUCUGAGUUUGUAGCUUCGAGCUAUAGUAGGUGAGUAUCAGGUGAGUCCCUAUACUAGUUUUGCACGUGAAUUAUUCGAGUAGAGUUAUAUAAAUGAUGAUAAUGUCUUUUAUAAAUGGUAAGGGUAUAAGGUAGAGUAAAGAUGUUAUAUGUGUGAUGAUGAUAUGUAUGAAAUACUGAUUGAAUAGGAAAUUGAGUGGAAAGUAUGCAGGUGAAAUAUGAUAUGGGAAACUAUGAAUCAAUGAGAUGUAUGAACAAACUUGGGUAAGUGAAUCAUGAGUAAAAUGUCUCUUGUGAUUCCCUGGUAGGGCAGUUAGAUUGCUUACCAGACUGAGAGAUCACGAUAUGAAAAUAAGUGUAUGACAAUGUGAGGAAUAUUCUAAAUUAGAAAUUUCAUCUAUACUUCUAAAGGGAAUUCACCAUAAUAGUUUGUUAGAUUAGGAUACAAGCAUAUUUGUAUUAUGAAAGGUAUAAGUGUUCAUUAGUUUGGAUUUGACUAUGUAAGAUUAAAAUUUGAGUCAUCUGAUAUCUAUCGCAUUUGAGUACUAUCAUGUCUUGUUCUGGGGGUAGUUGGAAUCUAAGUCUUCAGUAAGUCUAGUGCUUUUAUGCUACGAAAUAUAGAUGUUUGGAUUUCUUCUAAAUGACCUGAACUAUUCCUUAUCAGUGUGAGUAUGUAUUGGGUUGAAUCACAGUAUGAUCAGAUUAAUGAGCUGAUUUAGCAAACUCAGUAUGGUAAUCCACCAAAAGCAAGAUUAGUAAGUAGUAUUCGCGAAGACAAUAGUACCUGUGAUAAACUAUUUUGGAAUAAACAUUGAUAGUCGUCUGAAAAGAAUAAAAAUGCAAUAUCGUAUGGUAAAAAUCUAAAAUCUUCCAUUUAGAUAGAUGAAAGAUGACAUGCUAAGAAUGAUAGGCGUAUAAGUAUGUAUUUAUUCGAUAAUGUGAAGGUAUCUGCCAAAGACAUAAAUGAGUAAUCCAAAAUUCAAGAGGAAGAAUUCAACAAGAAAUUUUAAAGUUAAUUUGUAUUCAAAUUCACUAAGUUCACGUAACUUAUAAGUGUUAUAUUUAUGUUUUAGGUAUUUUUUGAAUCAUGAGUUUUCCAAGAGUGACUACGCCAAGAAGGCAACUAUCAGAGUUAUUAUGCAUACAGUGGACUUGUAAUUCCCUCAACCCGACCUGAUUCAGUGAGUCCAAAUCUUGGAUGUUAGUACACAUAAUACUUAACAAAAUUUUAAAAUAGUUGAAAAAUACUAUGUACUAAAAAAAUUUCUCUUAUUAUUAUAACUAAAAGACUUAAUAUCUAAGAACAAAAGAAAGUAUUAAAAAUAAAAUACUACAUCAGACCUUUCACUAAAACUUUUACAGUACAAUAUUUAUUAAAUAGAGACUCUUAAGGUGAAAGCCCACAUGUAACACCCCUAACCCGUCUAUGUCGCCGAAUUAGGGUUACAGAGCAUUAUCACACAAUUAAAAAACUUUUACCAUCUUAUCUAAAAAUAAAUUUAACAUAUUAUAAUCCGUUCAAUCAAAUGGAUUUGUCCCUAAAUCGAGCUUUCGCGGCCCUAAAAAUGUCAUAGAAGCAAUUCAGGAUUAAUUUGAAACAAAACGAAAAAUUUAAGAAAAAGAUACAAAAAUUGGAAAAUAGGGGCCACACGGCCAUGUGACAUCACCCAGCCCGUGUAACUUUCUAACAAGGGACACACGACCGUGUCCUAACCUGAGUCGUCACUCGUGUAACUCACUGAGUUGCCCCACACGCCUGUGUGCCAAGCCGUGUGCUAGGCUAUGUAACUCUCUUAGUUGCCACACACGCCAGUGUGCUAGGCCGUGUGCCAGGCCGUAUGCUAGGCCGUGUAACUCGCUUGAAACACUAAGAAACUCCCAAAUGACACACAGUCGUGUUGCCAAGCCGUGUGUGUCACACAACCGUGUGACAACCCAUGUCCCAAGCCGUGUGAACCCAAAAUUUACCUAAAAUCAAACCAUUUCAUAACCAAUUCAUGCAUAACUAACAAUCCACUUAUGCACACUUUUAAGGGACUUAUCAUUCAAAGACACAUAAUCAUGUCAUUUCAAGCAACCAAAUUCACCUAACCAAUAUGCCAUUUAAAGGCACCAUAAUUGCAUCCAAACAUCAUUUACCAAAACAAGUCAACAUUACCUUAUUUCAACCAUAAAAACCUAGUUCAAAUAUAUACCAAUACAUAUCACAAAUGACCAUUCUCAAGUCAUCACAAACAUAUCAAAAGACCAUGCAUUUCAAUUACCUAAAGGUGGCAAAGAUGACCUAACUUAACAAGCAUUAUAAGUCCAUCAACUAAACAUAAACUUCAAAGAAAUAAGCAUACUAAAUCAACCAUUUUAUACAUCCAUGAACUAUCAAUACAAAAGACCUACACAUGUCAUUAUUACACAUGGCCAAAAUAUUCAAAAUCUACUGAAAUAUUUGUUGGAUAUUAUGAUAAGUCUUCGACGAGUUUCCAAACUGAUUCAGCUUCCGAUAAUCUAUAAAAUAAAGGAAAACAAUCACAUAAGCAACGAGUGCUUAGCAAGCUCGUAUAAACCUAAAGAUAAGUUACCAAGUCAACUAUACAAUUCAUAGAUUAAGUAUAAAUCAUUAUCAAUUCCAUAAGCUUAGUAAAAGCCUAUACAACAUCAUCAAAUUCUCAAGUUAGUAUUUUCAUAGAUUUAUACAUCAUUUAGCUUAUAAAUCCUUUUCAUAAGGUCAUGAUUCAAUCCAUUUACAUACUCACCAUCUCGUUUCCUAUUAUUACUUGUUGAACCAUCUAGAAUUACAUCGGAGACUCAAGAAAGCUCACACAUAGUGUGCCUUUACAUUUAACCAUAACCUUUCUUUUACAUCAAUCCUGACAUGAGCUGUGGGUCAAAAUGUAAGCUAUACGAUACUAGUCACAUGAGCUGUGGAGAAUCCGCAAAAAUUAUAGGACCUCAACGAUCGGUAGGACAUACAAGACCAGCACCAGAAGCAUGAAAUCCCUAAUGACAUGUCAUUUGUAUCCUAAGAAUUCUUAAGGUUCAAUUGGGACUUGAUAUCUAUCAAAUCAUCAUAGCAUAAAUACAUUCAUAUAUUGUUUCAUUUACAUUAAAACAACUUAGUAAACUUUCAAUUUAGAUAACAUGAAAACGAUUACAAUCCAUACGAACUUAGCUCGAUAACUAGGGCGUAAUGAUAUUGUCGAACUGGUCUGAACCUUUAGCUUUUCCUCGCUUUAAGUUCGAACGUAAUUUAGCUUGAUCUAAGUAUAUAAUUUCAUUCAAUUAAAUACUUUUAGUAUUGAAUUUAAUCCAUAAUUCUUAUUUAUUCAAAACUACAAAAUUACCCCUAAUACUUUGACUUUUAACAAUUUAGUCCUUAAGCUCAUAACUUAGAAUCUAACCAUUUGAACUUAUACCCAUAUUAACCAAAGCUACAAGGGACCUUGGAACAACUGAUCAUUACCAACAAUUCACACUAAAACCCAUAGAUUUACACUUUUAACCAUUUAAUCCCGAAUUCCAAAUUUCAUCAAAAAUCACUUAACAAAACCUGUUUACUUUACAACCAAGAGUAAUAAUUUAUCAACUAACAUCAGCGCAUAUCCAAAAACAUCCAUGGCAAGUCCCUCAAACUUUAAUAUUUUUGCAAAUUAUCACUUGGGCUAGCUAGAUUAAGCUAAAACGAUAUCAAAAACAUAAAAAUCAUAAAAAAUAGAACAAAACUACAUACUAUGCAUGAAGAAAAAUCAAAACCAAAGCUUCUCCCCCAUUCAAUAGUGAUUUCGGUUCAACCAAGUGAAAAAUGAAAAAGAUGAUAGCUUAUCUUUUUACUUUUCUUUGUUUAGCAUUUGGUUUAUUUAUCAAAUUACCAAAUUAACUUUUUAAAACUAUUAAAAUUUCAUUAAAACUAAUCCAUAAACAUCCACUAUCAACAUAUAUGGUAAAAUUAUCAUUCUAGUCCAUUAACUCUCAUUUUCAUAGCCAUUUAGCCCCUUUAACUAAUAGAACUCAACUUUUACACCUUUUACGAUUUAAUCCUUUUCACCUAAUUAACCAAUUGAACCUCAAAAUUUCUUAAGAAAAUUUUAAUACGACCUUAAUACAAUCCCAUAGACAUUAAAUAAACAUUAAAAUAAUAAUUUAGUCAUUGGAAUUAUGGUCCCAAAAGCACUGUUUUUGACACCACUAAAAACGGGUUGUUACAACUCUCCCCCUAAAAGAAUUUUCGUCCUCGAAAAUCUUACCAAAAAAUAGGUUCGGGUAUUGCACUUUCACAGCUUCUUUUGGUUCCCAAGUAGCUUCCUCAACUCCGUGACGUUGCCAAAGAAAUUUAACUAAAGCUAUAGUUUUAUUUCUUAACUAUUUAAUUUCCGAGCUAAGAUCUUGAACGGUUGUUCAUUGUAUAACAUAUCUGGCUGAAUCUCAACAUCUAUAGGUGAAAUAACAUGCGAAGGGUCAGUUUGAUACCUUCAUAACAUUGGUACAUGAAACACGUUAUGGAUUUUCACUAACUUCGACAAUAUAGCCAACCGAUAAGCCACAGGUCCAAUCCUUUCGACUAUCUCAUAUAGCUCGAUGAAUCACAAACUAAGUUUCCCUUUUCGACCAAAACAGAGAACUUUUCUCCAAGAUGAUACUUUUAGAAAUACUUUAUCACUGACCUGAUAUUCAAUAUUUUUUUUUCAAAUCCACAUAAGAUUUUUGAUGAUCAGAAGCAAUUUUCAAACUGUCACGUAUUACUUUGAACUUUUCUUCGAUUUCUCGAAUCAAAUUAACACCGAACAACUUUUUCUUACUCAAUUCAAUCCAGUAUAACAGAGUUCGACAUUUUUGACCAUACAAAUCUUCGUACGAUGCCAUUUUAAUGCUUGCCUGAUAACUGUUAUUAUAGGAAAAUUCAACCAAUGGAAGAAAUUUCUCUCAGCUACCUCCAAACUCUAAAAUACAACAUCGGAGCAUGUCCUCGAGUACCUAUAUCACUCACUCAAACUAACCAUUGGUCUAUGGAUGAAACAUUGUACUGAAAUGCAGUUGAGUACACAGAGCUUCAUGUAAUUUACUCCAGGAUCGAGAAGUAAAUCGUGGAUCCCUAUCAGAGAUAAUAGACACCGGCACACCAUGCAAUCUAACAAUCUUAGAAAUGUACAAUUCUGCCAACUUUUCAAGUGAAUAAUCCAUACGCACUGGAAUGAAAUGUGCGGAUUUAGUUAAACAAUCUACAAUGACCCAAAGAACAUCUUUCUUUCGCAGAGAUAAAGGCAAUCCCGAUACAAAAUCAAUCGUAACUCGUUCCUAUUUCCAUUUUGGAAUCAUCACAAGCUGUAAUAAACUAGAGGGUACUUGAUGUUCGACCUUAACUUGUUAACAGGUCAAACAUUUUGAUACAAACUUCGUAAUCUCUCGUUUCAUACCCGGCCACCAGUACAUCUAUUUCAAAUCACCAUACAUUUUAUUACUACCAAGAUGUAUUGAUAAGCUACUGCUGCGAGCUUCUUGUAAAAUCUUCUGAAUGACAUCAUAAUUUCUCGGAACACAAAUUCUGUUGCGGAAACACAAAAUACCAUCUGAGCUAACAUGGAAUUCAGAAUUAGGUGUUGACUCAAUCUGUUUUUGCUUGGUAAUAAACUCGUGAUCACUUUUCUAAGCCUCGCAAAUCUAUUGCAGAAAUGUCGGUCUAUCUUUUAAUUUUACUACAAUAGAACCAUCAUCAAUCAAUUUCAGCCUUUUAUGAUCCGUGAAGAUAUGACAUCUUUUUCUGUAUAAAUGGUGUCGCCAGAUCUUUAUAGAAAACACAAUGGCUGCAAGCUCUAAAUCAUGAGUCAAGUAUUUUUUCUCGUGUGGUUUCAACUGUCAGGACACAUAAGCUAUUACUUUUCCAUUCAAUGAAGCAUCACUAUACAUCACAAAUUCUUUACCAGACUCUAUCUGAACUAAUACAAGAGCUUCGGUCAACAAAACUUUCAACUGAUCAAAGCUUUUGUGACACUUUUCAGACCAUUCGAACUUGACAUCUUUCUGAAGCAGUUUUGUCAAUAGCGUACCAAUCAUAAAAAAUCCUUUAACAAAUAUCAUUAAUAUCUGACUAAACCCAGAAAACUUAUGAUUUCUGAAACAUUUCUCGGAGGCUUCCAAUCCAUUCUAGCUAAUAUUUUACUCGAGUCAACCCUAAUACCCUCUGUGGAUACCACGUGUCCCAAAAAUCCAACUUCUUAGAGCUAGAAUUUACAUUUGCUAAAUUUAUAAAACAAGUGUUUUUCGCACAAAGUCUACAAAAUUAUUCUCAAAUAUUGGGCAUGCUCUGUUUCAUCUUGAGAAUAGAUCAUAAUGUUAUCAAUGAACACAACAACAAAUCUGUCUAGAUACGGUAUGAAUAUUCUAUUCAUCAAAUCCAUAAACACAGCAGUUGCAUUGGUCAAACCAAAAGGCAUAACAAGAAAUUCGCAGUGUCCAUACCUGAUUCUAAAUGCAUUUUUCGGCACAUCUGAAUCUUUUACCUGUAACUAAUAAUAUCCAGAACGAAGAUCAAUCUUUGAAAAUACUGUCGCACCUUUCAACUGAUCAAACAAAUCAUCAAUACGUGGCAAAAGAUAUUUGUUCUUGAUCAUAACUUUAUUAAGUUUUCGAUAGUCGAUACAUAACCAUAUUGGUCCGUCUUUUUUCUUAACAAACAAUACAGGAGCACCCCAGGGAGAAAAACUAGGCAGAACAAAGCCUUUGUCAAUCAACUCUUGCAACUGUGCUUUCAACUCUUUUAAUUCUGUAAGUGUCUUUCUAUAUGGAGCUAUCGAUAAUGGAGAAGUUCCCAAUAUUAAUCAAUAGCAAAUUCAACCUCUGUGACCGGCGAUAAUCUUAGUAAUUCUACUGGGAACACAUUCAAAAAUCCAUAAACAGUCAGAACUAACUCCAACUUCAAUUCUUAAACCCUAGAAUCGAAUAUAUAAGCUAGGUAUGCCUGACAGCCUUUUCUAACAUAUUUCUGUGCCGACAUAGCUGAGGUAACAUUAGAUGUACUAUUAAGUAUAUCUUAUUCAACUCAGAUUACUUCACCAUUUUGACAUUUCAAUUCAUUUUGCUUUCGUUUAUAGUUCACCACAACAUCAUGCAGAGUUAACCAGUCCAUACCCAGAAUCAUAUCAAACUUAUCAAAUGGUAAUAACAUCAAAUCAGCCAGAAAGUUGAAAUCCCGAAUCAUCAAAUGAUAAUUUUUACAUACUUUAUCAACUAACACAUACUGACCUAAAGGAUUCGUUACUUUGACCACAAAUUUAGUAGACUCAUAAGGUAUUUUCUUAUCCAACACUAAAUUUGUGCAUACAUAUGAGUGCGUUGACCCAUGUUCAAUCAAAGCAUUAACAUUAGUAUCAAAGAUAGAAAAUGUACCAGUAAUCAUAUCAGGUGGUGAAGCUUCCUCUCAAGCUCAAAUCGCAUAAGCCCUAGCUCGUUCCAAUACCUCAAAUCUAAUAGUAGAAUAUUUCAUUUCACUUCGACAGUUAUCUGCAUUUCCAUUAUUUCUGGACUGUCUCCCUCUCGUAGCUGUGUUACUCAAACGAGUAUCUUGAGCUUUUUCUUUAUUUGAUCUUUCAGGGUAAUCUCUAAGGAAAUGAUUGUAGGAACCACAUUUGAAGCAUGAUCCAUCUCUUAAUCUGCACUCCUCGAAAUGUCGUCUAUUUCAUUGUUGACAUUCAAGUUUAUUAUUUCGAACGCUACCCAUACUCACUAUAGAUGUAGUGGUCUCAAAUUAAAAUUUUGUUUUCCUUUAUAUCUUCACGAGAAUCACACUAAAGCUCAUGUACAACUGUGAAAUUCCUUUGAUUUCUUCGAGGGAGAAGAAAAUAACUUUCCCAUAGGUCAUUUACCAGUGUCACGAGCCUCAAAAUAUACUUUUCUUUUCACUUUACUGAGUUCUUCAGUUUUAUGUGCUCGAUCCACUAGAACCACGAACUCUUUCAAUUCUAGAAUCUCAAUUAGCAACUUGAUAUCUACAUUUAAAUUGUCUUCACACCGAGUACAUAUAAUAGCUUCUGAUGGUAUACAUUCUCGAGCAUACUUGCUAAGUGAUACAAAUUCUUGUUCAUACCCAGCUACAGUCAUACGACCCUAUUUUAAUUUGAGAAAUUCUUUCUGUUUCUUUCUGAGAAAAUGCUGGAUAACAUAUUUCUUUCUAAAUUUUGUUUGAAAGAAUUCCUAGUUCACACGAUCUUUACGUACCACCAUAAUCAAAGUAUUCCACCACUGAUACACUGAACCUUUUGAUAGAGAUACAACACACUUUAAACAUUCAAUAGGUGUAUAAGAUAAUUCAUUAAAAACGUUCAUAGUGCUUUCCAACCAAAACUAGCUUUUUCAGGAUCAUCUGUACCACGGAACUCUUCAACCCCAUAUUUUUAAAUUUUAUCAACCGAACGCUUGCUUGCACAUACUUGUUCCAAACCUUAAGGAAUAACAGGGACAGGUUGGGGUAUAGGAGGUGGUAGAGGUCGUUGAGCCAUCAGUUUUGUUCUCACAAACUCAGAGAUCCACUCAAACAUCAUUUUGAAGAAUGCUUCUUUCGCCUCACUUCCCCGACCCUCAACUACGGGCCCACUACCACUACUAGCUGCUUAGUUUAUGGAGGCUGCGCGUUACUCUCAACCUCAUUGGAAUCAGCUCAGUUGGAUGACAUCUUAUCUAUACAAAAACAUAGUCCAAUUUGAGUUAAGAGGUAUCACACUAUCACAUGUUAUAUAAUGGCAUAUAUUUCUAGACUGCAUACACGCUACAUUCAGUUCGAGAAUCAACUAAGCCAUAGCUCUGAUACCACUAAAUAUAACACCUUAACCUGUCUUCGUUGUCAAAUAGGGUUACAGAGCAUUACCAAACAAUCGAAAAACAUUUCACAUUUUAUCUAAAAAUAAAUUUAACAUAUUAUAAUUCAUUCAAUCACAUUCAUUUUGUCCUUAAAUCAACCUUCACGACCCUAAAAAUAUUAUAGAAGCAAUUCGGGACUAAUUUAAAACAAAAUAGAAAAUUUAAAAAAAAGAUGUAAAAAUUAGAAAACAGAGGUCACACGAUCGCGUGGUAAGGCCAUGUGACAUCACCCCAUUCCUUGUAACUUUCCAACAAGGGACACAGGACCGUGUCCCAGCCCAUGGUCCUCACUCCUGUAACUCACUGAGUUGCCCCACACACUCGUGUGUUAAGCUGUGUAACUCACUGAAUUGAAACACUAAGAAACUCCCAGAUGACACACGACCGUGUUGCCAGGCUGUGUGUGUCACACGGUCGUGUGAAAGCCCAUGUCCCAGGCUGUGUACACCUAAAAUUUAACUAAAAUCAAACCAUUUCACAACCAAUCCAUGCAUAACUAACCAAUCCACUUAUGCACACUUUCAAGGGACUUAAGCAUCAUUCAAAGGCACAUAAUCAUGCCAUUUCAAACAACCUAAUUCACCUAACCAAUAUGCCAUUCAAAGGCACCAUAAUUGCAUCCAAACAUCAUUUACCAAAACAAUUCAACAUUGCCUUAUUUCAACCAUAAAAACAUAGUUCAAAUAUCUACCAAUACAUAUCACAAAUGAUGAUUCUCAAGCCAUCACAAACAUAUCAAAAGACCAUGCAUUUCAAUUACCUAGAGGUGGUCAAGAUGACCUAACUUCAAAGGCAUAAGUAUACUAAAUCAACCAUUUUAUACAUCCAUGAACUAUCAAUAUAAAAUACCUAUACAUCCCAUUAUUAAUCUUAGCCAAAAUAUUCAAAAUCUAUCGAAAUAUCUGCUUAGUGUGAUAACUUACCAAGUCAAUUAUACAAUUCAAAAAUUAAACAUAAAUCAUUAAAAAUGCCAUAACCCUAAAGGCCUAGACAACAUCAUCAAAUUCUCAAGUUAGUAUUCUUUUCCAUAAUACAAAAGUAAUCAGUCAUAAAUCCAUUUCAUAAGGUCAUGAUUCAAUCCAUUUACUCACCAUUUUGUUUCCUUUUCUUACCCUUUAAACCAUCUAGAAUUACAUCAGAUACUCAAGAAAGCUCAGACAUAGUGUGCCUUUACAUAUAACCGUAAUCUUUCCUUUACACGAGUUAUGGAGAAUCCGCAACAAAUACAAGACCUCAGCCAUUGGUAGGACAUUCAAGACCAGCAUCUGAAACAUGAAAUCUAUAAUGACUUGUCAUUUGUAUCCUAAGAAUUCUUAAGGUUCAACUGAGACUUGAUAUCUGUCAAAUCAUCAUAGCAUAUAUACAUUCAUAUAUUGAUUCAUUUAGAUUAAAAUAACUUAGUAAACAUUCAAUUUAGAUAACAUUAAAAUGAUUACAAUUCAUUGGAACUUAGCUCAAUAACUAGGGUGUAAUGAUAUAGCCGAAUUAGUCCGAAGCUUUAGCUUUUCCACGAUUUAAGUCCAAAUGUGGUUUAUCUUGAUCUAAAUAGAUAAUUUCAAUCAAUUGUAAUCCAUAAUUCUUAUUUAUACAAAAUUACAAAAUUACCACUAAUUCUUUAACUUUUCACACUUUAGUCUUUAAGCUCAUAACUUAGAAUCUAACCAUUUUAACCUAUACCCAUAUUAACCAAAGCUACAAAGGACCUUGGAAAAACCCAUCAUUAUCAAUAAUUUACACUAAAACCCAUAGAUUUACACUUUUAACCAUUUAAUCCCUAAUUCCAAAUUUCAUCAACCAAGAUUACUAAUCUAUCAACUAAUAUCAAACACAUCCAUGGCAAGUGCCUCAACCUUUAACAUUUUUUCAAAUUAACCCCUGGGUUAGAUAGAUUAAGCUAAAACAAACUCAAAAACAUAAAAAUCAUUAAAAACAGAACAAAAACAUACCAUUCAUGAAGAAAAAUCAAAUCGAAGCUUUUCCCCCUUUCAAAGGUGAUUUCGGUUCAACCAAGUGACAAAUGAAAAAGAUGAUAGCUUAUCUUUUUCUUUUCUUUGUUUAACAUUUAGUUUAUUUGUCAAAUUACCAAAUUAGCCUUUUAAAACUAUUAAAAUUUCAUUAAAACUUAUCCAUAAACAUCCACUAUCAAUAUAUAUGAUAUAAUUACCAUUCAAGUCCAUUAACUCUAAUUUCCAUAGCCAUUUCGCCCUUUAACUAAUAAAACUCAACUUUUACACCUUUUAUGAUUUAGUCCUUUUCACCUAAUUAACCAAUUAAACCUCAAAAUUUAUUAACAAAAUUUUAAUAGGACAUUAAUACAAUCUCAUAGACAAUAAAUAAACAUUAAAACAAUAAUUUACUAGUCAAAAUUAUUGUCUUGAAAGCAUUAUUUUUGACACCACUAAAAGCGGGUUGUUACACCACAAUACUCCACUUUUCUACUGUAUGCAUAAUAACCCACUUCACCGCUACCUUGGCAUACUCCUGGCGUUGUCCCAUCUGGUGGAUUCUUUUGCCAACACCUGAAGCAACAAUAAACAUUAUAAGUUUAAGAGAACUUAGUGAGCUUAUAACCAAAAACAUUGGCAGUUACUUUAAUAUUUGAAGAACAUCUAUGUGCCAACUAUCCUUCUGAACCAAUUACUUCUAUAUCAGCAGAUACUGUUAAAAUUCUGGCUUAUAGUUACUCACCAACUACCAUACUCUUAAAAUAAAAGUUCUUUCUAAACUAACUAACUUAAGAUCCUUCUAGACAUUUCAUUAAUCUCUUCAUUCUAUUAACCACAAAAUUACUAUUCAAAAGAAUAUAUCUUCAGAACCCACUUGAUACAAACAAUCUCUUCACACAUACACUCAUUCUAGAAUAGUUGUUCAUAGAUACUAAACACUGGCAAGUACAUACACAUUUGACAAAUACAUAUGCAGAUCUGCAUACCAUCAAUUUACUAAUCAAAUCAUACAUUGGUUCAAAACCAUACAAACUCACAACAAUAAUGUAUCACAUAGAUCAUUCAGAUGAACUCGACGCCACUUUAUUACAAGAACCCAGAUGCUCAGGAUAACAAUAACUUGGAUUCCAAAUGAUUUCAAAAGAAGACAUAAUACAACUCAUAUAUGGAGGAUUCCAGAUAAAUCAGAUUCAACCAUUACAUAACACAGACGAACUCACAUUAACAAUUUAUUAUGUCUCUUAUAACUACGAAUACAACCAUAUUCAACAUUAAUAGAUUAUCAUGGUGGAUACCCUUCUUCACAUACAGAUACACACUUUUCUUUAAGAACUUCCUUAAAAACUUAUUCUUUUAUUUCACAAAUCUAAUUCAACCAAAUUAAUGUGGGACAUAUCAUAACAUUAUCUUAGCAAUACCUAUUACAGGGUAAUCGGAAUUUAUCCAUAACUUACAAUAAGGGCGAAUAAGCAUAUUUUACCAAACAGACUUAUAAGAGUUAGCCACAAAGGCCAAACAGAAUAUACAAUAAAGGCAUCAUACAGAAUCACACAUUUACCGUCUCCAAAUCAAAUUAAGAUGUCAUAGGUCUCAACCUCAUGGUAUUAAACUUGUUUUCAUAUUAUGAUCUGCCAGUCUGGUUAGCAAUACAACUAUCCUAGUAGAGGCAUCACAGAGGAACAUUUGCUCAACAAUUACUUACUUAGAUGUUCAGCUUUUUACUGGUCCAUACAUCUCGUUUAUCAAACCUUAAUUGCUUGUUUACCAAACAUUAUUCUUUUUAAUAGAACUUUAUAUGUAUCAUCAUUACGCAUCUCUUAUCUUUACUAUACUUAUACUUUUACAAAUUACAGUAGGCAUCAUCAUCCUAUAUAUAUGUUUCUACUUGAACAAUUCACAUAAAAGAGUCUGAAUUGAGACUCACCUGAUACUCACCUAUUGUAGUUCUAAGCUCCAGAAUCAGACAUACUUCUCGAACCAGUAGCAACAACUUCUUCAAGAACAUAGGAUCACCAUUAAAACUCAUUUACAUUCAAAUUACAAUCAUCUCAAGCUCAGAUACCCCUAUGCAAAGCCUUAUACUUACAAUUUACUGUUCAUAUAACUUUUAUAGACUUAUUCGUUCAAGACACCUAACACGCAGAGCUAUAAUACUUACCCAUAGGUGAAAUAACCACCGUUCAUAUCCAGAACCAUAGCUUCAAGCUUAAUGAAGAAGAGAUACAAUUAGACUUAAGAAAAAGAAUUAGAGGGUAACAUUGAAGGAGGAAGAAAAACUUUUUUUUCAAAACCCUUCACACACACACAUAUAUAUGACCCAUCCUACUUAGAGGAUCUUAACAAGUGUCGCACAUUUCAGAAUUUGUCUUCUUAAUGGUCCAAAAUUUUUGAAAGAAACAUAAAUGAGUAUCCUAUAUUAUAGAUAUCAGACUAUUUUAUCCAGUUGAUUCCAAAGCAGGUUACUUUACAACCUAACUAGUACAAUACUUCAGUCAAACAAGGUGUACUGUACCUUUGGCGUUACAUCAUACCAUAAUUACUUUUUUACUUAAUAAAAUAUUUCUCUUUAAAUAAUAGAAUAAUCUGAAAUAAAACUUUCACUUACUUACAAGACAGUUAUUAUAUGAUCGCACAUAUACACUGAAAGAAACAAUUAGGCAGAUCACACUUUGCCACACAUAUUAUUUUACUAAAAUAUUCCCAAAUCUUGGACUUGUCAAACUUGGGGUGUGAUAGGACUAUCUAGAAAAGUGGCAUAUUAUAGGAUUAUGCCAUAAAGAAUUGGUCUUUAGCAAUUUUUUUGCUAUAAUGAGUUGUAACAAGUCUAAUGUAUUAUUUUAUUUUCAAAAAAUGUUUUUCUUUAUUUCUUUGAUAUCGAGUCCUUAAAUAAAUGAUAAGAGAAAAUUUUUAAGUAAGGAGUACUCGCCAACUAUUUGAAAAUUUGCUAAAUGAUAUGUGUAGUGACACCCGAGAGCCGGACUCGGUGGAUCAGGUCGAGUUGAGGGCAUUACAAUAAGAAUUUAUCCUAAUAUUCAUGCAAACAUUGAUUGACCAAGUUAAAAAAAUAUAAAUAAAAGAAUAAAAAAUAGAAUAAAGGGAAAACUCAUGAAUAAAUAAUUGGAAGUGUCGUUGUGGAGAAAUCUUUGCUCGUGAUCGUCUUUAUGUCGGAAUAGAAAGAUCCCAAUUAAGCAAAAAUAAGAGAAACUAAAAUAAUAACUAAAGAAAAUUGAAAACUAAAAUUAAAAAUAUGAAAGGUUGUUCGACAACUCCUUAGGGUGAUUACCUAGGUCAACUCCCAAAGCUUAGUAUAAGCUUGCUAUGUAUAAGCAAAGUUAGUAGGGUCAAUUAGGUCAAUUACAAGCCUUAAUUAAGCUAAAUAUGGGUUGUGUAGACAUAAACAUUCUUCAUGAAUUUUUAACCUCUGUCAGACCUGUGUCGCAACAUAGGCUUAUGCGUGUCGUGACACACAACUUUGAAUGCUAAUUUUGUAAUUGGCUCAGUUUUGUUGCGACCCCGAAAGCUUGUGUUGCAACUAGGAUGUUGGUUCGUGAUUGAAUGUGCAAGUAUACACAGUCGUUAUCAAGUAAUAAGUAAGUAAAUAGAGUAUCGUCUCCACAGGGACUAUGUUGAUAAUUAGUAGCUAUAAAAUUAAUGUUUUACAAGUUGGUUAAGAAAUCACAAUAUUUGAAGGUGAUGGAUAAUUCAAUUAAAUUAACAACUAAUAUGCAAAUAAAAUAAAAUAAAAUAAAUGCAAUGGAAUGGUUUAGCAGCAAUUAUUCUUUAUAAUGAACAAGUUUUAACAACAAUAACAUGAAUAAGUUAGAAUAAUUACAACUCUUAAUUCAAUUCAUUUUUUAUCAUGUUUAACAAUGUUCCAGAAAGAUUCCAUGGCAACUCGAUCAUUUAUGAACUGGGAAUCUAAAUCAUAAGCUCUUUCGAGAUCUUAGAUUUGUCACUUAGAAAAAUAUGUAUAUUUUUGUGUCACCGUUUAACUAAGGAUUCCUUAAAAUUUAUGCAAAGUAACAGGGACGGGUCAGGUUUGAAACAAUUUAAUUACAUAAAUCUAAAGUUAUGCAAGGUAAUAGUGUUCUUUUGUAAUUAUUACGAACCUCAAAUUCAUUCUUAUUCGGAUAUAAAUUAAGCAUGCAUCUUCUAAUUAUUACAUCCAUUAACCACCAUCUGGUUUAGAUUAAGUGAUUAAUUCUAAUGCAGUCAAACAUAUCUUAAUGCAUGAACAACAUGAAUGAUUUUAAUUGGAAGCAUAAACAACUGGGGCACAAAAAAAUAUAACACGAAUUGAAUGAAUUGAAUCAGGGCAUUACAAUCAUUCUAGCUAAACAAAUUUAAGUUAUUAUUUUUAAUGAAAAAGUAAUCAAAUAAUUUGCAAUCAUGUUUAUAAACUAAAAACAAUUAAAAGAGAAAGGAAGAAGAAACUUUGAGAUGCAUUCAGUGAUUUCCCAAGAACUAUAAAUGGUGGCUUCCUCUGAUUUUCGUCGUUACUCUGACACAAAUUAAUCCUCAAGAUGGUCGACCAUGAGAUCUUUUCUCUCAAGAAUUUCUUGCUAAGAGAACUCUCAAAGAGAGAAUGGGAAAAUGAAAGAAAUGGAUGGCUAGGCGUGAGAGAGAAGAGAAUGAUUGAAUGAAUGAAUUAUGGGAUGAGGGAUUAAUGAGGGUGGUAUUUAUACAUUUGGAAAGGGUUGGGAGUUUGCUAAAAAUAGCAUGAACAUCCCUUAGAAAUCUCCCAUGAAUGGUUGGCCAUAUUUCAUGGAGAGAGGGGUUAAUUGUUUCAUGAUUCAAGCUUGAUUCUUGCUUGAUUUAUGACAUGGGUUAGACGAAAAAUAUAGGGUCUGAUUGGGGCUGAUUUGUGAGUUUUUACACAUGUAUAAUUAUUCCAAUUUUUUUUAGGCUGCUCUACCAAGUCAAUGUUGUUUCCCGCUUAAAGGACGGCUUGGGCUCUAAUGUGAAAGGCAGACUUGUUCUUUUCAGCAACCCAUUUCCAAGUUGGGUUAAAAUAAUUUUGCUCAGUCCAAAUUCCUUAGCAUGUCAUCCCAUGGUGAUUGUUGCUCAGCUCAUGUCCUUGUGCCACUCAUACUGGCUCCGAACAUCGAACAAAUCAGUGUACCAAGUUGCAACAAUUAUCACACAAAUUAUGAAAUUUCAAAACACAGUAACGUAGAGUAGAAUUAUGUGAAUUUAGCAUUGAAUUACUCAAAAAUUAUAAUCUUACUUUAAUUGUGCCAAGAUUCUCGAUAUGUACUAAAAACACAUAAUUAGUUAUCAAAAUACUCAGGAUUUACACAAAUUCUAAGUAAUAGGGUGCUCUAAAAAUCUAUAUAAUUUAGAAUUAUCAAUUGUCAUUCCUAAUGCUUUUGAGCCUAAAUUGUAUAUGUCCAUUGGUCCCUCCGCUAGCUCAUUGAAACCAUAAAUGAAUUAUUUGUUGAAUCAAAUGAACAAAAAUGAAUAGAAAUGGUGAAAUGGAGAAAUAGGAAACAUUUGGAAAAAAUUAAGGUUUUCUCCAAGAUAAAAAUGAAAAUGAAAAUGGAGAAACGAAAUUAUUUGGAAAUAAAUGUGGUUUUCUCCAAAAUGAAAAUAAAAAUGACCUAAAAAAUGAAUUUAUGUUUUUUGAAUAAAUGGAGUUCGAAAGUGGAAAUAAAUCAUUUGGUCAUAGCGAAUACGUUGAAUGUAGAAAUUAAAUAAAUUUUCUUAUAUAUUCUUUUAUGGUAAAGCUGUCAUGAUUUUAACGGAACUAAAAUUUGGUUGAGAAAAUUAUUUAAUUGGAAAAUUAAUUUAUUUGAAUUAAUUUAAAUAAUGUAUAUUUUUGGAAAUAGAAAAACAUGUACUGAGUUGGAUUAAAUUAUAAAGUGUUGGGUUAAAAGUCUAGCAAGCACAUAUAAUUGGACCUAAUCCAGGAGAGGCUCAAAUCUCCAUCAUAAUACAUAUGACGGGAUUAUUUUUAGUUUCAACUAGGGGAUUGUUGUUCUAUUAAAUAGGCAUCAAAUUUAUUUUACAAAUUCAAUUAGGGUUUAACUUUCUCUCCCUAUAAAUGGUGGCACUGUUAGGGCUAAGAAUACAACAAGAAGUUAUAUACAACUUUAAAAUCUUCUUAUUUUGUCUGUAAAUAGUGAUGAUUUAUUUCUAAGUAUGAAUUCUAUUUUCUGAGAAUAAUAAUUCUAGUAGUUUCUAUAAGAGAGAGAUUUACUUUGCUACUAAAAGUAAGAAAUUUAUUUUUGUUGUUCUGUUUGAUUCACAAUUAUUUGAUCCCACACUCGAAGUAGUUCGUAGUAUAAGAAUAGCAGAGAAAAUCGUUCAAUUGAAAGUCAGGAAUGUUUAGGAUCCAUCUCAUUCAAAGAACAAGUAUUAUUUCAGGAAAAGGUUUAUUGCUAUAAAUAUCACAAAUCAACUCGCUUUUCAAAUUUUUUAUUUUUUCGCUAUGUAAGAAAACCAUUUUCAAAUAGGAUUUUUCCCAACACGCCACACUAUGAAUGCCAUAAGUGAAUAAGUUCAGUCAGUCAUAUCUAUGUUUCUAUCUUCUGGGAGUCAUCCACUUGACGCUGAAGACAAAGUAUAUCCCCGAUUGGACUUAAUAGACGACAUAUUAGUCUUUCAAUUGACUUGCUCAGUUUUUACUAGACUAAGGACAUGUUUAGGUUUAUCUACUAGUACAAGUUUUCUUUCUGUAUUACAAUUUGACGACGUAAUACCUCUUAGUAUUAGGUAAAUGUUAAAUAACCAGUAAGUCAAUUUUUGCUACCAUUUUGCAUUGCAUACAAAAAACAUUAAGGACAAUAUACAAAGAAUAUUAAUGUAAACAAUAGAUAUUUUUUUAAAACCAAUUUGACCGAAUGAUACAGUUGUACAAUGACAAAUAUAAUACACUUAGUGCAUCAAAUCUAACCCGACAUAAAAUUCAAUCCUCAUUAUCUCGAUCUAGUAGAGGGAUCGAUUAGACAUAUAUAAUUAGGGCUCAAAUAAUUUUAAUUAAGUUUCAACUUUUUUCCUAUUAAUUGUAACAUUAUUAAGUCAUGAAGUCAUUCCACUAACGUCUCAUGAUUGAGAUCUCAUUAUAUCUCAUCUCAUUAUAUUCCAAUGAUCUUGUCAUUAGUGUGUUACCCUCAUAGGAUAUCCUCAAUCUCUUUGGGAUAAAUUUAUUCUCCCAAUAUGAUCCUAUUUUAUCUCAUGGUAACAAAUACAUCUUCCCUCGUGAAAAAUUAAUUAUUAACAAAUAGUAAUUAAAUCAUUUAUCUCUAAGAAAAAUGACCUGUAGCCAUUUUAUAUUUCAUCUAUCAUGUAAUGUCGAUGAGAGGGUAUCAUUUUCUCAUUAGUUGGGCUAUGAAUUUCACAGUUGUAGAAUGAUGCUACAUCAUGAAAAAUUCGUAUACCCAACGUACCAACUUUCGGUUCCUUGCCUAUUUGAACAUAGGCUUUCUUUUACAUCAAUGUAUCCCUAACAUCCCAAAAAUCGGGGGUUAGUAGAAUCAGGUUUGGGAAUCGAGAGAGUGUGAUCAUGCCUUACUUUUUAAGAUUAUCUAUGCAUUUUUAGGAAAUAAAUGAGGUAUUGGGUUGUUGGUUAAGUGUUAGUGAAACAUUUCUUGAAACCCAAGUUCAAAUCCCUUCUCUCUCACCACUUUUAUUAUUUUGCAAAUUUUACCUUAAACCGUAAUAUUCGACUUUCCUUGUUUUAAAAUAAAUAUUGCAAAAUCAUUUCAAUAAUGAGGAAAAAGCCUAAUGGUUAAAAGAAAUAUGAGAAAGCAUGGAAAUUAAAUGAGGUCCCAAGUUUGAAUGCCUUCCCUUGCGAAAUAAUUAAAUUUUGCAAAAUCCCUUAUUUUUUUAAUGUGUGUGCCAUCCAUACCCUUGAACCCUAAGUAUAAAUAUAAAUUUUUAUUUUAUUUUUGAGCAUUUAAUUCAAAUUUUACUUACCCAUGCCAUUCACCCUCUUCCUCUCCUCUUUUCUCUUUAAUUUUUUUCUUUCUCCCAUUUUUGUCCUCGCCUACACCUAGUUUUACCAUCACUUUCUUCUUUUUCUUUUUGCCACAAGAUUUGUUAACAUAUUCUCCACCAUAUUGCUUUUAUUUUUUCCUCCUUAAAAUCAGCCCCAAAUAUGAAAUCUUCAACUCCAAGAUCGAUCCCGAACAUUGCCAAGAAAGUGUCAUUGCCAUUUCUCUCGACUAGCUUGGAUAAAAUCUCUUCUCUCUUCAAUUUCUUAAUUAAUCUUGUCCAUUAAAAACCUAAAUUUAAAGAUCUGGAAUUUGGUGGAUUUUAAAUGAUUUCAAAUUUAUUUUUCUAUAUUUUAAUGAAAUCUUAAACUGUUAUAAAAAUUUAGCCCCAAUUUUGGCCACCGCGAGUAGUGGUGCGAGCACCUAUGGGCAAGAAAAAGGGUUGUUUUGUUUCUUGGUUCUUGCCUAUAUUUUUCUAGAAUUGGUUUGAGUUAUUGAACCCUAAUAAUUAUCUUUUAAACCCAUUUCAAUUAGGUAAAAAUAUUCUUGAUCGGUUGGCCAUUCGGAUCCCACAAAUUGUGAAGCGAAGUGCAAUUAAGGGUAACUAGUUUUUUAUUUCAACAUAGUGGUUGGGUAAAUGUUAUGAUUUGAUUAAAUGAAGGAAUUUAAUCAUUAAUUAGCUAAUUAUUUUAUAGUAUAUUAUUAAAUUUGGUGUUGACCCAAACCCCCCAAACCAUCCCUCAAGGUGAAGAAGGGUUGUAUGUACGAUUCGCAUCGAUAAAGUGUAAGGAAUCCAACUACUUUGGAUUCAUAAAAUAGUUAUGAUUUCAACGAUAGGUUUGAAAUCAUAAGUGGGCAUUUGGGGGCUGGCUUAAUGGUAAAUUGAUUAAAUUCAUACUGAAUUUUGGUUUAGGUUCAUUUAAGGAAUUAUUAAGGAAAAUUGAAAGAUUCGCUAGUGUGUUGCGAGGAAGCAAGAAAUAAGGUGUGGGUCCUAAACUCAUAAAAUUGUUUGAAAUUGUUAAAUAUCAUGUUAUAUAUGAUAAAUUGGCUUGUUUAUUGGCUGGUCUUAAUAGCCAAAUUAUUGAUUUUGCGAGUGGUCGAACUAGGUAUGUUUCGAGCCUUAAAAGAUUGACAUGUUGACAAAAUUGCUAGUUUGAUAGUAUGGAUGUUUGAUUGAGUUUGUAAUUGUAUACUUGAGUUAUGAGAUGUGAGAAUGCUUGACUGAAUGAUAUAUUGUGUUGAGAUAUUAAGCUUAUGUAUGAUUUAAACGAAUGAGGUAUUUGUUAUAUUCUAUAUUGAAAAGGGUGUUAUUUAUGCACAAUGAAACUCUGUAAAGUAUGUGAAAUUGAACGAUAUUGAUUGAAAUCAACUCAAUGGUAAUUUGAAAGAUUGGAACACUUUUUUCAUUUUCUGAAAGUAUGUGACUAUUGAGGUCAUGCUGAGAAUGUCAAAUGAAUGUGAAAAGUAUUGAGAUAUGAUUAUGUAAGAGAUUGUGACAUAUUGCAUAUGCAUUGGGUUGGGAUUUUGUGGUAGACGGAGGAGUUCCGUGGAGUAUUCGUAGUUAGUGCACUGCAUCCGGAGUACCGAAGGGAUUGGCAAUUUUAUCGCAUACUAUAUUUUAUUAUCGAUUGUAUCGCACUAUUUGAUAUCCGAUAGAUUUUUUUGCAUUAUUGAUUAUUUGUUGAUUUUACCACAUCGAGCUAUGCUCAUAAUGUUUUGGAGUUUGGCAGACGGGUUUCGGGGAACUCGUGGUGUAUAGCAAAUUGUAUAGGUAGGAACUUUUUUGCAUUGCAUCAUGUGCACAACAUAUUCGAAUGUUAUUGGUUUAUGCUACUUAUUGUAUUUUUUUGUAUUAAAUAGUAUCUAAAUUAAUGAUUGUUACUCGAAUGAAUGAUGACCUAUGCUCAUAUACCAUUUGACAUCGUAUGAUGGUUAUGUUUUCUUCUAUUAAAGAUAAUAUUUUUCACUGUAUUCGAUAUUUAUGUUUGUUUAAAUAAUUGUUUGACUCCCACUGAGCUUUUUUUAAGCUCACCCCUCCAAUAGUGUUUAACUUUUUAGGUAAACCUCAAAAUUAGGACCGGACUCGGCAUUCGAAGAAUCAACUUGGACCUCGAACAAUUAUUUUUUAAUUAAGUAUUAUUAAGUCUUUAUUGGUUUUGGCUUGUAAUUUUUAAUUGUUUCGGGUUCGUGGCUUGGUAACUUUUCUCUUGGGGAUUUUUGCAUGCAUGGAUUACUUAAGCAUAAUAACCGGAUAAUGCAUGAUAUCGGGCUGAAGUAAAAUUUGAUAUUGUUCCCUAGUUUCCACUAAAUUGCAAAGGAACUAUUUCUGAAAAACAAAUCGAUAAGGCAACUAAUUUUCCAAAAUGACUUGAAAAAUGGUUUUUCUGCUGCAUUAGUUUAGCUUUGAGUUUUUUUUAAAAGAAAAGCGACAAGCAAACGAUUUUUCUAAAACAACUCUAUCAACAAUAAAAUGAAUCCGAAGCAUACACGACCUAAUGAAAGAAUGCUUUUAAGCCUACUCAAAGUACAACUACAAUUUUCUCUAAAAUGAAUUUAUUUAAAGUCUUCAAAAGUAACGUAAGUUAGCUUAGCCAUUUCAGUGGCUAAUGUAGCCUUCUCAAUCUAGCCAUAACGUUUAGGACGGGUUUGGAACGUUACAUUUAGUGGUAUCAGAGCCUUGGUUCAAAACCUCAAGCUGAGUUUUUAAAUCUACUUAAGUAAGUCUGCAUUCAUGCAUACAUGGAAAAGGGGAAAUAUGGGAAAAACAAGCCACAGAGAAUUUUAAAAAUGAUAUUCUACAAAGAAAAUCAGGUCUGAGACUCCGAUGAUAGUUGGCAUAGGAAAGAUGCUGUAAAGUUAUAGGUAAACACUUGAGGUGUAUUAGUGUAGACAGAACUGACAUAGUUAGUAUAUAAUUUUUCUUUGAAACUAUAAGAUAGGAAACUGAAAAUUGAUGGAAGUUAGCUAGUGAUUAUUUUUUUCUGAAAUUAUAGAUCAAAUUUAAGAUCAUAGGAUACAUAAUGAACAACCGUAGAAUGAGGGACAAUGGGGCUCACCGUUGAGCUACCCAAUUUGUGUCAUUUGCUUAUCAAGGAAUUGUGUCUAACCCUGAGACAAAUGACAUCGUGAUUGCACCUAUUUGUAAAGCAUAAAACCAGGCGGGUGGGUAUAAUGCAGUGUCCCAAGCAAUAUUAGGAGUCUUAGAAAAAGUUUUCAAGAUUAUGGUUGGAAGGACUAAUAUGGAGGGAGAGAGUAAAGUCUUAGAGUGAAAGAGAAAGGACAAGAUUAAAUUUCAAAAAAAGGAGAGAGACUGCUUCCACUGCUCUAAAUUCGCGACCUUUAGCCAGACCUCAAUGAAAGGUUGUAAUAGUUAUUAUUUGAGAAACUAUUGAUCAGCUAAUGUUUCGAUUUGCAGAUAUUGUGGUCAGUGUAAUUCAGUAGAGUUUCUGUUAAAAUUGGGAAUUCGUGUAAGGGAAUAUAUUAAUAACGUUUACGUAAUUAGAUCGGUAAGAUGUAUGUUAGGAAUUUAAGGAGACGUAUUGUCUGGAAUUGUGUUAGAAUCAGAGUUACGUAGCGAAAGCUUGGUAGCUCGGUUUGAAGGAAAAAGGGGUAACAGAUUUUAUGACCAAGAAAAUUUAUAGGACGAAAUUUCCUUAAGAAAAGGAGAAUUGUAACAUACCAAAAAUCGGGGGUCAGUAGAAUCAGGUUUGAGAAUCGAGAGAGUGUGGUCAUGCCUUAAUUUUUAAGAUUAUCUAUGCAUUUUUAGGAAAUAAAUGAGGUAUUGGUUUGUUGGUUAAGUGUUAGUGAAAUGUUUCUUGAAACCCAAGUUCAAAUUCCUUCUCUCUCACCAUUUUUAUUAUUUUGCAAAUUUUGCCUUAAACCCUAAUAUACAACAUGCCUUGUUUUUAAAAUAAAUAUUGCAAAAUUAUUUCAAGAAUGAGGAAAAAGUCUAAUGGUUAAAAGAAAUAUGAGAAAGCAUGGAAAUAAAAUAAGGUCCCAAGUUCGAAUCCUUUCCCUUGUGAAAUAAUUAAAUUUUGCAAAAUCAUUUUUUUUAAUGUGUGUGCCAUCCAUACCCUUGAACCCUAAGUAUAAAUAUAACUUUUUAUUAUAAUUUUUAGCCUUUCAUUCAAAUUUUACCUACCUAAGCUGUUUACCCUCUUCCUCUCUUUUUUUCUCUUCAAUUUUCUUUCUUUCUCCCAUUGUUGUCGUCGCCUACACGUAGUUUUACCAUCUCUUUCUUCAUUUUCUUUUUGCCAUGAGAUUUGUUAACAUAUUCGCCACCAUAUUACUGUAAUUUUUUUCUCAUUAAAAUCAGCUCUAAAUCUGAAUUCUUGAACUCCAAGAUCGAUCCCGAACAUUUCCAAGAAAGUGUUAUUGUCGUUUCUCUCGACUAACUUGAGUAAGGUUUCUUCUCUCUUCAAUUUCUUAAUUAAUAUUUUCCAUUAAAAACCUAAAUUUUUACAUCUGAAAUUUGAUGGAUUUUAAAUGAUUUCAAUUGUGUUUUAGCAGAUUUUAAUGAAAUCUUAAACUUUUUUAAACUUCAGACCUAAUUUUGGCCAUCGCGAGUGGUGGUGCGUACACCUAUGGGCAAGAAAAUGGGUUGUUUUGUUUAUUGGUUCUUGCCUAUAUUUUUCCAGCAUUAAUUUCGGUUAUUUAGCCCUCCUAAUCAGCUUUUAAACCAAUUUCAAGUGGGAAAAAACGUUCUUGAUCGAUUGGCUAUUCGGAUCCCACAAAUCGUGAAGCGUAAGUGCAAUUAAGGGUAACUAGUUUGUUAUUUCGACAAAGUUGUUGGGUAAAGGUUAUGAUGUGAUUAAAUGAAGGGAUUUAAACAUUAAUUAGCUACUGAUUUUCUAGUAUAUUAUUAAAUUUGGUGCUGACCCAAAUGCCCCAAAUCAUCCGUAAAGGCGAAGAACGAUUGUACGUACGGUUCGCUUUGAUAUAGUGUAAGGAAUCUAACUAGUUUGGAUUCAUAAAAUAGUUAUAAUUUCAAUGAUUGAUUUGAACAUAUAAGUGGGUUUUUUGGGGCUGGUUUAAUGGUAAAUUGAUUGAAUUCAUACUGAAUUUUGGUUUAGGUUCGUUUAAGGAAUUAUUAAGGAAAAUUGAAAGAUUCGAUAGUGUGCUACGAGGAAGCAAAAAAUAAGGUGUAGGUCCCAAACUCAUAGAAUUGUUUGAAAAUGUUAAAUAUAAUGUUAUAUAUGAUAAAUUAGGUUGUUGAUUGGAUUGUCUUAAUAGUCAAAUUAUUGAUUUUGCGAAUGGCCGAACCAGGUAUGUUUUGAGCCUUAAAAGAUUGACAUGUUGGCAAAAUUGCAAGUUUGAUAGUAUGGAUGUUUGAUUGAGUUUGUAAUUGUAUAUUUGAGUUAUGAUAUAUGAUAAUGUUUGACUGAAUGAUAUAAUGUGUUGAGAUAUUAAGCUUAUGUAUGAUUUAAACAUAUGAGCUAUUUGUUAUAUUGUGUAUUGAAAAGGGUGUUAUUUAUGCACAAUGAAAAUCUAUAAAGUAUGUGAAAUUGAACGAUAUUGAUUAAUACCAACUCAAUGGUAAUUUGAAAGAUUGGAACACUGUUCCCAUUUACUGAAAGUAUGUGAUUAUUGAGGACAUGCUGAGCAUGUCAAAUGAAUGUGAAAAGUAUUGAGGACAUCUGCAUUGGGUUGGGAUUUUGUGGUAGACGGAGCAGUUCCAUAGAGUACUGGCAGCGUAUUAAGUCCGCAUUAUUCGUAGUCAGUGCACUGCACCUGGAGUACCGAGGGGAUUGGAAAUUUUAUCGCACAUUAUAUGUUAUUGGCAAUUGUAUCGCACUAUUUGAUAUCCAAGAUAUGCUCAUAAUGUUUUGGAGUUUGGCAGACGGGUUCUAGGGAACUAGUGGUGUGUAGCGGAUGGUUUGGGUAGGAACCUUUUUGCAUUGCAUCAUGUGCACGACAUAUUCAAAUAUUAUUUAUUUUUGUUAUGUAUUGUAUUUUGUUGUAUUGAAUGGUAUCAAAUUUAUUGAUUAUUACUCAAAUGAAUGAUGACUUAUGCUCAUGCACCGUUUGACAUCAGUUUGAUAAUGGCUAUGUAACGAUAUGAAAUUCCUAUGAUGGUUAUGUUUUCUUCUAUUAAAGCUAAUUUGUUUCACUAUAUUUGAUAUUUAUGUUUGUUUAAAUAAUUGUUUGACUCACACUGAGUUUGUCAUAAGUUCACCCCUCUAAUAGUGCUUAACUUUUCAGGUAAACCUCAAAAUUAGGAUUGGACUCGGCAUUUGGAGAAUCAACUUAGACCUCAGAUUUUUAUUUUUUUAAUUAAGUAUUAUUAAGUCUUUAUUAGUUUUGGCUUGUAAUUUUUAAUUAUUUCUGGUCUGUUGCUUGAUAACUUUUCUUUUGGGGAUUUUUGCAUGCAUGGAUUACUCAAGCAUAAUAACCGGAUAAUGCAUGAUAUCGAGCUUAAGUAAAAUUUGUUAUUGUUCCCUAGUUUCCACUACAUUGCAACAGAAUUGUUUUUGAAAAACAAAUCGAUAAGGCAACUAAUUUUUCAAAAGGACUUAAAAAAUGGUUUUUCUUCUGCAUUAGUUUGACUUCGAGUUCUUUUUAAAAGAAGAGUGACAAGAAAAUUUUUUUUCUAAAACAACUCUAUCAACAAUAAAAUGAAUCUGAAGCAUACACGACCUAAUGAAUGAAUGCUUUAAAGCUAACUCAAAGUACAAUUACAGUUUUCUCUAAAAUAAGUUUAUUUAAAGUCUUCAAAACUAAUGUAAGUUAGUCUAACCAUUUCGGUGGCUAAUGUAGCCUUCUCAAUCUAGCCAUAACGUCUAGGCUGGGUUUGGGAGGUUAUAGUAUCUGAGUCAUGUAUGUGUAGUUCAUUAUCCACUCCGAAGUAAGGUAUGUCACACUAUGAAUGCCACAAAUGAUUAAAUCCAUAAAUAGAUUUAGGAUCUAUUUUACUUGGGUCAUGUUUGAUGUGCUGGCAGUGUAGUCAAUCACAUUUAUGUCCUUGUCUUCUAGGAAUCAGCCAGUUCGACAUCCAAGGCAACGUGUCUCCCUAAUUGGAUUUGAUAGAUGACAUAUUAUUCUUUCAACAGAUUUGCUUAAUUCUGAUUAGAUUAAGGACAUAUUUAUUUAUCUACUAAUAUAAGUUACCUUUUUGUAAUACGAUCUAACCACAUAAUAUCUUUUAAUAUUAGUUAAGAAUUAAAUAAUCGGUGAGCUAAUACUUAUUUUCAUUUUGCUUUGUAUACAAAAACCAUUAAUGACAAUAUACGAAAGAUAUUAACGAUACUGAUGUAUAUUUUAUUAAACUAAUUUAUUUGAAAAAUUAUAAAUACAUAAAUGAAAUAGCUAGACUAAAGGUACUAGAUUCCUAUAUAACAGACUUAGAUUUUCGCCUCACAAUCCGUGCAGCCUUAGGGGUUUUCUUCCUUAAAAAACACUUAAGUCAGCCUAACUACCAAUAAUUGAAGAUCAAACAAAAUUAUUCUAAGACACCAACGAAGAUCAAAGAUGAACAAAUUUGUAAUAUAAGAAUAAAGUAAAAAAAGAGCUAAGAACACAAGAGAGAGUUUUGAGAUAAUGCUCUCAGGAAUUCUAUUACUCAAUGAAUUAUUUACAAUUAGGGGGAGAGGCCUCUAUUUAUAGUUGAGCCUCCCAAAAAUCAACGGCAUGGAUUAAAGUACAUCAAUGGCUAGGAUUAAAAGCUAUCUACAAAUCUUAUAUCUAAUAUUACAUUUAUUAUAUCUUCUGAGAUUACAAGUUACCUGUAAGAUUGCACAUCUUUGACUUGGUCUUACUUUUUAGAUGAGCCUUCAAUCUCUCCAAGCAACGGGUCAGUCUGGUUGGGACAAAUAACCUCCAUUGAACAUGAUGGAUCACAAAAUUGUGCCAUGGUUGUAGGAUCCCAUACGCAACCCAUGAAAUUCUCCCCCACCUAUUUUAGCGACGCCUCCAUCGCGUCCUCCUCAUGGAACUGGUCUAUCCUGCCUUAGAAUUGCCAUAAGGCCUCAACAGGUUCCCAACUUGCUUCACUAUCGGGAAUUCCCUUCCAUCGCACUAGGUACUCAUGCCUCGGCCUAUAGUACUUUCGUCUUAUUACACAGUCUGCCUUGAUGCUUUCAAAUUCACGAUCGUAAGAGACCUUUACUCCUAUUUGUGCUCGUUCUGACUUGCCUCGAUUUGGAUCCUAUUGGUCCUUAUAGAAUGGCUUAAGCAUACUUAUAUGAAACACUGAGUGGACUUUGAGUUUUGUCGGUAACUCGAGCUUGUAGGCCAUCUUGCCUACUCCUUUCACAACUCGGAAGGGUCACUUAUACAGCCACAUAAGCCCCUUGUGCAAACCAUUAUGUCGCAAAAUCAAGUGUAGUUUAGCAAGAACUGAAUCACCAACCUGAAAUUGCACAUCCCUUCAAUUCUGAUCUGCCCAUUUCUUGUUACUCGCCUUGUGUAGACAAUCUUUGGCUAAGACAUUUUUCUCUUGCCAAUCUUUUGCAAAUCUAUAAGUCAUUGGAUUCGGUCUUGUAUAACAGGUCAUAAUAGCGUUAGGUGUGAGUGGUGUUGGCCUAUCACUAUCUCGAAAGGACUUUGAUUCAUGGCCCCACUUCACUGCAAGUUGUAUAAAAAUUGGGUCCCAUCCAACAACUUUGGCCAGUUCCUUUGUGUGGCACUUUCAUAGUGCGAAAGAUAUAUCUCCAACAACGCAUUCACUCGUUCGAUUUGCGGAUGCAUGCUAGUGGAAAAGUUCAAGCCUAAGCCCAUUAACUUGAACAACUCCGUUUAGAACCGACCCGUGAAUCACUCGUCUCGAUCACUAAUGAUAGAUAGUGGCACUCCUAAUAUUUCACCUCGUGUCUAAGGAGCAAGUGAGCUAACUCCUCAGUAGGGCACUCCUUGGUUGCUGGAAUGAAUGUUGCAUACUUCGAAAACCUGUCCACCACAACAAAAAUACUUGUAAAACCAUCAGACUUAGACAAACCAAUAAUAAAAUCCAUGGAUACACUCACCUAUGGUUUUCCGAAAUGGGCAAGGGUUGUAACAGAUCGACCAGAGACUUCAACUCAACCUUGUCUUGUUGGCAUAUUAGACAAGUUUUCACAUAGGUCUCCAUAUCAUCACCCAUGUGAGGCCAAUAGUAGCGAUCCUCCAAAAGGGCUAAGGUGCUGUACAAUCCUAGGUGGCUAGCCCAUUUCGAAUCAUGACACUUAUUCAUGACUUUCUUUUACGAUUUCCCAUAAUGAGGUUGGAACGACGGAAAUGUGCAAGUGUACACAAUCGCAACAAGUAAUAAAGUGACAAGUAAAUGUCGAGUUAUCGUACACACAGGGACUGUGACAUGAAUUAUUCAUGAAUGCUAUUUAAAACACUUUGGUGUUCAAGAGGGUGAUUAAAAACUAAGAUUUUAAAGUAAGUGAACUAAAUAAAUAAAUCUCAAAUGCACAAUUUCAAAAUACGAUUUUAAUCAAGAUGACAUAAUUGUUUUAGAUUAAUUACAUUUCUUAACUUAGAAUUAUUAAACUCAUGUUUAUAUUGUUACGAAUAAGUUCACGGUAACUUGGUAAUUUGCUAACUUAUGAACAUACUCACCUACCAAAAUCCAUUUAUCUCUUGACUAUAUCCCUAUGCCAAUUCAACCGAUUAAACAAAUCUUAAUAGGCAAAUAUGUUAUUGCACAUACAUACUUAUUAAAUUGAAAUAAUCUCUUGUACAUAUCCCUAUGUUAAUUCAAAUAAUCAACUCGAUUUAAUAAGCACAUAAAAGACUAUGUGAGGUAACAAAGUAUCCUUACCUUGAAACAGUUUAAUCACAAUAAUCUUGCAAGUUAUGCAAGGCAAAUGUAUCGUCAGAUACCGUUGCUAAUCUAACCCUCAGCUACCUUAGAUGAUUAAACAUGCACUGAUUAAGUACUGUGUCCAUUAAUUACAAUUUCAAUCCGUUUAAAUAAUUAAUUCAUUAGUUACCUAACAAUUGUAAUGGAAGAAUAACUUAGUCAUGAUUUUACUUCAUCAAGCAUCUUACCGAGGCCUAUAACAACAUGAAACAAUUUUAAUAAUUUUAACAAACGAAAUGCAAUCAACCUAACACGAAUUAAAUUCAAGCUAAAUUGAUUAAAUUAACCAUUCCAACAACAUAAAUAUUCAUAGAUAUGUUCAGCAUAACAACAAAAAUUAAAAAGAUAGGGAAUAAGAAUCAAAUCCGGUGUUUUUCCGUAGCUUGACUAGUUGCUCCGUUCUUCCUUCUCCGUUGUCCUCGUCGACCAAGGCUACUAUGAACACUUAAUUGCUUAUCCAAAUAGCUGAUGAAUGCCCCUUUCCCAAGAGGAGAAAUCAGGAAGAGAGCAAGGGAAUUUUGGAAUGGAAAAGAAGAGAGAAAGUGGAGAGAAGAGAGGAAAGAUAUGAAUGCUUGAGGUGUGUUUCUAAAAUUACCAGCCUAAGGGGGUUUUUAUAGCUGAGGAGGGCUGCUAAAAAUAGCUAAAAUUACCAGCCAAAGAGCCCUCCCUUGGCUAGCCAUACAUGUGGCAAGGUUGAUAGUUUCAACUUUGCUAAUUUAGGCUUGGGGCAAAUCUAUAAAGCCACCAAUUGUGGAGGGGUUUGAAUGCAACUUGAACAAGUCUUCAAUGGCCUCUUUGCAAGCUUAAGUAAUCAAAUAAUAAGCUGAUUUGGGUCAACUCUUGGGACGAUUUUUGGGCUGUCCAUUUCUUGGUUGGUACGGUUCACUCAGAUAAUUUAUUAACCCAAAUUAAAUUGGAUAUAAUUAAAAUCAAUUAUCUUAUGAAUUAAUACAUAUAAUUUUGGAUAGUCUGAGGCUAAAAUUUAGUUCGCCUCGAUACUUCAGAUUGCUUCUCUGUUUUGUGCUUCUAGUAGUGUUUGCCGAGCCAUGUUUCGCCAUUUGUACAAAUCUGUCAAAAAUAACCAAAAUUCAUCAAAAUUAAUUAUAAAAUUAACUAAAAUUCAACAUGUUCAUAUUUUAAGUGCACUUUAAUUAUUUUGUAAAAAUUAAUUAUUUUUUCGAAAAUAAUUUUAUUGAAACUAUAUGAUUUUAAAUUAAAAAGGGUAUGUAAAAAUGUGUAAAUUUCAGUGUUUCCAAAGGCACAUAAAGACGGUGCCCAUGAGUGUACAGAAACUCUCCCUUAAGCCAAAAUCUCCUCGUUUUCCCGUCCUUGGCAAGCUCGAUCAAGUUUUUGGCUAGGGGAUCAUGAGACAAUACUUCUUUAAUGCACUCCAAUAGGGAGCCAUCAGGAUGGCUAGUUGCCACAAACUCCAUCUUUUGACUAAAUGCAUCAGCUAGAGUGUUGGUACUCCCCGACUUAUACUCCAUUAUGAAAUCAAAUUCUGCUAGAAAAUCCUGCCAACGAGCUUGUUUGAGAGACAACUUUUUUUGGGUUAGAAAAUAACUGUUGGCAACAUUAUUGAUAAAGACUAGGAACCUGGAACCUAGUAAAUAAUGUCUCCAUUUGCACAAGCAAUGCACUACAUCGGCCAUCUCCUUUUUUUUGACUGUUUAUCUCCACUCCAUCUCAUUAAGAUUUGGACUCCCAAAAGCAAUUGGAUGCCCAUCUUGCAUUAGUAAUCCCCCAAGGGCAUAAUAUGAUGCAUCCGUGCGUACCUCAUACGACUUCAAAUAAUCUGGCAAAGCAAGUACGGGCUCCCUCUUCAUUACUUGCUUCAAUUGGUUAAAGGCCCUCUCACAUUGAGGAUCUCAAUCUCAUAUUGGUUAAAGGCCUUCUUACAUUAAGGAUCUUAAUCUUAUACCUUACCCUUUUUCAAUAUGUCCUUCAAGGGUGCGGUAAUUUUGGAGUAGCCUUCGAUGAAGCGCAAAUAGUAAUUUGCUAACCAAAUCAAAGAUCUCAACUCUUUACCUUGGUUGGUGGCUCUCACUGAAUAAUAGCCUAAAUUUUUCUCUGAUCCAUUCGGAUCUUCCCACCUCUAACAAUAUGGCCUAAGCAUGAAACCUCUCGUUGGGAAAAUGAGCACUUCUCUUCUUUGACAUAUAGUUCAUUCUCCCACAAGGUUUGGAAUACCUCCCUCAAAUACCACAAUAUCAUCAAGAUAAACAACCACAAAACAAUCUAAGAAUGGCUGAAGUGCCUUAUUCAUAAGGCUGUAAAAUGUGGUUAGAGCAUUCGUUAGCCCAAAAGGCAUCACAAGAAACUUAUACAACCAUAACGUGUCACACAGGCUGUCUUUGGCUCGUACCCUUCAGCUAUUCGAACUUGAUGGUACCCCGAUCUCAAGUCUAACUUGGUGAAUCAUCUCACACUACCAAGUUGAUCAAACAAAUCAGUAAUAAGGGGAAUUGGGUACCUAUUCUUCACAAUGAUUUUAUUUAAGGCUCGAUAAUCGAUGCAGAUCCUUAAUGUCCCAUCGUGCUCCUUUUGGAAUAAUACUGGCAUACCGAAUGAAAAUUUAGAUGGUCUAAUGAAUCCCGCAUCUAAGAGCUCAUUUAACUAUUUUCAUAGUUCUUCUAAUUCUAGUGAGAACGUAUGAUAUGGAGCCCUCACUGAUGGCUCCGAGUUGGGCACUAACUCAAUCAUGUGAUCCACCUCCCUCUUUGGUGGUAAUUCUUUAGGUAACUUUUCAAGCAUCACAUCUCUGAAAGACCGCAAUAACUGGCUCACUUCUUUUGGACUCUUACCAGCGGGCUUAAAGACUUCCUUGGCCUUCAAUGUGGCUAUGUAAGAAGCUUCAUAUCUAUGGACUAUUUUGUCAAAUUGGAUCACCGAUAAUGUUUUUCCUUCCAAACUUCAUUUCCUUUUUAUUUGUACCAUACACUGAUGGUUUGGGUCUGAUAUCAUCAUAUAAUUGCAAGAAGGAAAAACACUCGCAUUAAUUUGAUCAAGAAAGCUUAAUCCAACCACAAAGUCAAAGUCAUCAAGUAGUAUUACCUUAAUGGUGUCUUUACCAGUCCAUUCACCAAGUUGGAUCUCAACUCUUUUGGCCACCCUCUAUCUUAACACUUUUAGAAUUGACAGUCUUGAUCCAACAGGAUUCCUUCUCUAUUUUGAGCCCGAGAUCAUGAGCAGUUUCUUCGGACAUGAACAAAUCUGACGCACAUGUGUCAAUAAGCGCAUUCAAUUUUCUACCCGCCAUAGUGAUGUCUAUAAUCACCAGCCCACAACUCGUCUUAUCUUCGACACCUCUAGUAUCGAAUUUAGAUUUUUGGUCAUCUUGUCUUCCUCAUCAUUUGCUUCUAUGGCAGAAAGAGCGACCUUUUUUGGACAGUCCUUAAUCAUAUGUGGACCAUCACAAAGGAAACAAGUUAAAGGCCCAUUCUUCUUCCUGUCCCAUGAUCUUUGAACCUUACCAUCGUAAUUUUUAGUGGACUUGUCCUUGUAUCCCCCACCAUUACCCCUUAAUUUGAAUUCAGGCUUGGAAGACUCAAGCUUGUCUCUCCUUGAACCCAGCUCGACAAAAGAUUCUGCUACAGACAUGGCUUUGGUAAGCUCUUGAACUCCUCAACGUAGCAACUCUUGCUUCACCCAUAGCUUCAAUCCAUCCAUAAAAGAAAAGGAUGCCUCUUUCUUGCCCAUAUCCAACAUUUGAAGCAUGAGUUCACUAAAUUCUCACACAUACUCCCUCACUGUGCCUUGUUACGUAAGUCGGCGCAACUUUGCCUGAGCUUUAUCCUCGACAUACUCCAGAGAAAACUGUGCUUUGAACUCACUCUAGAACUCAUCCUAAGUCCCAAUUUUGAUCCCACCACGUCUCACGUCUGUUGACCUACGACGCCACCACAACAAAGUAAUGUCAGUGAAAUACAUAGUAGCAGUAUUUACCUUAGUGGCAUUGUUCAUAAUGCCUUUAGCAUGGAAGUUUUGCUCCACUCCCCACAGGAAAUUGUCCAUAUCUUGUAACAAACCAUUUUUCAAUGGUGUCGAAAACAGUGGUAUCGGGACCACAAAUCUGACGAGCAAGUUCAUAUAAUUACUAUUUAAAUAAUACGGGUCAAUAAUAAUUUUGUAUUGAAUUUUUAUUUUUGGAAUUUUAACUAAUUAAAUUAAAAGUUUCUAUAAGUAGUUCAGUUCAAAAGUCAAAUGGUUAUUGAAAACAAGGUAUUAGGAUCCUGUUUCUAUAAUUUAAGGUCAUACAUAUUUUUACUAAAUAUUUAUAGAGUCUUAUUAUAUGUGAAUUGAAGUUUGGUUCGGUAAUUUUGAAAAUUUAUUACUUAAUUACAAUAAAAGGAUUAAAUUGUAAAAGAGGUAAAAGUUAAUUGCUAUAGAUUUAAACUAGUAAAGAGACUAAAAUGUAAUUAAACCAUGGUCAAAAAGUCCAAGCGGUGGUGACAUGAUUAUAAUCCACUAACUUUUGGGCUAAUUGCUCAUUUAGUCCUAAUUAGUUUAGGAUUAAAUUGAAAUUUUAGUUUGUUUAGUUAAAAUUUAAAAUAAUUGAAGGAGCAGUUGUGCAGUUAAACCUUCCUUGGUUGGUAAUUAUACCAAACACUUAUAUUAUGGACAUUUAUGGACAUGAUUUAAUAGUUUUACAAGUUAUAUUAAUAGGAUUAAAGAAAUUAAAAGAUAUUAUUUUCAUUUUCCUUUCUUCUUGGUGGGUAAAAAGCCAAAACACCAUGGCUAGGGCAUGGGAAGCUUCGGCCAAGCUUUGAUUUCAUGAUAGGUAAGUGAAAUCUCACCCGAUUUUAGUAAUUUUUAUGUUUUUGAGCUCGUAUUAGCUUAAUCUAGCUAACCUAAGGACUAAUUUGUAAAACUGUUAAACAUUAUAAAAGUUUCCAUUAACGAGUUGAGUCAUUUCUUGAAUUUUUAUAAUAGAUUAUGAAACCUUGUUCUUAGAUUGGAUUAUUUUGUAAAGUAAAUUUUGAUGAUUUUAACGUUUAAGGACUAAAUUGUCAAAAUGAUAAAAUUUCUUGUACUUGAGGUGAAAUAAUUACAAAUAGGGGCUGUUAGGAGACCAUUAACAUUUCAGUUGUACUGGGUUUUAGGUAAAAAUGGUUAAUUUGCAUGUUUGGGUUUUAAAGACUAAAUUACAUAAAAGUAAAAUGUUUGGGGCAAUUCUGUAAAAAUUUCAAAAAUAACUUAAAUGCAUAAAAAAAGAGUUAAUUUUACUGUUGGAUUCUGUUAAUUAAAUGAAAUUAAUAUUUUAUAUUAAGAAUAGAUUGAAAAUCGAGGCAUAGAGAAGUUCCUAAAUGGUCUCUGUACCUUUGGCUAUUACUGCAAAUCAGUCUGGUAAGUUUGUACUAUUAUUUCUAUGAUAUAAUGAUUCUUUUUAUACAUUCUUUGUCAUAUAAUUAAAUUCAUAGUUUGCUUAAUAAUUGAUUGAUUGAAAAUAUCUAAGAAAUGAUCAACUGGCAAGUUAUCAAGCUUUGAGCCGGUGAACACUAAAUGAAUAUUUUGUUCUGAUGAUACACACCAUUGUGAUGGCUGAGAUCCUGCAUAUGUUUUGGAUUUUUGACAACUUGUGUGAGCAGCAUCGUGAACUGGUAAAUUAAAUGGCUAUUCUAUUAUGAUGAUAUAGACCGUUCGAUGGCUGAGAUCCUGCAUAUGCUGUAAAUUCUCGACAAUUUGUGUGAGCAGUAUUGUGAACUAGUGAAAUGAUUGAAUGCUCUGUUCUAAUGAAACGAAUCAUUACGAUGGCUGAGAUCCUACAUUUUUUACAAAUUCUGGAUAGCUUGAGUGAGCAGCCUCGUGAACCGAUCAAACUCUGUAACUAGCUCAAAUGAGCGAGAUUCUAUGCUUACUGAAAUGAGAUCAUGCCUUACAGAAAUCGAAAGAAUUUGAGUUAUGGUACGGUAUAAUAUUCACCUAUUGUGAACUGCGUGUACAAGGAUUACGUUUUUAUUUCUUAUAAUUGAACUAUUAAGUUUGUUGGUAAGGUUUAUCAUUAACUUGGCGAACUUACUAAGCUUUCAUUAAGCUUAAAUAUGUUCUGUUUUGUGUUUUGUAGAUUACAUUUUGGGGCUGGAAACCGGAUCAACCUGUAGAAUCACACUAUCUCAAGGACCCUUUGGUAGAUUUUAAAACAACUUGGCUUAUAUGGCAUGUAAUAGGGUUAUUGAAUAUGUUUUUUGACUGAUUAUGUGUAAAUUGUCGUAUAACUUGGUUGCUUGGAGUUUUGUGUCUAAGGUAAGUACAUGUUUGGUAACUUGAGUCAUGUUGUAGCAUAUGCAAGUUUGUUGAAUGAGUUGAAAAUUGGUAUGGUUUGAGUAUGAAAUGAGUAAGGCAUUUUGGGUAGUGGAAGCAAGACCUUGGAUGUGCAUUUGUGACUUUUAUGUCAAUUUAAAGUAAUGAAUUGUCUAGGUGUUUGAGUUGUGGUGUUAUUGAUGACACAUUGGUUUAGCACUUAGACUAAUUGCUUUGCCAUAUUUUGAGCAUAUCUGAAUGUACUUUAAAGGUUUGUAUGCAUGUACUUUUAGUAUGUUUAGGUACACAAGCAUUUGGGUAUGGAAAAGGCAAGUUUUAGGUCAAUUAAUGGUGCACACAACGUGGGGCAUAGGCUGCCACACGGUCGUGUGUCACACACAAGCAUGUGUCCAGGCAUGUUAGGUGUAGGGUUCACAUGGUUUAGCACACGGGUGUAUGGCGUAAGUUAGUGAGUCAUACAAGCAGGCAUACGAUUCAGCACAUGGGCAUGUGGGAUGGCCACACAAGUGUGUGGAAUAGACACACGGCCGUGUGAUCCCUGUAGGUGAAAUUUUUUUAGUUUUGCUUAAAAUGUCCUAAUUUGUUUCGAUUUGGUCCCCGAUUAUUCGUAAACUAUUUUUGGGGCCUUGAAAGCCCUAUUUAAAGCUCGUACAUAUAUUCUUCAUUUCUUUUUGAACAUAUCCGUAUUAAUGGAAUUUAUUUGAUAUUUUGAUGCCAAUUGUUAUAAGAAGUCCUGAUAUGUGUUGUAACCUUAUUCUAGUGACAGAAACGGGAUAUGAGUGUUACAAGUCCCGAUUUAGUUUCAAACUUGUUUGAAGGCUUUUGUAAGCCCGGUUAAGGCACAGUUUUGAUUGUAAUGCAUGUUUAACAUUGAAUUAACUUAUAUUUAUUAAUUAUUUAGUAUUAUCAAAUAAAUCGAUUGUGAAGAUUUAGGUUUACUAUUUUAGCAUCCUAUAGCUCGGGUCCGACAAUUAGGUCGGGCAUAGGGUGUUCCACAUCUCUUGCAGACCCUGUCCCCUUGAAUUCUUUAGGCUUGGGUGUAACAGCUAACCCUCCAUUGCCCAAAACAGCCUUGUAGAUUGUGAGUUCACCCUUGAGGUCUGCAAUCUCCUCUUUCAAGGUCGUCAUCAUAGCCUCUAGGUUAUCACCCCUAUCGAUUAGCUUGUUCUCAACGGAAUCGAGAGACUCUAACACGUAGUCCUUGAGCUGCUCCUUCAUUGAUUGCAACCCAUCAGUGAGUCCCCUCUCGACUUCAUCGAGCCCCUCUUUGGCAUCCCCAUAGACUCCUUGAAAGUCACUACUCGAUCUUCUAAAGCCGACAACAUGUCCCUUGAUCGACUAGCUUUUCUAGCUCUCCCACUGGUCUCCAUUGGCUUAACAUAUUCGACAUCUUCUUUUGACAUCUUCCAACGGUGCCCUUGAAACCUUAGCUCAGAUACCAACUAUCACAGAUUUAGAUUUUUGCCUCACAAUCUGUGUGGGUUUUAGGGUUUUCUUCCUCCAAAAACACCUAAGUCAGCCUAACUCCCAAAAAUUGAAAAUCAAACAAAAUUCUUUUUUAAGGCACCAACGAAGAACAAAGAUGAAAGAAUUUGAAAUAUAAGAACAAAACAACAAAAGAGCUAAGAACACAAGAGAGAGUUUUGAGAGAAUGCUUUCAGAAAUUCUAUUACUUAGUAAGUUAUUUACAAUGAGGGGGAAAGGCCUCUAUUUAUAGUUGAACCUCCCCAAAAUCAACGGUACGGAUUAAAGUACAUCAAUGGUUAGGAUUAAAAGCUAUCUACAAAUCAUAUCUCUAAGAUUGCAUAUCUUUGACUUGAUCUUACUUUGUAGAUGAUCUCUCCAAGCAACAGGCCAGUUUGAUUGGGUCAAAUAAUCUCCCUUAAACAUGAUGGAUCACACAAUUGUGACAUGGUUGCGAACUCCCAUGCACAACCUAUGACACCUACACAUAGUUCAUGAAUUUCAAAUUCAUGAAUGACCAAAAAUAAACCAUAAGUGUGCAUAAACACAUUGAUAAAUAAACAUCACAAUUAAUGUAUUAAUUCAUGUACUGAUACCACUUCUUAAACUUAAAUUUCAUUGCAAGAAUAUUUUAUUUAAUCCAACCUAUACUCACCAACUCAUAGCUCUAAUCACAAGGUACAAGGUAAUCAUAAAUUUUGGGUUUUCAAAAUUUUUACAUCAAAAACCUUGUCAAAGAAAAAUUUGUCAUUUGCCUACAAUUAAUUUCAAAUAUGUUAAUAUUUAUUUAUUCAUUACAAUACGAGAGGGAAUGAGACAAAUGAUAAGUUUGAACCCAUAUAAUAUCAGACAAAAUAUUUUAUAUUAAAUUAAAACUAUAAAAUAUAUUAUUUUGGCCUCAAAAGUGCCAUUUUAAUUAUGCGUGAACCAAUUCCCGACAUAAGUACAAUAUUAACGCAUACUACCCUAUUUUAAACGUGUUGAAAUAUAAUAUAUAUUUUCUAUUUUACAUACGGGAGACAAAUCUAACACCAGAAUCUACAAUCGAAAAUUUUAUCGAUUCGCAUAAUGACCACUUUUACUAAUAGCACCAAAAAUGAAAAUUCAUAAUUUUGUCAGUAGGGUACUUUCGUUCAUAAUCUUUUAUAAUAUAGGCCAAUCGACAUCUGGUUAUCCAAUUAUUGUUUAUUUUCCUUUUUAAUUAUAUAAUUAUCAAUUUCUUUUUUAAAAUCUAGUGGCCGAGCUUGUUUCUUUUUUAAUUAUCAAACUAUCAAUAUUUUUAAAUUGGUUGAGAUUAUUUUUUUUUGUCUAUUUCAGUUUAGUGCCAUUAAGUAUUUAACGGAAGGUGACAUGCCAAUUAAAAAAUCGAUAUAAUAAUAAAUUUAGUGUUCAACUUUUAGCUAUUAAAUGAAUUUAGUCAUUAUUUUAAAAAAAUUAACCCUUAAAAUUUACAAAUAUUCUUAAUUUGAUUUUAAUUCUAAAAAAUUCAAAAAUAUAUAUAAAAAUAUUUGGUUAAAAUUAUAUCAAGAAAUUUUAAAAAUAUGUAAAAAUAUAUAUUAAUAUUAAAUAAAAAAAUACCCUCCUCUCCAGCCAAUCCCGUGUCUCUCAUCUUUUUCUUCCCGCGUGACUUAAAUGUUUUCAAUCACUAACUAUAUGUGUUGCAUUGGACAUUUCACAUCUCAUAAAAAUCACAAAAAAUUUUCAGAGAUGGACAAGUUUUCAUCCCGUCUUCAUAAUAAUCACACCAUUUUAAAAGUGAGAAAAUGACUUGUAAUAAUAAAAAAUACAAACUCAGUUGAUUAGUUGAAUUUCCAAUUUAAAAAAUUGAUAGUUGAGAGAAUAAAAAAAUAUAAACUCAUAGUUGAUUGAUUAAAUUAAAAAAAUUAAAUAGUUAAAUGCGCUGUGAUGUAAUUUACCCUACUUUAAUCUUACAUAGAAGGCUUAAAGAUGACUCACACAUCUCAACACUUCCUUACAUGACCAUUUAAGUGCUUUAUGGUACUCUUUACAAAUGCCUACGUAAUGAAAUAGGUUUCUUUUUUAUCUUUUCGGGUAUUCUUCCCAUUAAAUUAUCUUUAGACAAUAUGAGAAUGAGGUUAUGCCAAGCUAACUGGCCAUUGUUAGAGUGAAACAGGCUAUCAAAAGCUUCCAUAUAACACCAUGACUCUCAUUAAAGCUUUUCACAAACAUUUUGAUUAAAAUAAAAUAUUCACCGAUAAUUUUUUUCUUUUCCAACUCAGGAAAAUAUUGUUAUUUGCGGCUGCUUUGUACCUUGUAAUCUUUUGUGCACCACUAAUUUUCCUUUCCUUUCUGGCGUUCCAACUCGAGAAAGUCAUAUUGGUGCAGUGUGCUAGUCCCAACCAAGGAAAAUAUUGGAGUAGUGUACCUUGUAAUUCGAUGUUUUGAUAUUUGAAGUUCCAUAAGCAUCUACAGCCGAAAGCAUUAUUUUCAAUUAUUUGAAAAGGUUUUAUGUUUAAUACUUUCAUCAUUUAAUGUGAUCUCAUAUAUAACAUUUGGAAAUUAAAGUUUUUAUAACAUUUGAAAGGUUAAUUUUUAUUUUUAUUUUUGGUUGGAAACAUAAGGUUAAAAUUUUGACGUGCGGAUAAUUUAAAGUUCCACCAUAUGUCAUGCAUUUAACAUUAUAUAUUUUUUAAAUAAUUACUAUAUCAUAUGUAUACUAGUUUCUUUAUUUCGUGGUUUGCAUAAGUUAAUUAUAUAUAUGAAUUAAAAUAUAUCAUUUUACACUUUUUUAUAAUAAAGUUUAAAAUAAAUACUAGUUUUAAAAUUUUUAAAAUCAUUUUUAAAAAAAUUAAUUAAUUAAAUUAUAGAACUACUUAAAAUAAUCACAUUAUAAAGUAUAAUAAAAAACCAUCACAUUAAGAAAUUGAGAAAUCUGCGUAAAAUAUUAUUAACAUUAAAAAUAAAAAUUUUAUUGUAUGAAUGAUUAGCUACGAAGGAUUUAGAUAUUUUUUCAGUCUUGUUUUAUAAAAAACCUUAGAUUUCGUACUAUUUUCUCCGAUCUGUCUUUUUCUUAUCAAUUUGUCUUCAAUAAUAUUAUUGAAAUUAAAUAAAUAAGAUUGUAAACCAAAUUUUAAGAAUAUAAUACAAUUAAUCAAAAUAUAGGAAGCAAAGAAAAAUUUACAUCACAAUUGAAGAUUCAACCAUUGAAACAAAUUUUGAAAUAUUUAUUUAAAUAUGAAAAAAUUAUUAAAAUGUGGAAAAGAAAGUAGAUUAAUAGACACCCUAACAUAAUGUUAAGGUUGAAGAAUCAAACAUUGUUCUCUUUGCAAAAGUUUCUUCUUUCAUUGUCGGCAACUCGAUUACCGUAGAUAAUAAAUUAAUUUUAAUAUUAAUAAUAUUGGGAAAAUAUUUCAUUAAAUUAGUAAAUAAAUUGAAACAGAAUAUAGUUAGAUGUAAAAGAAUAAAAUAUUGAGAAUAUAAUUUUCGAUUAUGAUUUAAAAUUUUAAAACCUAUCCUACUUAACGUGUUGGUUUUUGUUGGAGAUGCAAUAUUUUUAAGCUGGAGAAUAAAAAAUUCCAAACUGAAUUUCGUAAAAAAUUAAUAAUAUGGUAACUUAUGUUGUAAAUUAAAAACAUAUUAAUAUUUUAAUUGAAUUGCAUUAAUCAUUAAAAGUAUAUAUUAUGGGCAACAUUUUACGAUUGGAUAUUACCAAUAAUAUUAUCGAAAACUCCGCCUUAAAAAAAAUUACAAGCAAUUGCAAACUUUUCCAUUAAAAUGACAUCUAUUAUGCCAAGAUUUACCCUUAAAGAUUACAUGCAUUAUAUUUUAAUACUAUAGAUGAUAAUUAUGCUAUAUUAAGGUAAUAUUAUGGGGACAUAAAAUUAAUGGGUGUUUUAUCAAAAAAAAUUAACGGCUGUAAACUAAUUCUGUUAUGCUGUUUAUUUAUAAUAAUUUAACUUAAGAGAAGGGAAAACAAAUUAGUGUUGUCAUAAUUUCUAUAAUUUUUAUAUAUUUUGAUUUAAAUUUUUAUUUAUAAAUACAAUUGUAAUAUAUUUAUUAUUUAUAAUUGUUAGAAAUUGCAUUUUUUAUAUUCUUUAAUGUUUCAGCAAGAUAUAUAUAUUUUUAAUAAAUCGCAUGUUUACUAUACUUAAAAACAUUGUACAACAACUUAUUUAGUCCUCUAAUUAUAAAAAAUUUUCAUUUUAGCCCUAAUCUAAUUCGUGCUUCUUUUAGCUCUUGAAUUUGUAUUAUUUGUUAAAUCACUCAAACAUAAUAAAAAAGUUAUCAUUUAUUAAAUUUACUAAUGUGACAUCCAUAUGACAAUUCAUGUGUAUUGGAAAGGUCGGGAUUGAAAUCUAUAAUCACGUUCCUUUUUUAGUAUUGUAGAUUUGCUUUUCUAAUCCUUCUAAAUUAAUAUUUAAUUGGUGGCCCACGCUUUUUCAAUUUUUUUGAGUUUUAAAACAUGGAAGGUUGGGAUUGAAAUCUAUAAUCAUGUCCUUUUUUUAAUAUGGUAGAUUUGUUGUUCAAAUCCUUCUAGUUUAAUAAAUGUUUAAUCCAGGUAUUGCUUAUUACUUUCCUGUUAUACAUAAAGAGUACAUUAAAUAUAUGUAAUUACAGUAUAAGGGCAUCUAACAUUAAAAUUGGUUACUAAAUGGAACAAGUAACUAAAUGGAAAACAGGAAAUAAAUAUUAAAUGCAAAUAUUCACAAAUUUUUACCCCCAUUUCUUCAUUCGUUUUCAUUGUAUAAAUUCCCUACCUACAUAGAAGCAAAACACACCACAAAACAAAACAUAAAGCUAAGGUCAGAAAUUAUAUUUUCAAGUAUGUUUUUAUUAUCAUUUGUGUUAGUACAAAUCUCCGUGAGGAAAAUCUCGAACACACGAACAGAACUCGAACAGAAAAAGAAGAAAAAGGACAAGGCUCCAAGGCAUGUAUCAAGUCACUAUCUUUAAGGUUAUAUUCGCCCCCACCUAUCUUCGGUGUACAAAUGAGUUCCAAGCAAAUUAACCUCGAGGAUACAAUGAAGCCAAUGACUAUUUGCAUUUUGCACUGACGAGAAUAGUCCACUAUGCAUUGAGCAAUGUAUAACAAAAACUCAAUUUCUACAAAAGAUUUCUGCAGUAAUACUUUAUAGAAUAAUCUAAUAAUAUUAGAAAAUAAAGGAAGGUAAGAAAGAAUACUUAGAAUUUGUUGGUGUGUUUUCCAAAUGAAACCCCAUUCCUAUUUAUAGGAAUUUUCAUGUCUCUUCAUAUAGACAUCUUUCAUCAAUAGGUGUCUUUCUGAAUAAUAAUGUCUUUAAAAUAAACACAUAAUUAUUCAUUAAGUAUUAUAACUAUUUAAAUAAUAUUAUUUAAUAGUUAUAAUUCUUUUUCAAAAACUCAAACAAUAUAAUCUUUUGAUUAAUUACACCAAUUCAUUUAUAGUUACUAUAAAUAUUUGAAAAUGUUCCAACAAUCUCCCCCCAUUUUCAAAAUAUUUUAGAUUUUGAUAUUCUUGGAAAUCAAUUGCAUAAAUGAAGGUAUCUUACGAUUGAACCUUCACUUAGAGAAUAUAUGUUAAAUUUAAUUGAAAUUGCAUGGUAGACUAAGCUUUGAACCAACUAUUCCAUUUGAUUAACCGAACAUAUCUCACACAAUGAUUUCAAGGUCAAUUCAUAUAAUCUAGGGACACUAUUAUGACCAUGUGUCUGUGUCCUCUUUUCAUGAGUGUUGUCAGAGCGAAGCCCUUGAGCUCUUAGAAGCAGCCACACUUCCACUCACAUGGGUAGAGCCCAUCAAGAGUGUUCUCGUAAUUAUAACACUCUAACAUAUUUAUGUUAUAGGUCCAUUAAUAGUACAUUACUCAUCCUUCCUUUAUCAUUAUGGGUACCUAGCACUUUAAUCUUAGGAUGGAUUUAUUUAUAGUGCUAACAGUCAUGUACUAAUGAUGUACUUUGUCUCAUUGAACUCAAGACUUGAGUUAUACCAAGCGUUGAGUCGAGUUUCUAUCAUGGGUGACUCUAAUUAAUGGGCUUGAGUCCCAUCCCUUUUGAGGUCAUUUUUAUUGCAUCUCUAGCAAGACUUUUUGUCAAAUGAUCCGCCAAAUUUUCACUUGACCUCACAUAAUUAAUAGUGAUCACUUCAUCAGAGAUUAAUUGUCGGGAAUAAGUAUGUCUUAAUCCAAUGUGUCUAGACUUUCCAUUAUAUACUUGGCUAUAUGCCUUUGCUAGAGUAGCCUCACUAUCACAACAGAUAGAAAUGGGUGAAAUUGGCUUAGGCCAUAAAGGUACAUCAUAAAGUAAAUUUCUUAACCAUUCUGUUUCUUUAGAUUCAGCGGCUGAUGCAAUAAAUUCUGCUGCCAUGGUGGAAUCAAUAAUACAUGUUUGUUUCUUGGAACCCCAAGAAAUGGCUCCUCCACCAAGAAUGGAGAUCCAUCCACUAGUAGAUGCAUGAUCUUCCAAACUUGUAAUCCAACUAGCAUCUGAAUAUCCUUCUAAAAUUGAAGGAUAUCCAUUAUAACACAAUCUAUAGUUAAUAGUUUUCUUUAAGUACCUAAGUACUCUAUUCAAAGCUUGUCAAUGCAAACUACUUGGAUUAGUUGUGUACCUACUCAAUUUUCCAACAGCAUAUGCAAUAUCUGGUCUUGUACAAGUCAUUAUGUACGUAAGACAACCAAUUAGACUUGCAUAUUUCAAUUGAUCAAUUUUCCGACCAACAUUAAAUACUAAUUUUAUUUGAGGAUCCAUGGGUGUAGAUGCUGGUAUUCAGUUGAAAAGAUCAAAUUUUUUAAACACGUUUUCAAUGUAAUGUGAUUGUGAUAAAGCUAUAAUGCUUUCAUCGCGGGUUAUUUUAAUCCCAAGAAUAACAUCUGCUGCACCCAUAUCCUUCAUAGCAAAGUUGUUUGACAAGAAUUUCUUUGUGUUUUCUAUUUGUUCUAAAUUUGUGCAAAAAAUGAGCAUGUCAUCUUCAUAUAAGCAAAUUAUGACACCUUUUCCAUUUUCAAAUUUGUUAUAUAUGCACUUAUCAGAUUCAUUUAUUUUAUAGCCAUUAGCUAAAACAAUCUUGUCAAACCUUUGGUGCCAUUAUUUUGGUGCUUGUUUAAGUCCAUAUAAAGAUUUAACAAGCUUAUAUACCUUAUGCUCUUGUCCUGGAACAACAAAUCCUUCCGAUUUCUUUAUGUACACUUCCUCUUCCAAUUCACCAUUUAAAAAUGCAGUUUUAAUAUCCAUUUGGUGAACAACCAAAUUAUAUAUAGAUGUAACACCCCAAACGCAGCCUAGACAUUAUGGUCAUAUCUGGCAAUGUCACACAAUAGUAUUUUUGAAACCUCGUUGUUACGAUGAAAACAUUCCAUGUUAUUAUCUUUAGUAAACCUUUGUUAGAACUUAGGAAGUCGUCUUUAUUCAUUUAAAACAUUUUUUUUGAAACAUCCCUCGUUGUGGAAGCUUUAAAAAAACAGUCUGUGUGAUCAUGCGUUUAGAAAAUCCAUAAAGUAAAAUAAAUAAAUAAAAACCCAAAAUUUAAAACCAAAGUCUCAGAGGGUCCUUAAAUUACAACCCAAAUAAUCAAUAAUAAUCAAAUCAUAAAUUGUAAUUGAAAACCAUGAAGUUCAAAAAUUACUGUGGUCACCGCUGAAUCCUCCGUCGCACCGAUCUGUCUAAGUCUAGGGAUUACCUGUGCACAUUAAACAAAAAGGGUGAGUUUACGUAAAUUCAGUGUGUAAUUCUACAGAAACAAACAAACAAUCGGUAUUCACAUUACACAGUUCAACAGUCUUGAGCCUAAGCCCUUUUCAGUAUCAGUAACAGUUUGGGCCUUAGCCCAUCUCAGUACAGUGUCAAAAAUGCAGUAGGGCCUUAGCCCAUCACAGUAUCAGAAGCAGUAACAAUUAUGCAAUAGCAAAAUCCUACCCAACCAGCCUCUACACACCAUUUUCGUCCAACCCUACACUCCAUGUGGGGAUAUAAUCAACUCACCCAUCCCUAUACUCCAAGUAGUAUCAAAUGCGGCACAAAACAGUAGUUUGCAGCGGAGCUGCCAGUAAAUUAGGCUUAAAGCCUUUCAGUACACUUCCUCCAAAUAACAACCCCCAACCCAAUGCAAUGCAACAUACCAUGGAUGAUAUGCUGUUAUGCAAUUUCAGUACAUAUAUUCAAUUCAGAUAUUAACAUGCUUAGUACAAAUAUCAUUCAGUCAAUUUCACACAUUCAGGGGUCUAAGUAGCACUUACCGACCUUAAAAUAGAUUCACAGUCGACUUAGGCGACCCGUGCAACCUUAGAAACAUUCCAGUAAAAAUGGGCCCACACACCCGUGUGUGCCUGUGUGGCCCACUCGGCCCAAAUUAGCCUUGGCCGUGUGAUCCAUUUUUAAUAUAACCCAUGCUAGCUAAAUAUUCAUAUAUGUUUUUACUAUUUACUUAUAAGAUCAUUCAGGGUUAUCUACUUGAGUCAUUGUCACUAAAUUAUUUAUACCUUGAGCUACAAAAUUCAAAAUUAAGAUCCGCUUAAUGUUUUUGAAACUAGACUCAAAUACCUUUCCACCAUAAAAUUUUUAGAAUCUAUAGCUUAUCAAAUAAGUACAAUAAAAUCUUCAAAGUUAUCCCUAUUCUAUUGUUUGACAACUUCAACCUUUCCUUACUAAAAGUUACUUGUCUCUUAGUACGAAAUUUGGAUGAUAUUUUUGUUUUUUUCUCUUGAAAGUAAACUAAUUAAGGAUUUAAACGUAUAAAUUUAAGCCCAUAAAUAUUUUUUUUACAAUUUUUGAUGAUUUUUCCAAAGUCAGAACAAGGGAACCCGAAAUCAUUCUAACCUUGUCUCACAAACUUUAUUAUAUCUCAUAAUUUACAAUUUCAUUACUUACACUGUUUCUUCCAUGAGAAACUAGGCUCAAUAAACUUUAAAUUCAUAUUUUAUUCAACGUUUAACUCAAUUUUCACUAUUUUUGAUGAUUUUUCAAAGUUAGACUACUGCUGCUGUCCACAACUAUUUUAGUGUAGAAUGUUGAUUUCCAAGUUUAUAACACCCUUAUUUCCUUUAUCUAUAAUUUUUCGCAUCAUUUUCUCUUAUUUCUCUUAUUACUUGACAGCAAGCAAUUUCAUCUUUUCACCAAAUCCUAUUUUUUGUGUUUCGAGUACACACCUGUAUCGUUUUCACUGCUUACGCAAUCCUGAGAUCACCAAAAACCUUCUAACUUCGCACAAUUCCACCACCACUCAAAUCGAGGGAGAUAGCAGCCGAAACAAUUCACUGUUGUAAAAAUAACCAUUCAUCAUUAACGAAGAGUUCAACAAAGUUAAGAAAAAAUUCAAAGCCAAAACCACUUGCCCAAACAACACAAGAAAACACAUACCCUAUACGCUUACCAAACGAUCACCACUUCGAGUCAUAUCGAGGAAUUUUAAUUCCAACCUCACAAUCGAAUCCUAAACAAACAAAAAAAACCACUUAAUCCCUUAUCCAGAGUAACAUUUGAGUUUAAUAAAAUGGAAACUUACCGUACAACACAAUUGAAUGCUUGCACAAAGGGGAUAAGACGAAGAAAGACAAUAAAAAUGGAAGGGGAAUUUAAAGGAAAUUAAGCAGCACACUAGCAAGCCCAUUCUGAUAUAUUUUUACCAACUUUUAACUAAAAGCCUACUGACCAGAGAUAGUGAUUUAUUCAUAAAAAUACCAAAAUUUUCCCAUGUUAAGGCUUGAACUUGGGACCUCAUACACACACCUAAAACACUUAACCACUGAAGCAGACGGAUAUUUGUGUCAUAUUUUCACAAUAACAAAAUUAGAAAUUUUGGGGCGUUACAAUAGAGGUAAGUGAUAUUAAGAGUCUAACGGUAGCAAUUCUUGCUACUGAAGCAUAGGUAUCAAAGUAAUCAAUACCUUGUUUUUGUGUAAAACCUUUAGCUACCAACCUUGCUUUAAAUUUAUCAAUGGUUCCAUCAACCUUCAUUUUCUUGUUGAAGAUCCAUUUACAAGCUAUUUGUUUAGAACCUUGUGGAAGAUCAACUAAGAUCCAAGUUUGAUUUUUAAUUAUUGAAUCCAUCUCAUCAUUUAUUUCUUCUUUCCAAAAAGCAGAGUCUUGAUAUUUCAUUGCCUCUUCAAAUGUAAUAAGAUCAGAUUCCGUAUUAUAACAAUAAGGUAUCUUAUUACAUAUACUUUCACCUUUUUCCUUCUACAAGAAACAUUAUGAAAUCUGGUCCAAAAUCUUUGACCUUUUUAAUCCUCUUACUUCUUCAUAAUUCUUGACAAGAUUCAUCAUUAUUAUCAAUUUGUUCUAAUGGAAUCUCAUUCUUAUUUGAAGAAUGAAUCAAUUGUUGUGGCUAUAAUUGUCUUGAUAUAUAAUUAAAUCUAUUUUCAUCAAAAAUAGCAUCUCUUAAAUCAAUAACAGUAUUAAUUGCAACUGAAUCAUUUGGUUCAAUUACCAUGAACCUAUAUGCCUUGCUAUUAUGUGCAUAACCUAUAAAUAUGUAUUCAAUUCCUCUUUCACCUAACUUUUUACGUUUAGGUGUUGGAACUUUGACAAUAGCUCUACAACUCCAAACCUUCAAAUAAUUAAGGUUUGGUUUCCUUUUCUUUUAUUGUUCAUAAGGGUUAUUUUAGUUUCCUUAUUAGGAACUCUAUUCAAUAUAUAACAAGCUGUUAAAAUAGCUUUUCCCCAAAAAACCUUGUCCAAGACCUGAAUAUGCACAAUAUCUAGAACAAUCAUCAAUCAAAGUAAUAAAAUAUUUCUUUCCACCUAAUGUAGGAGUAUUAUGCAUGUCACAUAAAUCACUAUGUAUCAAAUCAAACAAUUUUGUUUUUCUUUUAACCUUAGGGAAAGGGUUUGUUGUAAUUUUAGUCAACAUACAUGUAUUGUAUUUUUUAAUAUUAUUAUUAAAAACAAGAAUUAAAUCUAACUUAUACAUAUAAUUCAAAUUUCUAUAAUUCAAAUAACCUAAUCUAUAAUGCUACAAACAAAAAUAUUCAACCAUAUAAGCAGAAAUAGUAUUUUUAUUCUUAAUAAUAUUGGGUUUGAACAUACUCUCAUACGUAUACCCUUUCCCCACAAAAAUUCCUUCCUUAGACAAAAUAAACUUAUCUGUCUCAAAAACAAGUUUGAAACCAAACUUAUUCAAUAGACUUCCAGACACUAAAUUCUUCCUAACUUCUGGUACAUAAUAUACAUCAUUUAAGGUUAAAACUUUCCAGAAGUGAAUUGUAGUUCAACAGAUCCUUUGCCUUUGAUUGUUGCGGUGGAAGAAUUUCACAUUGUGUGAACUUUGUGAACAUGUUUUUGUCUUUGGACACAUGUUUGGUUGCUCCGGUAUCAAUCCACCAUGUAUUAUCAUCUUGUGCCAUAUUAAUUUCAGAUAUCAUUGCAACGAACUUUUCGUUAAUGUCAGCCUUAGAAGAUGAUUUCUUCUUUAAAAAUUGACAUUAAUUCUUGAAAUGUCUCGGCUUUCCACAAUAAUAGAAUGAGCCCUUUUGUUUCUGUUUGAACUUAGGUGCUCUAUCAGUCUAUUUGAACUUCCUCGUGAAUGGUUUUGUAGUAUAUACUUCCUCCGUAACAUGCACUUUGUUAUUUUUAGAAUUUAGGUUCUGAUCUUGUUUUUUAUAUUCUUCUUCAAUACGAAGAUGAUUUGCCAAAGCCUCAAGAGAUAUUUCCUCUUUCUUAUGUUUUAGACUUUUUUUAAAGUCUUUCCAACAUGGAGGAAAUUUGUCUAUUAUGGAGGAUACAACAAUCAUUUCAUCCAUUUUCAUAUCAUAUUGCUUGAAUUGAUUCAUCAUCUUUUCAAUAUCACGGAAUUGUUCAAUAAUAGAACAACCAUCAACCAUUUGAUAAUUAUUAAAAUGACUAACAAGAAAUUUCUUACUUGUAACAUCUUCGUUCAUGUAUCUUAUCUCCAAUUUGUCCCAUAAUUCUUUAGCGGUGACCUCGUUUUGGUAUGUGUUAACAAACCAUCAGAUAAACCAUUCAAUAUGUGGCCCAUGCACAUGUAGUCAGCAUUGUCCCAUUUUUUUCUUUCUCGGGUUCCAGCAAUAGAUUCGUUUUUAUUCUCUUCAGGUCUUGGAGUAUCCAAAACAUAAGCAGUCUUUAAAGUUGAUAAUAAUAAGUGCAUCUUUUUUUGCCAUUGUAAAAAAUUACCACUAUCAAAUCGAUCAAGUUUAACAAAGUUGGAAGCCAACUCCCUUAGUGUUCCAUUUUCAUGUGUUGUGGUAGUCAUCAUGAAUAUUAUAACCUUAAAAUUGUUAGUACAAAUCUCCGGUGAGGAAAAUCUCAAACACACUAACAGAACUCGAAUAGAAAAAGAAGAAAAAGGAAAAGGCUCCAAGGCGUGUAUCAAGCCACUAUCUUUAAGGUUAUAUUCGCCCCCACCUAUGUGUUAAGGCAGAUGAGACCAAUUGUAUAACAAAUGUGAUUUCAGCUUUGUCAACUCAGAAGUUGAUCAAGAAAGGAUGGGAGGCUUAUUUGGUCUAGAAUUGAUCAAGUACCAAUAUUUAGAGAAUAUGCUCAUAUUUCCCUGAAGAAUUGCCUAAGUUACCACUGACGCGAGAAGUUGAAUUCGUAAUUAAACUUCUGCCAAGAACAACUUUAGUUACAAUGGCUCCGUAUAGCAUGGCUCCUACCGAGUUGAAAAAGUUGAAAACACAGUUGCAGAAAUUGCUAGAUCGAGGAUUUAUUUGACCGAGUGUGUCACCUUGGGUGCUAUUUUGUUUGUGAAAAAGAAAGAUGGAUCGAUGAGAUUAUGCAUCGAUUACAAGCAGUUGAAUCGAGUCACUAUCAAGAUAAAUAUCCGUAACCUCAUUUUGAUGACUUGUUCGAUCAGUUGAAAUGAACUACGGUAUUUUCAAAGAUUGAUUUGUGAUCCAGAUAUUACCAAUUACGAGUUAAGGAGCCUGAUGUACCAAAAAAUGCAUUUAGAACUUGAUACAGUCAUUAUGAAUUUCUAGUGAUACUGUUUGGUUUGACCAAUGCCCCUGCAAUAUUCAUGGAUUUGAUGAAUCGAGUAUUUCAGCCGUAUUUAGAUCGGUUUGUUGUAGCAUUCAUUGAUGAUAUUCUGAUUUAUUCGCUAAAUGAGUCAAAUCAUGCUAAGCAUUUGAGAAUUGUAUUGCAAAUUCUGCGUGAAAAACAAACUUUAUGCGAAAUUCAACAAGUGCACAUUUUGGUUACAGGAGGUUGGAUUUUUUGGUCAUGUUAUCUUUACUGAUGGUAUCCGUGUGGAUCCAAAUAAAAUAUCUAUGAUUGUUGAUUGAAAAAUUCCAAAGAAUGUUUUCGAGGUUUGUAGUUUCUUGGGCUUAGCGGGAUAUUAUCGGUGUUUUGUUAAAAACUUUUCCAUUUUAGCAUCUCUAAUGACUAAGCUAUUGCAAAAAUAUGUUAAUAUUGUUUGGACCGAUAAAUGUUAGAAAAGUUUCGAGCAGUUGAAAAAUAUGUUAACUGAAGCUCCAGUUUUGACCCAACCAAAAAUUGGAAAAGAAUUUAUCGUGUAUAGUGAUGCGUCUCUUUGUGGUUUAGGUUGUGUUCUGAUGCAAAUUGGUAAAGUAGUUGCCUACGCCUCGAGACAGUCGAAGCCUCUUGAACGGAACUAUCUGAUAUAUGACUUAGAAUUGGCUGCAGUGGUUUUUGCUUUGAAGAUUUGGCGACAUUAUUUAUACGGUAAGAAGCGUCAUAUUUUUACCGAUCAUAAAAGCUUGAAAUACCUGAUGACUCAAACACAAUUGAAUUUGCGUCAGCUUAGAUGGCUUGAGUUACUAAAAGAUUAUGAUUUAGUAAUUUAUUAUCAUUCCAAGAAAGCUAAUAUUGUUGUAGAUACUUUGAGUCAGAAAUCUUUGUUUGCUCUGAGAGCUAUGAAUGCAAACUUGACGUUGUAACGUGAUGGUUCUAUUUUGGCUGAAUUGAUAGUAAAACCGGUAUUUUUAUCAAAAAUUCAAAAACUUCGAAAAAAUGAUCCAGAUUUGUUUUCGAAGCUUAAAUUAGUAAAAAGCAGAUAAAAGAUAGAUUUUUGUAUCUGGAUUGAUGAUUUUUUAUAUUUUCAAAAUCGACUGUAUGUACCAACUGAUUCAGGAUUGAAACAAGAGUUGUUUAAUGAAGCUCGUAAUAGUGUUUACUCGAUUCACCCUGGGAAUAAAAAAAAGGAUAACAAUCUGAAACAACAUUACUGGUGGCCUGGAAUGAAACAUGAAAUAACAUAAUUUGUAUUCAGAUGUUUAGUUUGCCAGCAGGUGAAAGCUAAAUAUUAGGUUCCGUCAUGUCUGUUACAACCUAUGAUGAUACCAGAAUGGAAGUGGAAGCGAGUCACUAUGGACUUCUUUUUGGGGUUACCUUUGACUUCGAAAAAAAAGAUUCGAUCUGGGUUAGCAUUGAGUGAUUAACGAAGUUAGCUCAUUUUCUACUUGUUCGAACUGACUAGUCACUCGAGAAGUUAGCUGAAUUGUAUGUUUUUUAAAUUGUAAGAUUGCACAGUGUGCCAUUAUCAAUUAUAUCUGAUUGUGACCUGAGAUUUACCUCCAGAUUUUGGGGUAAGUUACACGAGGCUUUGGGCGCUGGGUUAAAUUUUAGUACUGUUUUUCAUCUACAAAAAAAUGGUCAGUUGGAGCGAAUAAUUUAGGUUUUAGAAGAUAUGUUACGGUAUUGUAUUAUUGAGUUCGAAGGUAGUUGGGAAAAAUAUUUAUUAUUAUCUGAAUUUACAUAUAAUAAUUGUUAUCAGUCGAGCAUAAAAUAGUUCCAUAUGAGGCUUUAUACGGGUGUAAAUGUAGAAGUCUGUUAUAUUGGUAUGAAUUGUGUGAAAGAAAGUUGGGGUUGAUUUAGUUCGAGAAACUAAAGAAAAAGUACAAAUAAUUCUUGCUAUCUUAAAAGUUGUGUCUGAUCGACAGAAAUCUUAUGUUGAUUUGAAACGUAAAGAUAUUAAAUUUUCUAUCCAUGAAAAAGUGUUCUUGAAAGUCUCGCCCUAGAAGAAAGUAUUACAUUUCAGCAGGAAAGGAAAGCUCUGUCCCAGAUUUAUCAUAUCGUACGAAGUUCUAGACAUAAUUGGACCCAUAGCGUAUUGCUUGGCGUUACCUCCAGAAGUUGACAGAAUUCAGAAUAUUUUUCACAUUUCAAUGCUUCGACGUUACCGUUCUAGUCCGUUGCAUUUUUAACUGCGGAUGAAAUUAAGUUACAGCCUGAUUUGACUUACAAUGAGGAGCCAGUGAAAAUCUUAGCUCAGGAAAUAAAAGAGUUUGAGAAAUAAAUCUAUACCAUGAGUUAAAGUCUUAUUGCAUCGGCAUGGGAUUGAAGAAGUGAUGUGGGAAACAAAAGAAAACAUGAAAUCUAAGUAUCCAAACCUUUUAUCUGGUAAGAUUUUCGAGGACGAAAAUUUCUUUAGGGGGGAGAGUUGUAAUAUCCUCUUUUUCAGUUGUGUCGAAAACGGUGGUUUUGGGACCACAAUUCUGAUAUGUUAAGUCGUGUUUUCUUGUUUAGUUAAUGUUUAUGGAGUCACAUUAAGGUAGUAUUAAAUUUUAGUUAAGAAAUUUUAAUGUUUAGUUAGGUGACUAAUUAAAAAGAACUUAAUCGUAAAAGAAGUAAAACCUAAUCGCUAUUGACUUAAAAUGACUAAAUGGUUUAAUUAUUAUAAGAGGAAGGGUUUAAAUGAUAAAUAUACAAUUUUUACAUUAGUGAGACGACAAGUGGGAUUUAAUUUUGUUUUUUGUUUCAUAUGUUAAUAAGUAAAAUAAUUAAAAACAUAAAACAUAAAAAUAAGAAAAAGAAAAAAGAAUGAGUAAAUAGUUUCUAUCUUUCUUCAACCUGAAACACGAUUGUUGGAGAUUAGAAGCUUCAGCCAUUUGCUUCCCUCUUACAUGGUAUGAAUUCUUAGCUAAUUUCUUAUAAUUUCUUAUGUCUUUGAUAUCGUUACAACUAGGUUCAGCUAACCCGUACCUUUGUUUUUUGAAACUGUUAAAGAUUUUGAAAUGUACCAUUGAAGAAUUCUUGUUCUUUUUUAUGCAAAAUGAUGAAAUGGAAUUUUAGAUGUUGAUUUGAAUUAGUUUAUUAAAUGAAUUUUUAUAGUUUUAAUUAAUGGAGUAAAUGGACAAAAUAAUUAAAGUUUUAUGGAAAUUGUGUAAGUUAAGUAUAAGUGUUGGUUGCUCGUGAAUAAGAAGAAAUUCUAUUGACUUGGGAGAUUAUUCAAUUUUGCUAAAUUUGGAAACUUCAGGUUUAGGGAUUAAAUUAUGAAAGAUAUAAAAGUUUAGGGAAAAUGUCUAAUUAAUGGAUAGUUAAGGGUCAAAUGAAUUUAAUUGAGUUUUAAAUGUAUUUGAAUUCAAUAAAUUGAAUUUAAUUACUAUAUAGAUCAAGAACUGAGUCAAAAAGACAAUAAUCAAUGAAAGGGGAAAAUUACGGAGUAGGUCCCUGUGUUUUAACCGGAAGUGAUAGUAGGUAAGUUCAUAGUAUCUUAAUAUGAAAAUGAAUGUUGCUUAUGAUUAUUUAUCAUUUUCUCAUUAUUAAUAAGUAAUUAUGUGAAACUUCAAAUGAUAGGGAUAUAUGAUUUUAAUACACAAUUAAGUACGUAUGGGAAUAUUUGAAUUAUGGUAGUAUUUUGAUGAUUUCAUAUGAAUAUGUUUAUAAUAGAAAUACAAAAUGUGUAUGGAAAUGAUGAAGUGCCUCUGAAUGGAUACAAAAGAAAUGGAAUUUUGGUUACUACACGGUCUAACUUAGUAAUCGCGUAGGAUACGAUUGGCAUGCCAAUAGGGUUAAUAUGCACACUUGUACGUGAUUUGCACUUCGGUGCCUUUGUUAUGCAUCUAUGAUGCCUUUGGUGUGGUGUUGAUACCCGAAUAUCCGAGUCAAGUUACUUAGUUCAUCGAGCUAAAUGUUUACAAGUUACUUAUGUGCUUAAAUGUUGAGGUGUAUUUAAGAUGCUUGUAAGUGAUAAAUGUUCAAUGAAUUACUUGUUACAUAUGAAUACAUUUUAUAUUGAUGUAAUGUUGAUUAUGAAGGUGAUAUACUAUUUAAGAUGAGGAUUAUGAUUGUAUGUUUUGAUAUGAAAACAAGAAAUAAUGUAGUUUGUGAAUUUGUAUUUGGAGAUCAAGAACUGUAAAUUACCUCUUUGUAUAUUUAUAUCAAACUAGGUAAGUUAGUUUGAUGUUUAAACUAUGAGCUUACUAAGCUUCUUAAGCUUAAUUGUUUCAUUUAUGUUCUUUUAUAGUUGUCAAAGUUUGUAGACUGACAUGACGGAUCGAAAGAAAGCUCACACUAUCCAACCAUUUUGGUAGCUUUUGUAUUUUGUUUUGGAAUGCGGCAUGCAUAUAGGUGUUUUGUUGUGAAUAUGUAAGUGUUAUGCUAAUGACAUAUUUAGUGAAAUGGUCGAAAUGAAUAUAUAUGGUCGAUGUGUUUUGGUUUGAUAUCCUUAAUGUUGAGAUUAAGGUCAUAAUACUUGGAUUGGUAAUUGUGUGUGUGUGUGUGUGUGUGUGUGUGUGUGUGUGUGUGUGUGUGUUUAUAUUUUGCCAUUUUGAUUGAGGAUUGAGUAUGAAUUGAUGAACAACGAUUUGUGCAUUUUAUAGUUGAAUAGUUGGUUUGAAUUAUUACUAGAUGUGGUGCCUUUGAAUGGCAUUUUGGUUAGGUCUUAUAAGUGAAUUGAAAUGGUAUAUUUUAACCAUGAUGUUAGGUGGUUUUGGUAAGUUAAGACUUGUGGAAGUAGGAUAUCUUGGUAUUCAAGAUUUGGGUUUGUCUUAAGGGUAAUUAUAGUUGCACACGGCCCAGGACAUGGGCUGUCGCACGGUUGUGUGCCUUAAUGUUUCAAUGUAGGUUGGUCCACACUAGCAUAGAGAGUUACACGACCUGGCAACAAGGCCGUGUGAUCCUCAGCUACAUGGUCAUAGUGAGUUACAACACCUGGCUACACGACCGUGUGACCUCAUAUGAGACAGGCACAAUUAGUUACAUGGUUAGAAUACACGGGCGUGUGAAGAAGUUGCACAGGUGUGUGUAGUAGCCACACAAUGAUAUUUUGAGCCACACGGUCCGGGCUCUGUCGCACAGCCGUGUGACCCCUGUUUCCAUUUUUCAUAAAUUUUUCUGUUUUGUUUUAAAAUGAACCCUAAUUAUUUUCAAGUUACUUUUAGAGCCUCGUAGGCUCGGUUUAAGGUCUGAGAACGUAUUUAUUCUUUGAAUUUAAAUAAAUUAUUGAAUGGUAUGGAAUGAUUUGUAUAACUGUUUCUAAUUGAAUGUAAAAGUAUCGAAUUGAAUUGUAAGACUUUGUAACCCUAAACUAAUGACGGAGAUAAGUUAGGGGUGUUACAACUUCUCUCAAUUUCAUCCAAUCGACCUUUCCUCUGUCCUUUACAAGCUAAUUAUGAAUUUCAUUGCAAACCAUUUCAAAGUUGCCAUUCCGUAGAUUAUUACUCUCAAGCAUGUCGGGUUUGUAGCAGGCAGAAACAUCACGGAUAACAUUAUUAUUGCCCAAGAGGUUAUGCACUCUAUGAGCAGCAAGCAUAAAAGCAAGAGAUAGAUGGCUACCAAAAUCAACCUGGAGAAAGCUUAUGACUUUGUUCGUUGGGAAUUCAUCGAAGCUUCUCUUCAAGCUACAGGUAUUCCUAUAUUUCUCCGAAAUGUUAUUAUGUCAACUGUUUUGAAUUCUUCUAUGCAGAUUUUUUGGAAAGGUGUCCCAACUAGGAAAUUUUGGUCAUCUAGGAGAUUCAGCAAGGAUGUACAUUGUCCCCUUAUCUCUCUAUCCUAUACAUGGAAUGGCUGGGCCAUAGUAUCAGACUCGCCAUUGAUUAAGUAGUUGGUCUCUUAUUCGUCUAGCUUGUAAUGGCUCACCUCUAUCGCGUCUCUUCUUUGCAGAUGAUUUGAUGUUCUUUGGCCAGGCAGAUUAAUAUCAAGCAAGAGUUGUCAAAGGAGUCCUUGAUAAGUUUUACGAGAGUUCAAGUCACAAAAUUAAUAUGCAGAAAACUAAUAUUUUCUAUUCAAAUAGAGUAGAUGAUGAAUCAAGGGAACGCAUAAACAAACUUUUGGGAUUUCAGGAAGUGCGUAAUUUUAGGCAUCAUUUUGGAGUACUGCUAUUUCAUGAUAAGGUCACUAAUAACAUUCUGUAGUUCGUUAUUGAUAAGGUACACAACAAACUUUCUAUUUGAGACAUUAAACAUCUCUCUCUAGCUAGUAGGGUGACCUUGGCACAAUCGAUCUUACUAUCGACUCCAAGUUACUUCAUGUUGUCUAUUACUAUCCCUAAAGGCUUGAGUGAAGAGAUUGAACUCAUGGUGAGACAGUUUAUCUAAGGUUCUUAGAAUAGGGCUAGAAAAACAGCUUUAGUGAGUUGGGAUUCGGUGUGCCAACCUAAAUCACAUAGAGGUAUUUGGUUGAGACAUUUAAAGGAUCAUAAUGCUUCUUCCAUGAUGAAGGUUUGGUUCAAUACUGUGUCCAAUUCCAAUGCACUAUGGGUUCAGGUUCUUCACUCAAAAUAUGGGGUUCAAAGUGGAUUACCUAAGACUUUAUCAAGAAGACGUUGUUCUUUCUUAUAGAGAUCCCUCACCAAGGUAUGACCUCUCAUUCAUGAAAAUUUACUUUGGUCUGUAGGUGAUGGGAAACAUAUUAAUUACUAGUGGGCCCGUGGAUUCCAAAUAUCGGACCCUUGUUUAAGUAGAUUCCUUCUUACUUUAAUCUUGAUAUGGAUUAUCCUCUUAGUAAUAUAGUUACAACUGAUGGUUCGUGGAAUUUAGAAUUAUUUUGUUUGUGGGUUACAAAGGAGAUCAGUGAUAGGAUUUUUGGAAUUCCACCACCCCACCCUUCUUCCGAACCUGGCAGGAUCAUUUCGGAGGGGCACUUCGAUAGGCUCUUUCUCAAAAGUGCUUAUGAUAAGCUUCGGGAAGGUACUUGGAAUUUGAAGGAACCCAUUUAGCAGCUUCCUUGGAUGUUUGAAGGUCUGCAAAGAGUUAGAUUCUUUCUGUGGCUUGUUCUAAAGAAAUGUCUACUCACAAAUGCGAAGAGGGCAAGAAUAGGAGUUGGAAUUGAUAGCGCUUGUCAAGUAUGUAGACAUGGCUCUAAAGAAGUAUUCCAUGUACUAAGGGAUUGCCCUACAGUGAGGGACACUUGGAACAAGAUUGUUCUUGUAGAUAAGCUCUCUAGAUUUUACUCUGGGUCACUUACUGAGUGGAUGACGAAAAACCUUCUUAAUCAGUAGUUUUUUUUUCCAAAGGGAGUUGAUUGGCCGUAACUUUUUAGGAUGAUUUCUUGGCGAAUCUAGAAGAACCACAACAUUUUCAUUUUUCAGGGCUAUUCAUGGAACAUUGAUAAAAUUAUCAAGAAAUCUUAUAGUUGGGCAAAGCAGUAUGCUUUUAUUCCAAAAUCUCCAUCAUAUGGACCAAGAGGUAUUGCGGCUAUCUCUCAUCUUGAAAGAAAUUGGGUGGGCUUGACUACGGAUGGUUUGGUCAGGAUGGAUGAUAGUUUUGUUGCUGUCGAGGGUUAUGUCUGUGACCAUAAUGGGGACUAGAUUUUCGACUAUAGCAGGUAUUUGGGUAUGUGCACGGUGUUGGAUGCCGAGCUUUGGGGUAUCUUGGAUGGUUUGAAUCUUAUUCUAGAACAGGGUUAUGGAAGUGUUAUGAUUCAAUAUGUCAGUCUUGAAGUGGUGAAUGUUAUUCAAGAGGAAUCAUUCGGGGGUUUCACUUCGGCUCUUGUAAAAAGAAUUCAACAGCUCUUGGAAUCUACAAGAGUUUGGAGAAUUCAACAUAUUUCUUGUGAUGAAAAUAAUAUUGUUGAUGGUCUUGUUUGGAUGGUUCGUGAUAAGAGAUCAGGCUUAAGAUUAUUUGAAGAUCCUCUCUUAGAGGAGUUAGUUUAAUUUCAAUUGUGUAAUUUGUUUUUCAUAGAAAAAUCUAUUUAUUAAAAUUUUGACAAUUAUAAUAUAAUAUAUUUUAUAUUUAAUUUAAAUUAUGAUAAUUGUUCCAUUUUAAGAUUUAUACCAUUAGCGCGGGGAUUUGGAAAACAAGCCUCUCCAUGUUUUAGGGUUUAAUUAAAAAAGGACUUCCUGUUUUCUAAAUUACUUGAGUAUUCCUUGAUGGUUUUCUAUUAUUUCAUUAAUUAGAAAAUCAUUCGUUUUAUUUAUAGUUUUAGUCCUUUGGCAUUUCAAAGCAUUGUUAAAUUGGGUUUUCUAAAUUUAAACAACAUUUAUAAAUUUAACUAAAAAAAGUAAACAUUUUUAAAUAAUACAUAAAUGGUUAAAAUGUGUAUUUAAAAUUAAUAUAUUAUUCACAUUAUUAUGUCAUUGAAAUAUUAAAUUGCCUAAUUUUAAAUAUUUAUUUCACUAUUUCUUUAAUAAUUUUGCACACUCAACUAUAAAAUCCAAAAUCAUUAAUCAUAUAUCUACAUUAUCACAAUUCACUUUAUUAAAAUUUCUAAAAAACUACUUGCAAGAUUUUUAUUACGAAUAAAAUUAUGCAUACAAUCAAUCGGUGCAUCACAUGGGUAAGAAAACUAGUAUAAUCUAUAUAUAUAAUCACAAGUUUGGAAAUAUUUUUGAACCGAAGAAAAUACUCUUUAAUUUUCAUUAUGUUAUUAAAUCGACAUUUAAAAAUAAAUAUAAUUAAAUUUAAAAUUUUUAGUUAAUUAAAUAAUAUACCAUACUUUUAAACAAUAAAUAAGUUGUGAUAAAUUUAUUUAUUUACUGUAAAAUAGAAUUAGAAUAAAAUAAGUUAACUAUAAUUUAGGAUGAUUUUUCUUUUGGUAUAAUAUACUAUGGUUUUAAACAAUAAAUAAAUUGUGAUAAUUAUAUUUAAGUUAUUUUUUAAAAAAUAGAGAUAAUUUUCUAAUGUAAAAUAGAGUUACUAGAAUCUAUGCAUAAAAUACCAUCUAAUCAAUUAAUUAUAUAUAAAUUUAGUCAAAUUAUACUUUUUGUGGUUGUCCUAUAAUUUACUAGUGAGUCUCUAUGCUUUAAUUUAACAAAAAAAAAUAUUAUUCACGUUAUUAUGUAAUUGAAAUAUUUAUUUGCCUAAUUUUAAAUAUUUAUUUCACUAUUUCUUUAAUAAUUUUGCACACACCUAUAAAAUUCAAAAUCAUUAAUUAUAUAUCUACAUUAUCACAAUUUACUUUAUUAAAAAUUUCUAAAAAACUACUUACAAACUUUUUAUUACCAAUAAAAUUAUACACAUAAUGCAUCAUACAGGCAAGAAAACUAAUAUAAUAUAUAUAAUUACGAGUUUGAAAAAAAUUUAAACAGGCGAAAAUACUCCUUAAUUUUGAUCAUAUUAUUAAAUUAGCAUUUAAAAAUAAGUAUAAUUAAAUUUAAAAUUAUUAAAUACUCUUUAAUGUAGAAAUAAGUUACUAGAAUCUAUGCAUAAAAUAGCACCUAAGUUAGGGAUAUUAAAAUAGCAUCUAAUCCUUUAAUUAUAUAUAAAUUUAGUCCAAUUAUACUUUUUGUGGUUGUACUAUAAUCUACUAAUGAGUCUCUAUGCUUUAAUUUUUUAAUAAAAAAUUGUCUCUAUCAGCAAUACAAAAUGCCUGGGAGCGCUAUAAAUAGAGGCCCAAACAUUGAGGUUUAGCAAUACCAAUUGUUGACACCAUUUUUUUGAUGAAAAUGGAGUCGACUUGGGUUUUGAAAAAUGAAAACAAAAAAUGAGAGUCGCCACCAAUCCUUUUUUGAUAAGGUGUGAUCGGAUCACCUUGAAAAGUAGUUGUUUUUAAUAAACGAUUUAAUAUUAUUAAAACAAUGAUUUUGGUGCACGAAAUUCAGAAAAACGGGUUCGGGAGUCGGUUACGCACGAGGAAGGAUUAGCACCCUCGAUACGCCCAAAAAUUGGUACCUAGUUGAUUACNNNNNNNNNNNNNNNNNNNNNNNNNNNNNNNNNNNNNNNNNNNNNNNNNNNNNNNNNNNNNNNNNNNNNNNNNNNNNNNNNNNNNNNNNNNNNNNNNNNNAUAAAAUGAACAUAUAAACAAAUACAUAAAUGAACAUAAAAAAGAAGAUUAUAUGACGAUUAUAACAUAUGAAAAAAAAAUGUAUGUACAUAUGUAUAUUUAAAAAUUAUUAAGUAAAAUACAUAUAUAAGUAUGUAUACAUAUAUUUAUAAGAAAAAAAAAGGGGAAUAUAGAUAUACGUACAUAAAUAUGCAUAUAUAUAUAUAUAUAAAUUUAUAUAUAUUAGAUAAAUAUAUGUAAUGUCUAAACACUUAUAUAAUAAUGAUAAUAUAACAUAGCACAUAUAUUUAAAAUUACAUAGUAAUUAUUAAUGAAAAUAAUAAUAAUAAUAAUAAUAAUAAUAGGACUAAAUCAAAACUGAAGCGAAAUCUCAGGGCUGAAAUCAAAAAUAAAAUAGGGUAAGGGAUCAAAAUGUGGGGCGCGCGAAAAAUAGAAGGGCCAAUUAGGAAAUAUUCCACACCGACCAAACGACGCCGUUCAAGCGAAGUCCAAGCUCAUAGUCUAUGGACCAAAUUUAAACAAAAGAGAAACUUAUGGCCGAAAUUGCAAAUAUGCGAAAAACUGUCCUGAAAGUGCCACAAAAUCAAAGGGACUAAUUGCGAAAAUAGACCCUUAAACGAAAACGCGCGGAUCCUUGGGAGCGGGUUGGGCGAAUCGGGUCAACCAAAACGAUGUCAUUUUGGUGCCUGAGAGGCCUGCCCAAAACGGCGUCGUUUUGGGGGCCUAUUUAAGCCCAAAUUUUUUUUAAAAAAAUUUAUUUCUGCCACUUUUCUAAAAAAAUUCAAAAACCCUUCCUCUUUUUUUCUCUCAAACCUCCUUCUUCUCCCCAGAAUCCGGCCACCGUACCGGCCGCCGGUCGUCGGCGCCGGUGCCACCGUACACGGUGGCGGGAACUGAAAAGUUUCCUCCUUUUCUCUUCCACGCACUCCCUUGGCCUCCCCGAGCACUCCGGCACCACCGACGAAGGUAAAAAUCUUUCCUUUUUAUUCUUUUUUUGUAUUUUCGUAUAUUUUUAAAAUAAAAACAAAAAUAAAUAGAGUAAAAAGAAGUAAAAAUUAAAAGAAACCUUUAGAUCCAAAUCAGUAACCACCUUUUUUUCUGUUUCUAUUUAUUUUCCUUCAAAAUCUCCUAGAAAAAAACCAAAUCCCUCUUUUACAUUGGUUGUUAUGGCUUUAUAGCCAUGUUUACAAUAUUUUGAUCUAUUAUUUUUUUCUUUACUUGUCAUUUCUUUCUCUGAUUUUGCAGGCAAGUGGGUGGAGUUGGUGAUGGCAGAGAUGUGACGUGCGGCGCGGCGAUGGCAGGGGGCAAGUGGGCUAGGUGCGGUGGCUAGGGUUAGGGGUUAGGUUUUUUUUUCUGAAAAUGUUUUAAGUGUUUGGGUUAGGGUUUGUUUGUAAUUGGGCUGAGGUGUUUGGGAUUAUUGGGCUAGUAGUUGGGCUUUGGGUCUGUUUUGGGUCUUGGGUUUGGGCUGGUGGGUUGUUUUGUAAUGGGUUUGUGAAGGGUUAAAAUUGGGCUUGUACAGCUGCCCCUCUUUGCUCGUUGUCAUGUAACGAUAACAGAGCAAAGACUAGGAAAGCCCAAUUUUGCCCAGUCUCGUCGAGUCUCGACUUCUUGGUGCUUUUCUUCUUUAGGUAGCUUCAUUCCAGUCCACUGUCUUGUCGCUUCAAUCCAUUGCACUUCAAAAUGCUCUGACUUGUAGUUUCAAUGUUCUUCGCAGCAACUUUAAGGGAACGAAAUUUACGUUUUCAGUUUGUUCCACUGCAAUAUUAGGAAUAUAAGACCUGAUACGAUCCACUCUACUGUAACUUCAGAGAGAUAAGAUCUGUGGUUUUAAUCCGCUCUGCUGUAACUCCAGGGAGAUAGGAUUACUAGCUUCAAUCUACUCCACUGUAAUCUCAGGGAGAUAAGAUCUCUGGCUUCAAUCUGAUGUGAUCUACUCUACUGUAACUUCAGAGAGAUAAGAUCCUUUAUUUUAAUCCGCUCCACUGUAACUUUAGAGAGAUAGGAUUACUAGCUUCAAUCUGCUCCGCUGUAAUCUCAGGGAGAUAAGAUCUGAAAUUCUUCAAUCUAUUCCACUGCCAACUAGGGAGAUAGAAUUAUCGGAUUCAAUGUACUCCACUGUAGUCACAGGAAGGUAAAAUCUGCCAUCUUCGAUUCUUCAAUCUAUUCCACUGCCAACCAGGGAGAUAGAAUUAUCGGCUUCAAUGUACUCUACUGUAGUCACAGGGAGGUAAAAUUUGCCAUCUUCGAUUUUCAAUCCAUUCUACUGCCAACCAGGGAGAUAGAAUUAUUGGCUUCAAUGUACUCUACUGUAGUCACAAGGAGGUAAAAUUUGCCAUAUUUGAUCUGCCCCACUGUCGAUGCAGGAGGGCAAUAUCUACUGUCUUCAACCAGCUUCACCACAACCGAGAGAGGCAAGGUUUGUGUUUUCGACCUGUUUCGCUGUCAAUGCAAGAAGGCAAGAUCUGUUGUCUUCAACCAGCUCCAUCACAACCGAGGGAGGCAAGGUUUGUGUCUUCGACCUGCUUCGCUGUCAAUGCAGGAAGGCAAGAUCUUUUGUCUUCAACCAGCUCCAUCACAACCAGAGAGGCAAGGUUUGUGUCUUUGACCUUCUUCACUGUCAAUGCAGGAAGGCAAGAUCUUUUGUCUUCAUCCAGCUCCAUCACAACCGAGAGAGGCAAGGUUUGUGUCUUCGACCUGCUUCGCUGUCAAUGCAGGAAGGCAAGAUCUUUGGUCUUCAACCAGCUCCAUCACAACCGAGAGAUGCAAGGUUUGUGUCUUCGACCUGCUUCGCUGUCAAUACAGGAAGGCAAGAUCUUUUAUCUUCAACCAGCUCCAUCACAACCGAGAGAGGCAAGGUUUGUGUCUUCGACCUGCUUCGCUGUCAAUGUAGGAAGGCAAGAUCUUUUGUCUUCAACCAGCUCCAUCACAACCGAGAGAUGCAAGGUUUGUGUCUUCGACCUGCUUCGCUGUCAAUACAGGAAGGCAAGAUCUUUUGUCUUCAACCAGAUCCAUCACAACCAAGAGAGGCAAGGUUUGUGUCUUCGACCUGCUUCGCUGUCAAUGCAGGAAGGCAAGAUCUUUUGUCUUCAACCAGCUCCAUCACAACCAAGAGAGGCAAGGUUUGUGUCUUCAAUCUGCUCCGUUGUAAUCUCAGGGAGAUAAGACCUGAUGCGAUCUACUCUGCUGUAACUUCAGAGAGAUAAGAUCCUUUAUUUUAAUCUGCUCCACUAUAACUUCAGGGAGAUAGGAUUACCGACUUUGAUCUACUCCGCUGUAAGCUCAGGGAGAUAAGAUAUGAAAUUCUUCAGUCUGUUCCACUGUAAUCUCAGGGAAAUAAGACCUGGUGCGAUCUACUCUACUGUAACUUUAGAGAGAUAAGAUCAUUGGUUUUAAUCUGCUCCACUGUAACUUCAGGGAGAUAGGAUUACUAGCUUCAAUCUGCUCCGCUGUAAUCUCAGGGAGAUAAGAUCUGCAAUUUUUUGGUCUGUUCCACCGUAAUCUCAGGGAAAUAAGACCUGGUGCGAUCUACUCUACUGUAACUUCAAAGAGAUAAGAUCCUUGAUUUUAAUCCGCUCCACUGUAACUUCAGGGAGAUAGGAUUACUAGCUUCAAUCUGCUCCGCUGUAAUCUCAGGGAGAUAAGAUCUACAAUUCUUCGGUCUGUUCCACUGUAAUCUCAGGGAAAUAAGACCUGUAUAAUGAACCUAAUUAUGCCUAAUGAUUAGGAUGACAUGAUCAACAUGAAUCAAAUGCUCCUAACUAGACAUGUGUGAAUGACAUGCAAAAUGUCAUGAAAAUGAUUCCUUAAUGCUUUGGUUAUCAUCACACAAAAGCUUAUUAAAGCUUUAUCACUGACGUGCUACACUGCCUUCUUGCUCAGCUAGCAUAUCCAAAGAAACACUUAAUCUGAUUGCCCCCCCACUGUGAACGUCAAAGUUCAACCCACUGGGAUGUAAAAUUUGUACCAUCAAUCUCCCACUGUAACCCAAUGGUAGAAAGGUAUGGCUUUUCUCAAUCUUCUCCUAUCGCAAUUCAAUGAUAUUGAAUGUGAAACUCUUUGGUCCUUUACCUCAUCCCUAAGGUGUCAUACCAAAUGCUCAUGCACAAUUGCAAAAUUUUCUUCUCCCAGAAGACCUUUUCUUUUUGCCUGGUAAACAUCGCUUGUUGGUUCAUUGAAGCUUUGCCACCAACACGACAUCUUAUCAUAUUGUUCAAUCAAUGUUCAGACAAAAAAAUCUGAAAGGAUAGUCUUUAACUUAGACUCUUCCUUCUUAGAUAUUUCACCCUUUAAACUCGGUGUUUUCUAAACAAUAGUGUUUCAGGUCCCUAUAUUAUUUAGAAACUUCUAGAGUAAUAUGCAAAACUUCCUUUGUGAAAGUUUUAUUAGUCCAUUAAUCAUUAUUCCAAUGCAACAUGUUUGCAAAAAAGGUCAUAACAAUGGAUAAGAAAAAAGUUGGUUCAGAGCAUAGCUCGAAAGAACAAAUUAUCGAAAAUAGUAAAGGAGGAUGAGAAAGGAAUUAAUUGGGAAUGUAUAUCUUGGAAAAGAAAAAAGUAUUCCAAGAACAACAAAUUUAAUAUAGAUAAUAUAAGAAUUGGGUGCCCCAGAUAUCGCAACUUGAACUUCUCUGUACGAACUUUUUGAAGACCAUUUUGAGUUGGACAUGUGCUUAGAAGAUCUACAGCGCUCUGUCGAUGCCCCAAGAUGUCACCUAUCCUUUCUUAUUGAUUCAGGCAUAGCAAGAUCACCACAUGCCCCAGUAUGAUCAAAAUUCGAAUCGCUCUGAUCGCCUCAUCUCCCAUUCUGAACAAAUAUUUGAGCCGCCCUUUUCGGGUUUUCAACUCAAAUCCCCUUUGGCCUAAGGCGCCCUUUCCGGAUUUUCCCCUUAGCCUCUCCAUUUUUCAUUUUUCAUUUUUAUUUUUCAUUUUUCAUUCUCAUUUUUCAUUUAUUUAUUUUUUGACUCAGAGUGCCCUUUGCGGGUUUUCACCUUGGUCCUUUCUUCUUCUUUAAACGAAGUAUUUCUUGACUGGAUCCUAGUUUAUAGGACUAGCAAUCUCACUCAGGAUCAGUGCUCUUCUGAAAAAUGUCUUCUUUACAACGUAGGGACGUUCUCGAUUUGGCAUUCAUUUCCCUCUGGAAUCCUUUUGGAGAGGAAUGAUCUUUUUCGACAUCCAACCCUCUCGUGGAAUUCUCUGAGAUGACACUGUUCAUUAUGGGCUCGUAUCAUUUAUUUCUGGUACAUCCAACCCUGAAGAAUAGCUUUUAACCUUGUUUCUAGGUUCAACUGAUCGCAUCGCGAUUGAAUCCAUUCUGCUUUAUCCAAUUCUAGCUCAACUAAUACCCGGAGAGAAAGGAUUUCAAUAGGUAAAACUACCUAAACCCCGUAAACCAAAGAGAAAGGUAUUGUCCCGGUACAGAUGUUCGACAAGCAAGGAAGGCAAAUAGAAAUUUCUCAUGCCAAUCCUUGUAAGUCUCAGUCAUUUUCCUUCAAUUUUCGAUGUUCAACUCUAGGCAAUUCAGUGACGAAUCGUGGUGUCCACUUUUGAGUUAAUUUGAGACCUCAGCGAUCGUGCUAUUGUUUAAGCUCAAUGCAUUCUCCAAUACCCUCUUCUCUGAAACUCUGUAUCGGUAUACGAUGACUUUGGCUCAUGGAGUAGCCUCUCAAAAUGAAGCAAUGCCCAUUAGAAGUCUUCGAUAAUGGUGAUGUCCAUGCCCCAUUGUGCUCGAAAUUUAAGUCGUCCUUUUCAGGUUUUUAACUUAAAACCCCAUUUGGUCACAAAGCGCCCUUUGCGGGUUUUCGCUUUGGCCUCUCAUUUUCUUUUUCUUUUUCUUUUAUUUUUGAUUUUUUUUCUUUUUUUCUGCUUUUGAUUUUGAUUUUUUUAUUUUUUCUUUUCCUUCUUUUUUUGCUUUUUUUUUUUGGAAUUUGAACUCAUAGGGUUAGGCAAGUCCUUGUUAUCCCUUUCGAAGGAUCUUCUUUGAUCGGAUUUCCUUCAUAGAGCCUUCUGGGGCGAAAUUACAAUAGAAAACUUUUGAUAUUCCUCUUUAAUAAAAUCCCACAGGACUUGAAGAGAUGGAAGCUGGACUUCAAAUGGGCAAAGCUAGGCUGAGUCAACGAGAGAGGCAUUUGCCCUGACGAAGAAUCACAUCGUUCACUGUAAAUUUCUGAAAACAUGCUGUUGUGCAGAUUUCAUUAUUGGCGUUUAACCUGGGGCAUAUCCUGGUAUGAUCAUACGAAGACAUCUUUGAACCCUAGAGGUCACUUAAUAAGGUGUUGCUUCGUCUCUGCGGUCAGGUCAAUUCUAAUCUUUACCACGCUCACAAUAUCUAAUGAUUCUUUGUGAGGUAGGAUCUGUCUAUCCUCUUAUUCAACCAUCCUUAACAAGUCAGGAGAUAAACUACAAUCUUUGUCAUUUUCAAAGCCCUGAGAUCCCUCUGAACACAUGCCUCGCUCAAAAGGAAAAUCUGGGUCUGUAGCAGAGUCAUUCACGUCAUUGAUAUCCAGGGACUCAUAAUAAGUACCAAAGAAUAUACAAAAGAAAGUAUAAAUUUAUAAAUAAUUAUUUAUACAAUAUGAUUAUGAAUGAAUGAUGUGGAAGAAAAUCUAAAAGAAUGAAAUAAUCAGAAAUAAUUAUUCAAAAAGAAUGAAAGAAUAUUGGCUCAAAAAGGAAUGCAAAGAUGUAUUUUAUUAGAAUAAUGACGUUCAGACAUUAGCCUAUUUCACAAAGGAAUUUCUAUCGCUUUAGGCUAAAAACAACAAAAAUGUUCUGAACGUUACUCUAAAAAAGCCCUGAUAAAUACAGGGAUUUCUUCCGCAGUCUAAUUGUUUAGAACACUCCAGAAUUCAUAAGGGCUGACAUCUAACAAGGUCCCUUCCCAAUUGUAUCUUCAGACACGUCGUUGAUGUGAACAUUUCUCAACACUUCUUCGUACACCACAUUUGCCUCGUCAUUAAUAUGAUUGGGCAGUGUGUUUUCUGCACUAAAGGAAUCAUCAAAUUUAACAACGCCCAUACUAAUAAGCCUUUCAAUCAGUUUUUUAAAAGCAAUGCAAUUCUCUACUGAGUGCCCUAAAAUUCCCGCAUGAUAAUCACAUUGCGCGUUCAUAUCGUACCAUUGGGAUAAGGAGAUUGUAAAGAGGCCAAGUAACGAGGAGCAACAACAUGCGCAUCGAACAAGCUUUGAUACAGCUCCUUAUAUGACAUCGGAAUUGGUGUGAACUGGAGCUUCUCAGUACCUGGUUUCACUACAGAUUCUUGCUUUAAAGGGCUCUGAUGGCUGGUGGUCUCCGUCUUUGGCCUACCCACAGUGAUUGGUUUUGAGUGGCCCUUGUUAUAUCCACCUACAUUAUCCCUUUUAUUCCCCUUCUUCCUUGGGGCCUUUAUAGUAUCUGAGUACUCUACCCUCAUUUGCUUUAUUUCGGCUAGAUUAGCAACAGGAUUAGCUAAAUUGUUCCUCAAAUUGGAUCCUAAGCCUGUCAGGCAAUUCACUGGUGUCGAUGUACCAGUCUGAUAAUAUCGGGAUCCGAUAGUAAAAAGUGCUCCUUGUGGACGCCCAUCUGGCUGAAUUUGGACACUUGUCGGAGUACAAUCUAAGGAAUAGACAAGAUCCUCAUUAUCAACCCCAAAGUAAACCACCGGGUCUUUCACUUCUUUUGACUUUCCAGCUAGCAAUCGGUUGAACUGGUUUAUCAUAGUUCUCCGUAAUUCUAGCAUCUGAUCUCUCAUCUCCUGUUGAAAUUCAGUCAAUUGCUCCUGCAUCUGAAUCUGCAUUCGCUCUAAUUUUUCCAACCUUCGUUCCAUUGCUUUAGUCUUUGCUUGGAUAUCGUAAGGGUGUUUGGUUGGUUGGUUUUCCAGGUUAGCUGAAAUAAAUUUACUCGUUUAGACUCUUUCAAUGGAUUUUAAUGCAUGUAAUGCAAUGUAAUGCAAAUGCAUGAAAUGAAUGCCUAAAGAGACAUUGAUUCUGAUUCAAUUACAUUUAGGAAACUUUUGUAGAAAGCAAAUUCCCUUACAUAAAACGGAUACAUGUACGGCCUCACCCUCAUAUUCCAAGAAACAAGAUCGGUCUUUUUUUUCAUCCCCAUGUUUGAGGUAAUCUCUCUAAUAGAUGCCAUUGCUAGCUCCUUCUCUUAAUCUUGGUUGCAAUCCAUCACCUGCCCGUCCUCAUAAGGCUCGUCCGCCUCUUUAAGGGGGUGGAAUGUUGAAGGCUCUUAGACAAUUGCCUUGGAUCCUUAGGCCACGAAGCAGGGUCACGAACUCUUCCAUCACCAUUCUUGUGUUUCUCAGAAUAUAUUCGGGAAGUCGUAUUGUUUUCCACUUUAUCAAGGAAUCCGUAUUCCAUGACAAGAUUUCUAAUUUAGUAAUCGAACUUGAAUCAAUAUCUCUUUCCUAAGAUACAAAUGCAAUGCAAUGCAAUCAUAAUCAAAACACAACAAGAAGGGUUAGAAUAAAACAUAAGCAAGCACGGAAAACAAAAAGCACCUAAUCAGGUAAAUACUAGGGAUUUGGAGUGGCUCUACCUAGGUUAAGUUCCUAAGUCCACUAUAUGAGGGUUGGUUCUAAAGAUAAGGUACCCGAACCAGCAAAUUCCUAGAUCUUCACCCAUUAUAGGCUCAUACAGACAGAGUUCGGUUCAGGGGAAUACAUUUCCCUAUGGCUGCACGGAGAUGAAAAUCUCACGAAGACAUAGGUACGGAUGUAUCCCGGAAGUGAUCCACUAUCCUGCACGGAGGUGAAAACCUCACGAAGGACUAGUUUCUCACUCCCACUUAAAAGGGUGUGACCAACGGUCAUGCAAUGCAAUGUGCAGAAAGAUACCAAAAUUUAAACAAACAGAGCAAUUAUAAACCACAAUAAUGAAAAUUGUAAUAAAGAUCGAUGAAAUGCAAUUAAAGGAUCGUAAAUUUAAACCAAAUUUUCAAUUUUCGACAAAAAGACAACAAAUAAUCAACUUGUGGCUUGACUCUCCUAUUUAAAGUCCCCAGUGGAGUCGCCAAGCUGUUGACACCAUUUUUUUUAUGAAAAUGGAGUCGACUUGGGUUUUGAAAAAUGAAAACAAAAAACGGGAGUCGCCACCAAUCCUUUUUUGAUAAGGUGUGAUCGGAUCACCUUGAAAAGUGGUUGUUUUUCAUAAACGAUUUAAUAUUAUUAAAACAACGAUUUUGGUGCACGAAAUUCAGAAAAACGGGUUCGGGAGUCGGUUACGCACGAGGAAGGAUUAGCACCCUCGAUACGCCCAAAAAUUGGUACCUAGUUGAUUACUUAAUGUCUUAAUGUCGAAAAACUAAAAACUUUAAAGAAAUUUAAAAUACGAUCCUUAAAAAAACUUGAAUGGCAUGGAUUAAAAUUCAAGAGGAUAUUUGUCAAUUUGGUUAGACGAGAAAUCGAAACCCAGCACUUUAGAGCACGUUCCUCAAAUUUCCAAACGCAAAACAUUGCCUUAUUUUGAAAUUUUUGAAAAGGAUAUUUAGCUAUUUGGUUGAACGAGAAAAAUCGACACCCAGUACCUUAGGGCAUGUUUUCUCGAAUUUCCAAACAUAAAACAUUGCCUUAUUUUGAAAAUUUUUGAAAAGGAUAUUAAGUCAUUUGGUCGAACGAGAAAUCGAAACCCAGUACCUUAGGACACGUUCCUCGAAUUUCAAAACGCAAAACAUUGCCUUAUUUUUGAAAAGUUUUUAAAAGGAUAUUUAGCUAUUUGGUCGAACGAGAAAUCGAAACCCAGUACCUUAGGGCACGUUCCUCGAAUUUCCAAACGCAAAAUAUUGCCUUAUUUUGAAAUAUUUUCCUUUUUUGAAAUAUGAAGUUUAUAUGCAUGAUGGAAUAAUAAACAUGGUGAAGUGAAUAAAAAAUAUGAAUAAAGCGAAUAAUAGAUCAAUCAUACAUUCCAUAGCAAAUAAAUAAAUAAAUAAACUAAAAACAUAAAAAUGAACAUAUAAACAAAUACAUAAAUGAACAUAAAAAAGAAGAUUAUAUGACGAUUAUAACAUAUGAAAAAAAAAUGUAUGUACAUAUGUAUAUUUAAAAAUUAUUAAGUAAAAUACAUAUAUAAGUAUGUAUACAUAUAUUUAUAAGAAAAAAAAAGGGAAUAUAGAUAUACGUAUAAAUAUGCAUAUAUAUAUAUAUAUAAAAUUUAUAUAUAUUAGAUAAAAUAUAUGUAAUGUCUAAACACUUAUAUAAUAAUGAUAAUAUAACAUAGCACAUAUAUUUAAAAUUACAUAGUAAUUAUUAAUGAAAAUAAUAAUAAUAAUAAUAAUAAUAAUAAUAAUAAUAAUAGGACUAAAUCAAAACUGAGGCGAAAUCUCAGGGCUGAAAUCAAAAAUAAAAUAGGGUAAGGGAUCAAAAUGUGAGGCGCGCGAAAAAUAGAAGGGCCAAUUAGGAAAUAUUCCACACCGACCAAACGACGCCGUUCAAGCGAAGUCCAAGCUCAUAGUCUAUGGAGCAAAUUUAAACAAAAGAGAAACUUAUGGCCGAAAUUGCAAAUAUGCGAAAAACUGUCCUGAAAGUGCCACAAAAUCAAAGGGACUAAUUGCGAAAAUAGACCCUUAAACGAAAACGCGCGGAUCCUUGGAAGCGGGUCGGGCGAAUCGGGUCAACCAAAACGAUGUCGUUUUGGUGCCUGAGAGGCCUGCCCAAAACGGCGUCGUUUUGGGGGCCUAUUUAAGCCCAAAAAUUUUUUUAAAAAAUUUAUUUCUGCCACUUUUCUAAAAAAAUUCAAAACCCUUCCCCUUUUUGUCUCUCAAACCUCCUUCUUCUCCCCAGAAUCCGGCCACCGUACCGGUCGCCGGUCGUCGGCGCCGGUGCCGCCGUACACGGCGACGGGAACUGAAAAGUUUCCUCCUUUUCUCUUCCACGCACUCCCUUGGCCUCCCCGAGCACUCCGGCACCACCGACGAAGGUAAAAAUCUUUCCUUUUUAUUCUUUUUUUGUAUUUUCGUAUAUUUUUAAAAUAAAAACAAAAAUAAAUAGAGUAAAAAGAAGUAAAAAUUAAAAGAAACCUUUAGAUCCAAAUCUGUAACCACCUUUUUUUCUAUUUCUAUUUCUUUUUCUUCAAAAUCUCCCAGAAAAAAACCAAAUCCCUCUUUUACAUUGGUUGUUAUGGCUUUAUAGCCACGUUUACAAUAUUUUGAUCUAUUAUUUUUUUCUUUACUUGUCAUUUCUUUCUCUGAUUUUGCAGGCAAGUGGGUGGAGUUGGUGAUGGCAGAGACGUGACGUGCGGCGCGGCGAUGGCAGGGGGCAAGUGGGCUAGGUGCGGCGGCUAGGGUUAGGGGUUAGGUUUUUUUUUUCUGAAAAUGUUUUAAGUGUUUGGGUUAGGGUUUGUUUGUAAUUGGGCUGAGGUGUUUGGGAUUAUUGGGCUAGUAGUUGGGCUUUGGGUCUGUUUUGGGUCUUGGGUUUGGGCUGGUGGGUUGUUUUGUAAUGGGUUUGGGAAGGGUUAAAAUUGGGCUUGUACACCAAUUACUUGAUAAAAAGAAAUGGAUUUGAUAAAAGGAGAUGAGAUUAAUUAAUCUUGAUGAGUUGCUUGAAGCUCAGGCUCAUGUUUGGAACCAUACGUUCAGAUUCAUAAGCUCAAUGUCACUGAAAUGCGCUGUCGAACUACAAAUACCAGAUAUCAUCCACAACCACGGCCAAGCCAUGAAUCUUUCAGACCUAGCUUUGGCUCUUGGUAUCCAUCAUUCAAAACUCCACUGCCUCCACCGCCUCAUGCGCAUCCUCUUUCAUUCUGGCUUCUUUGCUGAAUCCAAAACCAACUCAACUGACCAACAGAGAGCUUAUGUCCUCACCACUGUUUCUCAUCUUCUCCGAAAGGAUUAUCCCUUGAGUUCAACUCCCUUUAUACUCGGAAUGCUUGACCCCGUUUUACUGAAACCAUGGCAAUAUUUAAGUUAUUGGUUCCAAAACCUUGACCAUCCUACAGCAUUCAGCGCAGCUCACGGCGAGAGUAUGUGGGAUUAUGCCGGGCAUGAGCCGAGGGUGAAUCAUUUCUUUAAUGAUGCGAUGGCCAGUGAUGGGCUUCUGGCGGCGAGCGUGGUGCUUAGUAAGUGCAAAG